GAAGGUAAAAGGUGCUACAUGAAAUGAAGUGUACAGGAACAAGAGGAAGGGAAAGAAUAUUCUUAAAGCAUAUAUUUCAUUAAAAAAAUGAACAACAUUGCAAACACAUACAUUAUACUACAUACUGACUUUCAAGUACUGUUCUGGAUUUUAUCUUUCUGGUCUAAAACCUUUUUCCACAUUAGACUGCCACUUCAGCAACACAUAGUUGGUUUGGUGUAAACUUUUCUCUCCUGAUGAAUGCUUAUUAUGAUUUUGGAAAGUAUGUAGAUAAGGAUUAAAAGAAAUUAAGCCACUGUGACAACAAAAUCAGUCCUCAUAUUCUCGGCUUACAAGCGGUCAAGAACUAAUAAACGAACAAGAAUCCAGUGCAUGUAACAGAUAUAAUUUACUUGAUAUUGAUCUCAAAUAAGUAUAUACCCCAAACUCUGGUGAACAUAUUUUUCUUGAGAAACUUGACUUUAGAACACAUUUAAGUUGCAGAACUUACUUGAGCUAAGCAAUACAAGGAGACACAAACGCAGAAAGAAACAAGUACAAAAAUGUAUAAAAUCAUCAUUAACUGUUUAGGAAAAAGCUCACUUGAUGACUGAUACUAGGCCUAACAAUAUCGCAAAAACAUAGCCAUCCAAACUUCCAGAACCUGACAAAAGAAAAACAAGUAGCAAAAGCAAUGUCAACACAGGUAUAUCUCCAAUUAAAACUUCAUUAUAAUUUAAAUAUCAUGUAGCACCAAUUAGUUACAAAUAGAUUACAAGAAAAAGUCAUUUUCCAUUCAUGAAAAAGCUAUAAAACUUCAUAGAUAGAUAGAUAGAUAGAGAGAGAGAGAGAGAGAAGCUUGGCUUAAUUGAAUUCAUAGAUUCUGCAAGCAGUGUUCACAUAAUCAAAUAUGUAUAUAACAUAAAUUCCAACUUGUGAUCUAAAGCAAUUAAAUUAUUUCAUUAUGGAUACAUAAGAGAGAGAAAAACACCACAAAUUCACAAAAUCAACAAAACAUGCAUCAUUAAUGUAUGAAACAACAUGCACCAUGCCAAAAAGGUUAAACAGAUAAAGAGAAAUUUUUUUCCCUUCUGAGGAUGAAGGAAAAUAAAAAUUUGAAGAAAAAGAAGAAGAAGAAAAUAAGAAAAUAUACCUGAAAUUCUCCCCAAGAAUUCCUAACGACCAACUUGAGAAAGUAAUCAUGUAUAUUGAGAACACAUGAUUGCCUUAAAAAUAAGUAAUUUAUGCUGCCAGUAUGUGGCAAUCCUAAAGAACCCAGAGCUGCAUAAUUUAGCUACUCUUCCUAAGAUAGAAAUUAUGUACUAAAACCACAACGGCCAUCUAUUUCUCCUCAAAUAAUUCCAUCUAGAACAUGAUCUUAAAAAUACUAAUAGUGCAAACUGCUUUAGAAGAUGUUUGUCGUUAAUAAAUAAUAACAUGUGCAAAUUUCAAUUAGCAUUUUAAUUACCACCUCUAGACUGAUAUGAGGUAGAACCUUCACAUAUUUCGAACAUUUCUGUAUAUUAUUCAACACAUAAAGAUAUAUGGCACCGUGUGAAAGUGUGCAGAAAAGAUCGAAGAGCCUUGAUUGAAAUAUUUUCAAUGUUGAUGGUGGUUUUGUUGGCCACCUGAGUUUAUUUAGAAGUCUUGAUUUGGUCCUCUUUUAGCACUGGAUGAAAUGUUACAAGUUCUGGAGUCUUGAUACCAUGUUGAAAAACUUAAGAAAAUAUGGCAUAAUUCAUAGAACUCAAAAACAUGUCAAAUUACUGCUCUUGGAAAUUUAAGACCUUCAUAUGUUUUUUUUUUUUGGGUUAAAGACAAAUGUUCUAUUAAAAGGAGUCAAUACUACAAUCUAUUGUAGGCAAUGACAAAGUAUGGAGUGGCCCCAAAAACUUACAUGAAGCUGCUUGUUGGAAUGAACUUUGGGGCCUUAACGGAACCACCAUGUUUACACGGAGAACUUAAAUGGUAGCCUCACUCUUAGCAACUUUCAUUUUGGCAGCAGGUAACCUUCUCCCUAUAUGGAAAUGCAACUUUUUCCAGGUAGGCCUCUUGUAGACUUCCAACGUGGCAAGCUUUCUAUGACAGUAGCAACCCUGUUCACUGUGAAGCAACUCUCUAACUUUCCUCCAGAGAUGCCACUCUUAAAUAACUCUUCCAGCCUUGUGAAUUCAGGAUAGAACCUACUGUAGGGCCCAAAUUUACAAACUUUGACCAUUAUACCAAAGAUCAUGAUCACAAAAUCCCUUUAAAGGAAAGGCCACUAUUGCUUGGGAUCUUCAUAGAUAGGCAUGCUACAAGGGGAAUUUCCCUCCAGUUAGCACACAUGACCUCAAAGCAGAAUUCAACUUAAGUUCUAAAUCUACUAGAAAUUGGAUUAAGACUUUCUGCAUACUCAUACAUGAACAAGGGUAUUGGUAUGACUCUAGAGAUGCUCUACACCAUAUUCUAAGUUAUAAUAUAGAAGAACUUCUGAAGUUAAAUUGACAUACUGUAUAUACAUUUUGCUUUAGGCUAUGUCUGGGAACUAUGAGGGGCAGGGAAGGAGAGAGACUGGAGGGACCAAAGAAGAAAGAGAGGAGAGGGUAAAAAUUCCUCUUGUUCAAUUGCUUAAAUCAAAGAGCGAAAGGAACACAAGGGUACUCUUGUUUGGUUAAGGAGUAGAAAGGGAAGGGAAUGAUGACUUAAGUAGUGUAAAACUUUUCAGAAGAUAAAAAAUACCCUCAUCAUUUUUGUUAUAUUGUUUCUUAGGAAUACUUCAAAGUAGAGUUGUAGUCCAAUCAACUCACUAUCUUUUAUUCUGUUACUAAUCAAUGUAAAUUUUUAGAUAGAAACUAAAGGGUGUUAAAUAUUUCAAAUGUCCAAAUACCUUUACAACCUUUAUUAUUUUAGAUCUAAUAAGAUUUUAUGAUAGAUUUACUUGAAUUACCUUAUAACAAAGUUGUGAUCAAACCAAAUCACUUUUUACAUUUCAUUAACUUAUCAAUGUUUUAUUAUUAAACAGAAAAUUUAUAAGUUUUAAUCAAAAUAUAGAUAUUAUGUUUAUUUUUUAAAUUAUUAAUACUUGACAUGCAACUUAGUUCACAUGCAAAUUGCAUGUUAAGAAAAUACUAGUAUAUUCAAAUGAUAUGUUAGAGUACAGGUUAACUUUCAAUGCAGUCAAAAAUUUUUAACAAGAACGUAUCAGUCCUCUUCCUUCCCUUCCCCUUCCUUUCCCAUCAUUCCCCUCAAUCCAAACAAAACCUAGGUAAUGGCCAGGAUGCCUUUUAUUGACAGGUGAUCAAUCCCGUAAAACAGGCAGAAAUUUGUAGAACACUUAAAAUCCAAGUAUCCAAGAUAAUCCUUUUAUAAUUAUGGAGCUCUCUCUAUCAUCUCAAAUGGGACAGAAGCAACAGCCCAAAAAAAAAAAACAAAACAAAACAAUAAUAAGACCGAAGUCAUUAAAGGCUUGAGCUAAUACGACAAAAAUUAUAAAUCUUAUUAAAAUCAAAAACAGAAUCAUGCGAUGAAUCAUAGAUUGCAAAGUAAGUUGUAUAAGACAACAUUUGCAAGUCAAAUCUUUUAUCACAUUUAGUAAGAUAGUAUUUGAUUUUAACUGUAAGUGGAACUGGGAACAAGGAAAGAAUCACCUUGCAGCAUAGAGAAAUAUUAAAAUAAUGAAAUGAGUGAUAGAACAAAAUUAAAAGCUCGUUGAUAACUGCCAUUUGUUGAAGAAUUAGAACUAUGCAAACCUUGUUGAAGAAACCGAAUUAGCUUAUUCAGAAGCAAUGGUCCACCAAAACCAAUGCAAUCAUUGAACACCUGCAAAAGGUGAAAUUAUACAUUUAGUUGGAAAAACAUAAAAUUCAUAAAGCAACUUGAAAACUUCAGUCAAAAAUCUUUUAUUUUUUCUCCAAGUUGAACCCCAUAAUUCCCAUGGGCAAGCACACUUCAAUUUUCCUCUAAAGGAUUUAUAUGUACUUCGAUCUGAUCCCAAGACAUCCAGCUUGACAUAAAGGAAUAUGCUAUUUACAAGCAUAAAGUAGAAGAAGAAACAGGUGUAGGACUCCUAAUAUUAGAUAUAUCUUAUCAAACAGAAGAAAAAUAAACAAUAAAUCAGAAACAAAACCCAACUGUUCUGGUAACACAAAGAUCUAUAAACACAAACAAACCCCAACCGUUCUGGUAACACAAAGAUCUAUAAACACAUAAGCUUCCAUUUCUAUUUUUUAUUGGUAAAGAAUAAAUAACUACCAUAUGGCCGCUCCUUUCAUAGUGUUACUUUUACAUGGAAAGAGAGCAUUCCUUAAAAGAAAAAGAAUACCUUCAAUAAACCUAGACGAAGAUAUGGCCCUCCGUAAGCAGAGAAGAUUGCUCCCAGAAAUGAUGCGUUGGAGCAAGAAUUGUUUUGCUGAUCUUGCCAACAGCUUAAUAAUUUAUCAUGACAUGUAGAAGGAUCCAUAUCAGUCGGCAGCAAAAGCAAAUCAUCGAAGUCAAGCUGCUUUAUCAAACCACGAUUCAUUACUGAUGUGAUGGAUCUGAAUGUCAUAUGAUCCCAAAAGCCCUGUGUACUUCUCUUUGACAACCAAGUGAGAUGGAAAAAAUUAAUAUUAGUUUAUUUACUUCGGAAAGUAAAAGACCAAUAAGCAGCAAAAUAAGAGACAUUUUGUACUGGCAAUACAAAAUUUAAGAAACAAUAAGAUUUCAAAUGGCAGUUUCUUGGAUGGUAAGCCUAUAGAAGCUGCUACAUGUGAUGCAAAAGUCAAGGAGGGCCCCUGUUGCAAGCAGGCAUGUCAAAUAGAAUUUUUCAGACUAGGUUUAGUUUAAGACUAGAGCAUUCAAGUGAAAGCAAUUUUACACUCCUACAAAGGCUGACACACAGCAGUUAGUAGCAUCUCUGUGUGUGUCUGUCUGAGUGUGUCCAUGCACGCAUCACGCCAAGCUGAGAAUUAUUAUUUUGAUAAUAAUCAAACCAGUACAUAUUCAUCAAAAUUAAUGGAAAGAUAGAAAAAAAUGAAAAUUAAUGGGACUUUAAAACUGUAGGAAAGAAAAGGGAUUGGUAUGUACUAUAAAACAGAAUGGAAACUUAUUAGCUUCCAUUAAAUUAGAAAAACUUUAAAUCAUCAAAUGGAAAAGCUAGGAGUAGAAAAUUGUUUUGAGGCGCUUACAAAAUAAUUGCUGUUAAUAAUCACUAAGUAUCCUAUUUAUGUUUAGAUGCAUUCCUGGUGCUUCCUGGCAAUUUUAGGACACAUUUGAGAUCAUACUUCAAAAUUCCACAAUUAGUAGAGAGGUUAAACCUGAAUAUAAAGCCAAUGCAAACUACAAACCCAACCAAUGUGGAACAAAACCACAACAAAAUCAUCUUUAUUUAGAAGACUCAAUCAGUUUUGGUCAAUAGAAUUUCGGUUAUUUCAGGGAGGAGAAGGAAAAUGUUGUUGGGACAAAGAGAGAAUCCAUGACAUUGAUAAUAAAAGGGGGGGAGGGGGGGGGCGAGAAGAAUUCAAACUCUUUUGAUAUAAGAAAAAAAAAGUAGAAAUAAUACUAAGAGCACACUUUUAAAUUGUUUUCAAAAAAGAUUCACAUACAAAUAGAACAAAAGCAUAAAUGAGAAAAGUUAAGAUGAAAAAUAUUACUUACAGAAUCCCUUUGACAACCUUCCUCAGCGUCCAUCUCAGCACAAAGAAGUGAAUCUUCCAUUGGGCUACAAUUUGUGAAUGCAAAGAGUUUAGCCAACAAAUCUCAGUAAUGUAGAGGAACAAAAACAAAGUAGUGAUAUUCAACAAAGUGCCUAUGGCAUCAAUCAUCAAGUGAGACUUUGAUCAGCUGAAUACAUAUCAUGUAAUAUCUUCCAACAUCACACCUUAUUAUCUCAUUAAGUUAUGGAUCUAAUGCACAAUCAUGGUAGAAAAGGUUGUGGCUUCUAGCUAGCUUAAUUAGUAAAAUCCUUUGGCAAUUGUACCAAGGACCUCACACUGCCUUUGUUAAGGAUAGAAAGGGGGUCAAGAGGCUUCCCUCUGUGUGUCCACCAACCUUGGGGGAAAACAAAUACUAAGGAAGGAAUAAGAUGAAAAUCACAAGAUCAAACAAAUUCUAUAAAAUACUAUGAAUGGUUGAAUGAAAUUCUUGCUGCUGACCUGACACAACAUAUUAUUGAGUAAUAACAAGAUUAAGGAAGCAAUAGUGUAUGGAAGAAUUGCUUGUUCUUUGUUUUACUUUCUUUUCCAUGGAACUUGGAAGCAGAGGGAAAGCUAUUUUCGUUGUGCAUGUUUGAGAGCAAGUCCAAUAAUGACAUUAUAUCAACCAAUCAUAUCCAAACAGUUUAAGCAUCCAAACUUAGAAUACACAAAGGACAAUAUUCACAUAUAACCUGUGGCAGAACCUAAGUGCUUGCAAAUCAUUAACCAAAUCAUACCUGCUCUUGGUGGAUGCCCUUUUUAUCCGAAUAUAGUUAAUGGAUAGGCAGAACAUGAUAUCCAAAAAUACAAUAGAGCUCUCUUGAAGACACUCAAAAACCUGCCCAACAGAUUUAUAAUUAAUUAUGAGUUGGUUUACUAAAAAAUUCAAUUCCAAGAAGAAUUACUACAUAAAGUUUGCCAAGAAGAAGUUAUAAUAUUGCCUCGAAGGAAUAUGACAGGCAUUCUAGCUUGUAGUUGUUUUUUUUUUUCUUUCUUUCUUUCUUUUUUUAUUUUUCUGAAAAGGCGGUAAAUGGAACACAUUAUUAUAACACAUCAGCAGUAGUUGAUUAUGAGAAGCAUUCCACAUCAUUAGUUUGGUCUUAUCAACAUCAAAGCAUGCUUUUACAAGAGCUAGUUCUUUAACCUCUUAUUAAACUUGGAAACUAAAACCAAAUGGCUAAAGUUUUGCUUUCUAACAAUAUAUGUGACAGUCAUAUCCAUGAACAUUCGACACAGGCACCGUUGAUAUUUGUGCAGGACAUUUAUUAGAGGGUAUUAACUUGUGACUUAAAUAAGUCUGUCCACCCAAAACUUUACUUAUUCAACCACAGCGAAGACAAUAGAGGCAGAUAUUCCAAAAUGAAACUGCAUGCAGUAGGAUAUUAAUUAACAAAAUUGAUUUAAGUAUGUCAACAUUUUCCAAGAAAUGUUUAUUUCUUUUAGCCCUCAAAUAAACAUCUGUGUCUUUUGUCCAACUAUUCUGAUGGCAUUGUACCAUAAAAGCAUUCAUAUAGCAUCUUAUUCUUUUGAACUUUAUUUUGUUACUUUGAGAAGAUAUCACACUAUCUUAUUGUAGGGUCAACUUUCUAUAUGAUCAUGUUAUGCGAUGGCAAGCCCUCGAACCUAUUUGACAUAUGUAUUACACGGCCUAUGAAGCAAACAUAGAUAAACCAUGUACACAAUAAGCAGGCUUGACACCCACACACCCAAUUGGGAAUGUUAUAACACCACUGGAAUCAUGAAGAGCACAAUAAAUAAUAUAGAACCACUCAAUAUAUUAAAAUAAAUUUCUUAUAGAAAACAAAGUAAUACCUCUAAUGAAGAGAAUGCCAUUUGCAAAUGGGGGACUCCAAACAGUGGUUUCAUGAUCCACCAUAUACAUAAGACGAGAUCGCAAAAUAUGUGUUGUAAACAGGCACACCUCAAGGAGAAUAUAAUAGUUGCCUGUAUACAUUUGCAAAAUUAAGGAAUCAGAGAAACAACAUUAAGAUACCAAUAUAACGUUCUUAAAAGUAAAGAACACUGCUUAAAGUUCCAGACAACAAAGCCAAUGACUUAAAGAUAGGAAACCUUACCCAGACCACGAAAUUCGAACAUCUGAAAAGCCACUCAUGAUAUGCAACAAAAUCUCCAUGAAAUUUUUUCUUCGCAAGCAAAACCACAUCCACACAUGACAAACACGCUCCGAUGACUGCUACAAAAUGUAGAAUCUUCUCUGGAAAUUUUAUCUAGAUUUUUUUUUUUUUUUUGGAAGCAUUUCUACAUAUUGUGAGUUGCUCAGGUUGAAAAUUUAGAGCCAUAACCACUGUUUUGCUACCAAUUUAAAUCUAGAUGAAAAUUUAGAAUCAAAAGAAAAGAAAAAGGAAGGAAAGGGGCAAGGAGGUCAUGAAGAAUAGUAGCAUAUUUUAGUUAUUACCAAUAAUGAAGGACUAGAACUAAAUAGUAAAGCAACAGCUGAUACAUAAACCAUAUAUCUGCCAUAGAAAGCUAAGCGGGAAUCAAGAAAGUCAGCAGAACAUGUAUUGAGUUUACUAACAGAGAAUUAAUAAAACUAAACAGGCUAGGAUGAAGGGGGCAAGAAUAAAAGAAAAGGCAGAACUUAUUCAAUAUCCUCUAAUUUCUCAAUAAGAAAGAAUUUCAACACGAUGAUGAAGGUCAAGUUUUCACCAGCUACUCGGAUAAGGAUCAAAUACCACAAAGUAGUCAUCAAAACUAACUUUACACUGAAUGUACUGUCGUAUUAAGAAAACACAUGCUUUUUUUAGAAGCUAUUUGUUGAUAAAUUUUUAGGACUAAUAAAGAUGGCUAUUUUGUGUACAUAAAGCGAAUAUCUUAUUCUUUUGGAAAAGAAACAGAAAAGGUGAAUAUAUUUCCAUACAAGAGGCAUGAACCUUAAAUGGAAAUUUCUUAGUAGACAUUAAAAAGAAGAAUUGAAAAGAGCAUAGCUGUAUAUAGAGAAGAAUCCUACCCUCCAGUUUGUUCUGGCACUUCUUCUCAUAAUUCCAAGGAUGCAAAUCAUGGAGAUAGUUGCUGCAUUUACACCAAAACCUAAGACCGUAAACACGAAUAAGGAAAGCCAAAUUCAUAGAUACAAUUACUGCUUCUGUGCCAAAAUGAAGCGUAAAAAAACUAAACGGAAUAUAUAAAUAACUCAUAAAUUAAGAAAAGGAUAUAAGUCAUCAAAACAUUGCGAGAAGCCAUUUCCAUCCCAAACCUGGAAACCAAACAAUAAAAUAGGAAAACCACAGUGAGAAACAUAUCACAUGUAUCUUUUAAACAGUUGAAACUAGAGAGAUAGAGAGAGAUAGAAUUCAAACUAAAAGUAAGGUAUGGAAAAGUAGUUUCCAUCUUAUUUCUUUUCAGUUACUAGAAAAAUUUAAAAUUCCAACGCAUUUUCUCGGCAAACAACCGUAGGUUGAGCACAAUGUAUAAAGCUUAAAACCCUCGUUAUUUGGCUCCUGAGAAAAUCCGAGGGAAAAUAGAGAGUCUCCCUAAAGUCAAAGAGGUAAAAGAAAAAGGAAAUUCCUUGCAUGUCCCUUGAUUUUCUGAACACACAAACAGAGGUUUCAAGUUUUAACCAACACAAAAUAAAAAACAGAGCCGAAACAUUCUUCUUCAGUGGACCAAGAAAAACUAGUUUGGUUGCCAAGAAAAUGAAAAGGAAAACAGAAUCCAAGAAAAGUUGGACUUACGAAAGGAGACUUGGGGCAAAGGAGAAAUUUGAGUUGCUUCAUUUUUGGGUGAUCAGUUUGGCUUUAGGAGCCAAAAGAAAACGGUUUUAAAGGCGAGGGAGAAGCUGGGAGGCACUUGGGAGUUGAUUUCAUGCUAUUUGGUGGCGAGAUUUUUUUAGUGUUACAGGGAUGGGAUGUAUAACUGUCUUUUUCUAGUGGGAGAAAGAGUACACGUGGCAUUUGCGUAAACUCCAACCAACAGUCAAGUCAAGUCAACACAAACUCUUGGCACUGCUUGGCUGGAGGAGAAAAACAUGCUGAUAAAAGAAAAUGUAGUUUUCUUUUGAAAAAAAUAAAAAGAAAAAAAAGAAUGGAAAUAACUCGUUAAUAACGGGUAAUUUUUUAAAAAAAAGUACGAAAAAUUUAAAAAAAAAACAUAUAUUUCCUAUAAAAACAAUGAAGGCUCAUAUAAAUCCCUUGACUUUUGUACUUUAAUUAGUUUUACAUAGUAUUUUUAGUUAAUUUAUCUUAGAGACACCAACCAGCAAAAUAUUCGUUAUUUGUAAAUACUUGAAUUCGAGUUUUAUUUUUUUGAUAAAGUACUCAAAUCGUAUAAAUAUUUAAUUAAUUUUUUUAAUUUUUAUCUAAAUGCUUACUUGAAUACUCUAGAUAAUACCAGUUAAGCAUCCGAUUAAAAUAAAUUUUGAUAUAUAUUAUUUAUAAAUUAAAGUUAGUUUAUAAAAAAUAAAUUAAAAUUUAAAAUCAUAAUUAAAAUAAUUAAUUAAUUUUAGUAAAUAUUAGCUUACUUACAAAAAAUAUAUAAAUAAAAAAUAAUAUAUAUUAAUUUAAUAUUAAAAAUUAUUAUUUAUAAUCUAUUCUUGUAGUAAGUACCCAAUAACCAUUGCUCAAACCUUAUCCAUACUCAAUUAUAGAAUAUUUUAAUCUUACAUGAGUAAUGCAAUAUAUUUGUUUAUAAAGUUUUUUAAAAACAAAAAGCAAAAUAUUUAUCAAUAUCUCUAGUCCAUCUUUUAAAAUUGUUCUUGAUAAAGAAAUAUAUAUAUAUAUAUAUAUAUAUAUAUAUAUAUGAAAUCUUAAUUAUUUUACUUUAUUUAAAAAUUGAGUUCAAAUUUUUUUUCUUUUUCGAAUAAAAAAAUUCUUAUAAAGAAUAAAAGAUGGGAGAAGAAUGGAUUGCUUGGGUUGGAACCAUAUCUAUAAGAAAAAGUAACGUAUUUAUCGCAUCUCAUCAGUCAUCACGCCAUCACAUAUUGAGAUCACAACCCUUUUUUAAUUCCACUUUUCAAAUUAGUGAGAGCAGCUUUUCUCUUAGGAUCAAAUAAAGAUCCCUUAGAUAUGGAGAACUGGAAAAAAAAAAAAAAAGAGAUAAAGAUUCCUGUUUUGGCGAGGCCGAGCUUAAAGAAAGGAAUAAAGAUCCCUCGGCCCCAUGCUGUUUUUCCUUGUUGCUGUCACAUGCACGAAGAAGAAUAAGAUACUAAAGCCUGAAAGCUGAAGCCAUGCCAUGUAGAGUUCCAUCAUGCGCUGCACGUAAAGCUGUCCUCUUUCUUUUUGGAGAAAAGGAAAAGGAAAAGAUGAUAUGAAAUAGAUUAAAAAAAUUCCCACCUGCACCUGCAAUAUUAGAACAAUAGUGCAGUUACAGUAUCCUCGUGGAUAAAUACUAAACUUUCCAUUUAUUCGAAUAUUCAAUUCUCCUAUUACUUGUAAAUUUUAUUUUUUAUUAUAUUUUUAAAUAUAUCUAAUCAAAUAAAUUAGACCUGGUAAUUUAGAUACGACACGUUAACACGAUACGAAAAGAUACGGGUUAAACAAGUUUUGUGUUUACCUUUAACGUAUUUCGUGUCUAAUCGUAUCUGACACAUUAAGACACGAAAAUUUUCGUGUCUUAACGUGUCUAAUCGUAUCUGACACAUUAAAACACGAAAAUUUUCGUGUCUUAACGUGUCAGACACGACAAACACGUUUAAAACACAUUUAAAUACGUUUACUUAAUCGUGUUAUCGUAUUUAAACGUGUAUACGUGUUUAAACGUGUAUACAUGACAUAUUUAUUAACCUAUUAAACAUUUAUAGUUAAAAACUAUUUUAACUUUAUAUAAAUAAUUUUUAAUAAUUAUUUGAUGUGUAUUUUAACCUUAUAUAUAAUAAUAAAUUUUAUAUAUGUUAUUUAUAUUAAAUUUUAUUAUAUUUGAUGUUAUUAUUAUUAUUUUUUUGUUAUAAUUAUUUUUAUAAUUAUAGAUUUUAAAUUUAAAUAAUAAAAUUAUAUUUAAUUAUAAAUAUUUUUAUUUAAUCAUGUUAAACGUGUUAAUCGUGUUAAACGUGUUAAUCGUAUUAAACGUAUUAUUAAUCGUGUCGUGUCGUACAUUGACACGUUUAAUAAACGAGUAAAACGUGUUAAUCAUAUCGUGUCGUGUUACACAUGUAUUAAACGUAUAUGUGUACGUGUUUUAAAUUUAAGACACGAAUAUUAAACGUGUCGUGUUUGUGUUUAGCCUUAACGUGUUUCGUGUCCAAACGUGUCUGACACGUUUAAGAUACGAAAACACGAAUUGUCAUGUCUAAAAUAAACUUCUCAUGCCCAUAUUUCUACACUUUACAUUUUAGAAUAUUCUCUCUAGGUUAAUCACUGGAGAUGUCCAAUUUUAGUUAUCAUUAUUUUUUUAAGUAUUAUUUUAGGGUAUCAAAUACAGAGAAAUGAAAGUAACUCAAAACGAAUGACAGGAUUCAUGUUUAGGAUAUUUUAGAGAGUUUGGUUUAGUGGUUCUCAUUAGAAGGUAAUGAAGAGGAUUUCUCUUAACCUUUCCUUAAAAUACUCGUGCUUUACCAUUUCCUUACACGUGGCACAUUGUUAAGUGUCACUAUUCUACUACUUAAAACAUAUGCACACUAUCUAAUUACGUGCUUUUCACAUAACAUCCAAUAAGUAGUUUUUUAACGUGCUCUUCCCAUAGUGAACAUGAUUUUCCCAUAAUAAGCACAUUCUUUCAUACAAAACAUGUUCUCCUAAAAAUGCUCUUCUUCUACCUAACAAUUAAGCAAGGUAUCAGAAAAUUAUUAAAGAUUACUCUUAAAACUCUUCCUAAGCUCUUCUAAAUAUUCUUUUUACUCAGCUCUUUCCAUCUACCGUGCUUUGUUGCUUUCUCCACCUUUUCUUAUUCCUCAAUGUCUACCAUCAAGACACUUGCAUUUCAAUGACUGCUCCAAUCUUCUUCUCUACUGCCUUUAGUGCAUUCCAUUUUACUUAUUGCAACACAUCCUCUCUCCUUACCAGAAGAACCUUUUACAUUUUGGUGACUCCAUUAGAGAGGAGUGAUUGCAUUAAGUGAAGGUUAUUGAAAAAUUUCUUUGUUAGAAGAUAUGGAGAGUUAUCCUGGCAACCAAGAAACACUCAUCACCACUUACGUCUAGGAUCUCAUGAAAAUGCUCUAAGCCUUUCAAAAAAAGAUACAAGUGCUAAAGGAUAACAACAAGCGAAUGAUGAAAACCAUUACCUAGUUUGCAUCCUAGACUACCAUAACCUCUUAACCUCAACCUAUGCCACCCCAUAAUGGUGAAAAUGUCGCUAACAUGAUCAACAAGACUCUCAUGAUGAAAAGGAGCUAGUCAAAGUCUACAUCCAAGUUAUGUUCGAUGAAUUUAAAAUGCAUUUGGAAAACUUACCUCUUCUUGCUUUUGCCACUUUAGUUGAAGUUACACAACAUACCAAUAAUAUGAUUCUUAGGCUAAAAGGAGCCAAUUUUUCAAUAAAAGGAACAUCCUGACUAUGAAUGCAAUCCAAGAAAGAGGUAAGGAAAAAAGAGGUCCUCGAGAAAACUAGAAGGCAAGGCAAGACAACUUCAAAAGAAGAUAAGAUAAAGAGAUUGUUGCACCCUUUUCCAUUCCCAAUUCCACUUGACAAAGUAAGGGCACUCCUUCAAGAAUGGAUUAGAGACAGGCAAGUAAAUUUGCCUUACAUAUCAUGAUCACCAAUAGUAGAAAAGAAAACCAAUCUGCAGUAUUGCGAUUAUCAUUGCACUGUGGGUCAUCCAUUAGUUGAAUGCAAGAACUUGGGUAUAAUAUUUCACAAGAGUACACAAGUAAGAAAAGUUUUGAUUGGAAACAACAAGAUUCAAAAUAACCUACUCCCUGCUCAUCCAAAUGCUUGAAGGCAUGUAAGUAUAGUUAUAAUGUUCAAGAAGAGCUUUCCCCUUUCUUCUUUCUCUAAUCAAGAAAAUGAUACAUGUGCAACUACUAUGGUUACCUUCUCCAUUACUUGUUCACUCAUGAAGACAUCUAGUUUCAAGAAUUUUUUCAAUCAACUUGGCUUUAUAGAAGAGUCAAGAAGGAAAACAACCACAACCUUCGUAAAAAUGGUCGACGUGCAACAUGGUGAAUGUAGCUUAGUGGGAUAUCUUAUAAGGAAAAUGGCAAGCGGAUAUGAGAACGCUAUAAUAUUCAUUGAAGCAAACAUGUGCAAAUCACACCCUUAUCAUAGUAAACUGUUUUAUGUAGAUGGCAAUGUCAAUGGAUACCAAGUGUGAAGGACUUUCCUUGACGACAAAUCCUUAGUAAACCUCAUGCCAUUAUCUACCCUGAAAGUAGUGAAGAUAAACCUAAAGAGCUUGUGUCAUCCUAUAACCAUUACUUCCUUCGACAACAAAGUAAUUAAAAGUCUAAGACAAGUCAUGGUGAGUUUCAGGAUGGGACCUAUUCAAAACUAGACUUUUUUCCAUAUUAUUGAGUUGAUAUGACUUGUCAUCUCCUCGUAAAGAAGGAAGUUCUUGCACACUCAUAAUAUCAUUCCCUCUUCGUGCCACCAAUGCAUCAAAGGCUACUAAAAAAGGAAAGAAAUCUUCAUGCCAACAAUUAAGACACCAUUUAAGUGCCAUGAGGUAAGUUACACUGUAGCUUUUAUAUAUAUAUAUAAAGAACUAACAGAGAAAGGUGAAAUUGCCAUAACUAGGCCCAUAAGUGUUCCACUUCCAUGAUGGAAAAAGAACUCCCAAAAGAGGAGAAAAUUAUAUCAAAGAACAAAAAGUGUGGAGAAAAGAGAAUACGCUCAAAAAAAAGAGGGAAAACCUAACUAGAAUAAACUCUUAUACCCGCGAAGAUGGGUUGAUACUUUAUUGCUUAUGAUGGCAUACGGGGUCUGAAGAAAUAUUGUCUCUUGAUCCCCUAUCACAUGAACCACCUAUACCACCAUUUUGUUUUCAAGUGAAAAAAGUAGAAAAGGCACAUGAAGCAUCAAUUAUAGGCGAAUAGCUUCAAAAGCAAGUGAAGCUAUAAUAUAAUGAGUUAGAAAAGUUAAACUUGGUUGAAGAAUGAAAAACUCUCAAGCCACUCUUUAUAAGUAAAAGCUUUUUAGAGGAAUAGAUAAUAGUAAUGAUUUAGCUAUUAAAGGAAUUCCCAGAUGUGUUCACUUGGAACUAAGCUAAUGAAGUAACAUGCACAAGUUUUCCAUCAUGAAAUAGAAAGUCAAAUAAAAGAGGAAAUUAAUAAACUCAUUAAAGUUGGGUUCAUCAAGCCAAUACAUCACCCAAUUCAGCUAGCUAAUGUGAUUCUUGUAAGAAAGAAGAAUGGUGCAAUUCGGUUGUGCGUGGACUUCAGAGAUUUAAAUAAAGCUUGUCUUAAGAAUUAUUUUCCUUUUCCAAACAUUGAUACUCUUAUAAAUGCUACAGCUAAUCAUAAAAUGUUCUUGUUCAUGGAUGGGUUUAACGAAUAUAACUAAAUAAAGAUGGCACCCGGUGAUGUAGAGAACAUAGUCUUUAGAACUCUAUUUGGUAACUUUUACCAUACAAUCAUGUCAUUCAAAUUAAAGAAUGCAAGUGCAACUUAUCAACAUACCAUGACAACAAUCUUCCAUGACAUGAUGUAUAAUUUCUUGGAAGACUACGUGGAUGACAUAGUGGUGAAGUUUAGGAAAGCUUUAGAUCAUCUUGAAGACUUGAGAAGAGUGUUCGAGCGAUAUCGAGAAUAUAAGUUACGCAUGAAUCCCUUGAAGUGUGCCUUUGGAGUAAUAAUUGGUAAGUUUUUGUGUUUUAUGGUUCACAAGAAAGGCAUAUACGUGGACCUUGCGAAGAUAAAUGCUAUUUAGCCUAUGCCACCUCUAUCAAAUCAAAAGCAACUCAAAAGCUUGUCAAGGAAAGUUUUUUACAUUCGAAGGUUCAUUCUAGCCCUAAAAGAGAUCAUUAUGCCAUUUUAAGCUCUUUUCAAGAAAGAAAUAUAGCCAAUUGAGAUUGGUUCAAGCUUAGUUCCAAACAUACAAUUAUAUCAUUCACAUUAAAUGAGUAGAGGUUUUCAUUCAUCAAUAAGACAUCAAUUAUAAAGGUUAUAAGUCUAUUGAAUGAAGUCCAUAAGAUUAAUAUUCCUUGCAAGAAAAUUGUAAUAAGUUACUAUUAUGAAAUCCUUAUGCAUCAAAACAUAAUCUCUAAAUGUUCCUAGUCGAUGCAUCAUUGAGACUGAAUAUCAAUGAUGCUUAGAAACUGGUGCAUUGUGUGUUCCUUACUUGAAAAGUAAGCAACCAAUCUUAUGGGUUGAAGUAUUGAGAUACUUAAAACUAAAAUGUAAGUGCUUGUUUCAUGAGCAACUGAACAUGACCCCGACAUGAGAAAUGCAUUUGGUAUCCCACUUUAGUGUCUAUGCAAAUAAUUAUCAUGUGUUAAUCAUGUAAAUACUCCUUAGACUUAUAACACUGCGUUAUCUUAUAUGUGGAGUGUUAUAUAUUUGAUCAUAUCCCUGCAGGUUCUACCAAGGAUGCCAAAACAGGAUAUGGUUGGUUGUAGCAUGAAGCAUGUGAAGGCAAAUAUGUAGUUAAGAAAGGAAUCAUCACCCCAAGUGAUUUAAAAGACAUAUCCUAUUAGUUUUUUACUAAUAUUAGUUUGUUGAAGUCCUUGACCAAGGUGACUUAGAGAUAAUAAAAAGAGUUUCAUAAGUCUCUAUAAAGCUAAUAAUAUAACAUCAAGAACGAAUAUAGAGUUUAAUAAGAGUAGACACUGUACCAUGCUCUUACCAUUUUUGAAAUAUAUGACGAGGGAAUGAAUUACAUUAAUAGACUGUACAUUGAAAGAUUGUUAAAGAAUCCUUUGACUCUUUUAACAAUUGAGUGACCAUAAUGCAUUGCUAGAUGUCAAUCUUGAUCUAUGAAAUUGAAUUAAUUAAUUUAAUAAAAAUUAUAAUUAAAUUCCAUUGUGAAUAUAUUAUAAACUUAAUAGGUCACACAUAAUAAGUUACAAUACGAAUUAAAUUGGAAGUGUGAUGAUUUAAGUUGAACUUAAAUCAUACAAUAAGGUUUUAGCCUUUAUGGACUCAAUCAAAAUAGUUUAAUUAGAUGUAAAGCCAAUAUUAUAAUUAGUUAUAAUAUUAAAGCCUUAAUUGCAAACAAAUAAGGUAAAUUACAUAUGAUUUUAAUCUACAAUGACUUAAUUAAAAAAGUUUAAUUAAGUCUUUGGUUAUUAUUAUAAAGGGUUAUAAUAUUAAAGUCUUAUUUGCAGUUUAAGAAGUUAAUUAACCUAGAUAUAAAUAUUAUUUUUCAACAACUCCUCACAAGUUAGAAAAAGAAAAAUACACAAGUUAGGUUUUUUAGUUGUAAAAACACUAAAAAGAGAAUCCUAAUUGCAACCUCUCUUGAGAAAUUUUGAAAAAUAAUAUUCCAACUUUAUGAUUCAAUUAGGAAGAGUGUGAUUGUGUGGAGAGGACAAAUAGUUGUCCACCUUACUAACACAAAGGCAUAGUUAAGAAAGCUCCCUUCUUGUAAAGGUUUAUGUGCAAUCUUGUAUGCAAUUGUUGGAGGCCAAGCAUUUAAGUGACUCAAAUUCUUUACUUUUUUUGUAGUGUUCACAAGUUAAAAAAGGAAGAGAUACUAACCACAUUACCUGGCAAACAUAAUUUUUUUUUUAAUUACUCAUUUCUUUUGGUUUUGCUUGUAUUAAAACCACUAAGUUGAUCCAUGGGUGGCAACAUAGGAUUUUGUUUUGAUUUUUUUUUUUUACUUUUUAUUGAGUAUAACAUAAUUGUUAUAUAUGAUUUCUUCAAUGCUGUGUAAUACUUAACAGUGGUAUCAGAGCUUACCUUAGCUCAUUUUAAUACAAAACUAUGUCUCAUUGUUGUUAACUUAAUGCUUGAAAUGGACAUGAGCAGGUUCAAGCUGAUAAGGAUUUAAAACUUUUCAAAUCUAUUUUGAAAUUAUUUUAAUUUUCUAGGUAGAUUCGAUUUGUAAAUUUUAAAUCUUUGUUUUGAAUAUUCUAAUAUGAUUUUUAGUGUCUUAAUCUUGAAGAUUGAUGUAUGCAUCAGAUACACAAAAGAACUAGACAAAAUCUUAUUCAAUUUCAUGAUAAUAUGAUGUGGUUUUGAUGAUAAAAUUGGAUUCUAUCCAAUUUUACUAAUCAUUUAAUUUUCAACUUUGAAAAGGGGUUUUAUGGCGUUUAAAAUUACUUUAAAAAUUUGGGAGCAAUGCACAUUAGAAUAAUUUCAAGAGCAUUGUAGACCAGUAGCAAAAAGUAGUGAAAAAUCAUAAAACCAUGAUUGAAAUCACUACUGCUAAUAGUAGUUUCAAGCCAUAGUUUUAGCUAAGUAUGACAGCUUAAAGGGGGUCUAAUUUAUGCAAUUUGUUGCACUUAUUGGUUAACUUUUAGAGUUUAAAAUGAGUUCAAAAGUUACUUGAUAAGAUGACUAAAAUUAAGGGAUUAAAUCUCUAAAAUUGUGACACCAUAAAGCCAUAUAAGCAGUUGAAAUAGUGACUAUGUCUAGUACGAAUGUCACAGUUUUUGGAUGGUUUGGGUAGUUAAUUUGCAUUUAAAAAUCAUGAAAAUUUAAUAUGAAAAAGUUUCAUAUGUUCACUGACCAUAAAAAUUGGAGAAUUAAUUUCCUGAUUUAAAGUUGUUUUAAAAUCAAAUACCAUAACUACCCCACUGUUGCAUGCUGCAGCAAUAGAGCCAUAAUUUCAGGGUGAUUUGGGCAAUCAAUUUGCACCCAAAAAUUAAGUAAAUUUGAUAUGAAAUAGUUUCAUAUGUUGUUUGUCCAAAAAAUAAAUUAGGAAUUAUAAUUUUUAGAUUUAAGGUCCCAUAAAACAACACAACAGCGACUACACCAAUGCUGCCAACAACUGAUCAAUGCCACAAUUUUUGCGUUGAGACUUACCUAAAUUGCAUCCUUAAUUGGUACAAUUUAAAUUACAAAUUGACUAUCUAAAUAUUUACGCAAAAGUUCUAUAAAAAGAAUAAUUUUGACAUAAGAGAAUAAGAAAUAUGAUUUCUAAAAACAUGAUUGUCAAAAUUAAGAUUAUUAGCAUCCAUAAAUUAAAGAAUUAGAUUUUUAAAAUUAUGGUGCUCAAAACUACUCAUUAGCUUAUUGCAAAUUAUAAAAAUAACUCUACAAAGAUAAUAAAUUUUGACAUGAUAAAUUAUGGAAUCUUAUUCCUUAAUUAAAGGAUGUCAAAAAAUUUAUUUGUAGACACCAUAAAUCAAGGAAUUUGAUUCCUAAAAUUAUGGAUAUUAAAACAAAUAAAGACAAGUCUUUUAUCAUUAAUAAAUUUCCUUUAAUUAAGGAAGGAAAUUUGAAUAAAAUACUAAGACUAGUUAAAAAUUAUCUUAUCAUAUAUUCUGAUCUAAAUAACCUAAUAAAUUAGGUAAGAAAUGUAAUCUUUAAUUAGAUUUGAUUAGUAAACUAAGUUACAUAAAAUGUUUAGGAGAAAAAAAUUAAAAAAUUAUUUUAACUUUAAUAUUAAUUAAAAUAAUUAUUGUCUUAGAUCUUAAUUACCUAAUGAGAUUAGGUGAUGGAAUACAUACAACUUUAAUUAAUUUGAUUACUUAAAGUGUUUAAGAAUGUACUUUUCAAAAAAAAAAGUGUUUAAGAAUGCAAAUUAAAUUUGUUUUAAUUUGUAAUGGAAACUUGAUUCAAAUCCUAAUAAGAUUACGGACGGAUAAGUUGCUAAUUUUGAUUAAUAAUACAUUCCAUAUAUAUAUAUAUAUAUAAAAGGUUUCAUGUAUAGAAUUAAUUGGUUAUUUGAAAAUUUAAAAUUAGCAAAUUCAAAUGUAGAAAAAUUGAUAAUCUCAAAUAUCUCAUAUAUUUAACAAUUUGAAUGAGAUAUGUCUUUGAAUUUUAUUCAUAUUCAUGAAUGUAUGUGGAUAAUUAUGAACUUAGCCCAAUAUGAUUAUUUUAUGGUUAAAUGUAAAUUCUUGAUAUUUUUUAGAUAAACUUAUGUGUCCUACCUUAACUAUUUAUCUUAGUUUGUAAAAUUUUUUUCUCAUCUUACUCCCCUUAAAUGUAACUUGAGGUUUUUACAUUUUUAUGUAAUUAGAAUUCAAAAAAAUUAUAAAUUAAAUUUUUGUAAAAUCAAAAAUGAAAAACCAAGGCAACAAGGAGGACAAGAAGAUUACAAGCAAACUUUAAGAAUGUUGUAUAUAAUCAUCUAUGUUUGACCAAGCUAAUUUCCUUUGAUGGCUCAAGGAAAUUAGUAUAGUUAAAGUCCAUAAUCAUCCAAAGUAGUUUGCAUGUGAUGGAUUUGUUUUAUGCGAUUUAAUGAAUGAUAUGCAAUGCAAAGAAAUAUGCACGUGAUAGAUUUAUUUUAUACGAUUUAAUAAAUGCUAUGCAUGCAAAAAUGAGACCUUAAUAAAACAAAAGGAUAAAUCCCUAUGGAAAUAUUGAGUUACAUACUAUGCAUGAUUAAGUUGUUUUCUAUCAUAUAGCAAGAUAACUUGGUUGCUCUUUUAAUUGGAAGUUUGUUGAGAAAACAUAAGGCCAAACUUUUACACGAGUAUGUUUGAGCUAUUGGUGGGUCUUACUUAACUAGUUUCAUAAAAUCUGGAUGCGUAAAAACUCGAUUAUCAUGAAACUAGAGGCAAUGGUUAGGUGAAACAUAUAUGAUAUGUUUAGACAAUGUGUUGCCACCUAGCUGAUCUGGGAGUUAUAUUAAGAUACAAUGGUUAAGCACAAUUACCUACCUAAUCCACCUAUCAUGGUUUGUUGAGAAAACUCAAAGUCAUGACUGUAAUGGAUAGGGUCCUAGCCCAUUAUAAAGAUCCUAGUAAUGACUUUUCAAAAUGAAUUUAAAGGUUAUCAUUUUGCAUAUAAAAUAGUGGGAGAACUAUUUAAAAUCUUAAAACUUUGUUCUAAAUAGUUUUUUGCAUGUUAUUUACCAAUUGCUUUGCUUUAUUCAGGCAUAUUAUAUACAUUGUAAAUGACUAAUAAUUUGUCACUACAAAGCAUCUUAGAUGUAAAUAAACUCACUGACCCAAACUUCCUGGAUUGGUUUCGAAACCUCAAGAUCAUCUUGAAACGAGAGAAGAAAUCAUAUUUCCUUAACACUUCUAUUACAUCAGUCCUUACUGAUGAUACUAGUGUUAAGGAUUGGGAAGCAUAUCAAUGUCAUAAAGAUGACGAUGAUCAGGUAGCAUGUGUGAUGCAGGCCAACAAUGAUUUUUUACCUUUAAAAACGAAAUAAGCAAAUAAAUGUCCAAUCCAUGAUCCUUCACCUUAGAGAAUUGUUUGAUAAGGAAGGACGCACUAAAAGAUAUGAGAUCUUUAAGGAAUUGCUUGGCGCAAGAUGGUAAAAAGUAGUUCUGUCAAACCCUAUAUAUUGAAGAUGAUUGGACUCAUCGAGAGGCUUGGACAAUUGGGACUAGAUAUGGAUUAUGAGCUAAGUAUUGUCUUAGUUCUACAAUCUCUUCUUGACAACUUCAAUUAGUUUGUAUUGAACUUCUAUAUGAACCGUUUAAAACUACUAUUCUUGAAUUUCUAAACAUACUAGACACGACAAAGAAAUCCAUCAAGAAAGAUAAGGGAGCUUUACUUCUUAUUUCUUUUUCAAAAGCUCAAAAGAAGCUAGAGAAGAAAAAAACCCAUAAGGGGAAAAAAGUUAAGUCCUAAGAGAAAAAGGCACUAAAGCUUGAGGAAAGUGUCAAAAAAGACAAGGGGAUUUGCCAUCGUUGUGGCAAACUUGGGCAUUGGAGGAGGAAUUGAAAGGAGUACCUAGCUAUUGUGAGCAAGAAAAAGAAACUUACUGAAGUUUCUAAUUCAGGUACUAUUUGCUAAGUAACCCAACUUUAUAUUAAAGUAUAUAAUAGCUCAAAAUUGGUUCUCAUAUAUAUAACAUAUUGUGCAAACCAAGGACAAAGAUGAGUAGAAUCUUAGUUGAGGAGGUGACCCUAUGGAUGAACUACAUAGAACAUUAGAUGCUACAUUUGGAAAUUGCACUCCUAUUUAUGUUGAUAUGUUAGAUAAUUUAUUAGAAUAUUUUUGACACAUUAUUUUUUUAUUGCCACAUGGAUGGCUAGUGAAACAUUUAUGUUUGACAUUGGAUGUGAAGAACUUCUAUGUUUCAUGCUUAAAUAAUUAUUUGGAAUGAUUAUAUUAGUUUAAUUAUCCGCAUUUCAUAUUUAUCCUUGAAAUUAUGUUUGAUCAAUUAUGAAUUUCGAAUAUUUCAAAUAAGUUUGAAUAAAAAACUUAUAUCAAUCGAUAAGUUAUGUGAUUUUACUUAAAUGAGAUAUUAGUAAAAGAUCACAUUAGUUCAUGGCUAAUUAAUCAAAAGAGUGAGAAUAGAUUCAUGAAAGGUGGAACUUUCUAAAUGAAUAGAGGAUGUUUAUUCAAAGAGGAAAGCAAUUUCAUAUAACGAUAUGAUUUGGUCUGUACUUUUCCAAUAUAUACAUAUCCCAUUAUAAUAUUCCAAACCAAUAAGAUUCCAAACAUACAUCGAGAUGUAUUUAUAUGCAUAUAUAUAGCAUCAUGGAAUAUUCAAAAGAGUUUGAAUAUUACUCUCACAAAUGAUCUUGCGUUUUGUAGGAUCAUGAUGACACUAAAAAAAGAAAUUUCUUCAACAUUACUUAGUUCCAUUGGAAUCUAACACUUUAGUUUUUUACACAAAGAUGCAUAAUUAAAUGUUUGAGAACUCCAUAGAUUUAGUAGGAUACAUAGAGGAUGUAUUAUUCAUAUCAUAUUGGAUGAAUCUACUAAAUUAAGUAAUCAUUAAAGUUGUACACUUUUAAAAGGAAUCCAAAAAGGUUGAAUUUAUUGAAAUGUACAAGUGCAUUUAUCUCAUACACAUAAGCAGGUUAGUGGGAGUGAAUCCAAUUCUUUGAUGAUACAAUUGCAUAGGAUGCAAUGUGUAUAUAAAGAAACUACAAAAUUUUAAAAGACGAAUAGCAUAACACGAAGUGACAUAUGCAUAUGAUGCACGCAAUAUAGUCCAAUUGGAAUGGUUCCAAAAAGCAAAAGGGAUUAUACAUGUAUAUAAAUAAAAUCAUACAGAUCAUAUUGUAAAAGGUUUCGAUAGGAAGAUAUUUAGACCAUUAGUUCAUUAAACUAAUAAAGGGUUUUAAACAUCGUUAAUGUAAUAAUAGAGCCAUUCUAAAAAAAUUCGAGUCUCAUUAAAUCUAAAUAUAGUAAUACGAUAAGAUGUUUGGACAUCACAGAAAUGAAUAAAAAAGAAAUUAACCACGUUUAAGUGUACAAACAACUCUCAUUAAAGACAUGAUUGCCAAAUGAAUUGGAUCCACAUACGAUGAAAUAACAAUUGGCUUUGUGCUAGUGGGAGAAUGUUAGAAUGAGCCUUAUAACCAAUUAAGAUUGAUUAAAGUUUAGUUCUAAACAUGCAAUUAUAUCAUUCACAUUGAAUGAUUAGAGGUUUUCAUUAAUUAAUAAGACAUCAAUUAUAAAGGUUAUAAUUCUUUUGGAUGAAGUCCAUGAGAUUAAUAUGCAUUACAAGGGAAUUGUAAUGGGUUACAAUUAUGAGAUCCCUAUAUAUCAAGCAUAAUAUCUAAAUAUUCCUAGUAUAUAUAUCAUUGAGAUUGGACAUCAAUAAUGCUUAGAGACUGGUGCAUUCUUUGUUCUUUACUUGAGAAGUAAACAGCUAAUCUUAUAAGUUGAAGUAUAAGGAUACUUGGAACUAUAAUGUAAGUGUUUGUUACAUGAACAAGUUCACUAAACGUGACUCGACAUGAAAAAUGCAUUUGGUAUCUCACUUUAGUGUCUAUGCAAAUAAUUCUCAUGUGUCAGUCGUAUAAAUACUAUUUAGACUUGAAACACCAAGUUGUCUUAUAUGUGGAGUGCUAUAUAUGUGAUCAUAUCCUUAUGGAUCCUACCAAGGAUGCCAAAGCAAGAUAUGGUUGGUUGUAGCAUGAAGCAUGUGAAGGUAAAUGAGUAGUUAAGAAAAGAAUCAUCACCUCAAGUGAUUUAAGGGACAUAUCCUAACAAAUUCUUGGUUGAUAUUAGUUUGUUAAAAUCUUUGGCUAAAGUGACUUGAAAAUUAUGAAAGAGUUUAUAAGUCUCUAUAAAGCUAAUGAUCUAACAUCAAGAAUGAAUAUAAAGAUUAAUAAGAGUUGACAUUGCACCGAGCUCUUAUUAUUUUUAGGAUAUAUGAUGAAAGAAUGAAUUAUAUUGAUAGACAGUACAUUGAAAGGUUUUCAAAGAACCCUUUGACUCUCCAAACAAUUAGGUGGCCAUGAUGUAUUGUUUGAUGCCAAUCUUGGUCUAUGAAAUUGAACUAAUUAAUUUAAUACUGAUUAUAAUUCAAUUUCAUUGCUAAUAUGUUAGGAACUUAAUAGGUUACACACAAUAAGUUACAUUGUGAAUUAAAUUGGGAGUGUGAUGAUUUAAUUUGAACUUAAAUCAUACACUAGGGUUUUAACCUCUUAAAGACUUAAUUAAAAUAGUUUAAUUAAGUGUAAGGCCAAUAUUUUAAUUAAUUAUAAUAUUAAAACCUUAAUUGCAAACAAAUAAAAUAAAAUAAAAUAAAUUUGAUUUUAAUUUACAAUGACUUAAUUAAAAAUGUUUAAUUCAAUGUUGGGUCAUUAUUACAAAAGGUUAUAAUUUUAAAGCCUUAUUUGCAACUUAAGAAGUUAAUUAACCUAGAUAUAAAUAUCAUUUUUCAAUUACUCUUCACAAGUUAGAAAAUGAAAAGUAUACAAGUUAGAUUUUUGAGCUGUCCAAAAACUAAUAAGAAAGCCUUCAUUGCACCUUUUCUUGAGAAAUUUUGAAAAAAUAGUUUUCCAACUUUGUGAUUCGACUAGGAGGAGUGUGAUUGUGUGGAGAGGAUAAGUGGUUGUUCGCCUUGUUAGCAUAAAGGCAUAGUUGAGAAAGCUUCCUUAUUGUCAAAGUUCAAGUGCAAUCGUGUGUGCAACUGUUGGAGGCUAAGCAUUUAAGUGGCUCGAAUUCUUUGCUCCCUUUAUAGUGUUCACGAUUUAAAAAAGGAAAAAAUACCAUCGUGAUAGCCACAUCACUUGGCAAAGGUAAUUUUGAUUUUUUAAUUACUCCUUUCUUCUAGUUUUAUUUGUAUUAUAAUUGUAAUAUAUGAUCUUUUCCAUGUUACGUAAUACCCAACAAGAAGUUUCAUUUUCAUAGGGUGAGCAGCAACAACAUGCCUACAAGAAAAUCAAGGGUAUUUUUGCUUCUUUCAUGACAAUGACCAUGCCAAACCAAGGGGAACCAAUGAUGUUAUACCUCACUACAACUCCACACUCAAUUAGUGCUUUACUUAUUCAAGAAGUGGAGAAGCAAGAAUGACUUGUGUAUUACCAGAGUAGAUGUUUACAUGGAGUGAAUUGAAAUACCCACCAAUGGAGAAGUAUUAUCUUGCGUUGAUGUAUGCAACUCAAAAGCUUUACCAUUACUUCUUGGCUCACAAACUUAUAGUAAACAAAGCAGAUCCCAUCUAAUUCUUGCUUUCUUGGCUAGCCAUAUUUAGGAGAAUAGCAAGGUGGCUUCUCUUACUUAGAGAGUUUGAUAUUUCGGUUAUGCAACCCAAAACGAUCAAGUCUCAAACUCUUUCAUAUUUAUUUACGCAUUUCCCAUCUCAAUUUAAAGAAGUAAUACCUGAUUCUAUCCUAGAAGAACUCCACGAGGUAUGCUCUGUCAACACAUAAGAAGAAUGGGAUUUGUAUUUUGAUGGUUUUUCCACUACGUUUAGUAGAUGUGAUAGGAUAUUCUUAAUUUCCCAAAGAGAAAUUCACUCGAUAAGUGAGUCAUCUUCCAAUUCUCAAACAGUCAAGCUCAUUCAGAGGAGAUGGACAAGGUGGACAUACCAAGUAGAGAAUAAGAUAUUUUCAACCUAAAAAUAGAGCUUCAUGUUCUAUAGUCUAGAACAAGAACUCUUUCUUUUUCCUUCAAGUUGGAUUUUCCCUGCACCAACAAUGAAGUACAAUAUAAAGCAUUGAUUCUAAAGCUGUGCGCAACUAUUAUUAUCCAAGUCAAUAGCUUGUGAUUUUUCAAGAUAUGAUUUUUUAAUGUAAGCACAUGAGAAAUGAUAAAAGCAAUAAAUUCUACACUCAUGAGCAAGAUCUCAUUUACAAAUUUUAUCAUUGUAAGCAUAGAUGGGAAAUUAUAAAAUCAAUAUGGGUGUCAUGUUUGAAAACAAAUAAAUUUGAGCAUUUAAGAGAAUAUUUUCCAUUUUUUAGUAAGUUUUGCAAUUUCAAGAACAUAAAUUUCUACCAAACGAUCAUAAAAGUGUUCAUAAUGCAUGUUUUGAGGUAUCAAUUUACAAAUUACUAACAAGAUUCUCAUUAAGCACACACACACACACACACACACACACACACACACACACACANNNNNNNNNNNNNNNNNNNNNNNNNNNNNNNNNNNNNNNNNNNNNNNNNNNNNNNNNNNNNNNNNNNNNNNNNNNNNNNNNNNNNNNNNNNNNNNNNNNNNNNNNNNNNNNNNNNNNNNNNNNNNNNNNNNNNNNNNNNNNNNNNNNNNNNNNNNNNNNNNNNNNNNNNNNNNNNNNNNNNNNNNNNNNNNNNNNNNNNNNNNNNNNNNNNNNNNNNNNNNNNNNNNNNNNNNNNNNNNNNNNNNNNNNNNNNNNNNNNNNNNNNNNNNNNNNNNNNNNNNNNNNNNNNNNNNNNNNNNNNNNNNNNNNNNNNNNNNNNNNNNNNNNNNNNNNNNNNNNNNNNNNNNNNNNNNNNNNNNNNNNNNNNNNNNNNNNNNNNNNNNNNNNNNNNNNNNNNNNNNNNNNNNNNNNNNNNNNNNNNNNNNNNNNNNNNNNNNNNNNNNNNNNNNNNNNNNNNNNNNNNNNNNNNNNNNNNNNNNNNNNNNNNNNNNNNNNNNNNNNNNNNNNNNNNNNNNNNNNNNNNNNNNNNNNNNNNNNNNNNNNNNNNNNNNNNNNNNNNNNNNNNNNNNNNNNNNNNNNNNNNNNNNNNNNNNNNNNNNNNNNNNNNNNNNNNNNNNNNNNNNNNNNNNNNNNNNNNNNNNNNNNNNNNNNNNNNNNNNNNNNNNNNNNNNNNNNNNNNNNNNNNNNNNNNNNNNNNNNNNNNNNNNNNNNNNNNNNNNNNNNNNNNNNNNNNNNNNNNNNNNNNNNNNNNNNNNNNNNNNNNNNNNNNNNNNNNNNNNNNNNNNNNNNNNNNNNNNNNNNNNNNNNNNNNNNNNNNNNNNNNNNNNNNNNNNNNNNNNNNNNNNNNNNNNNNNNNNNNNNNNNNNNNNNNNNNNNNNNNNNNNNNNNNNNNNNNNNNNNNNNNNNNNNNNNNNNNNNNNNNNNNNNNNNNNNNNNNNNNNNNNNNNNNNNNNNNNNNNNNNNNNNNNNNNNNNNNNNNNNNNNNNNNNNNNNNNNNNNNNNNNNNNNNNNNNNNNNNNNNNNNNNNNNNNNNNNNNNNNNNNNNNNNNNNNNNNNNNNNNNNNNNNNNNNNNNNNNNNNNNNNNNNNNNNNNNNNNNNNNNNNNNNNNNNNNNNNNNNNNNNNNNNNNNNNNNNNNNNNNNNNNNNNNNNNNNNNNNNNNNNNNNNNNNNNNNNNNNNNNNNNNNNNNNNNNNNNNNNNNNNNNNNNNNNNNNNNNNNNNNNNNNNNNNNNNNNNNNNNNNNNNNNNNNNNNNNNNNNNNNNNNNNNNNNNNNNNNNNNNNNNNNNNNNNNNNNNNNNNNNNNNNNNNNNNNNNNNNNNNNNNNNNNNNNNNNNNNNNNNNNNNNNNNNNNNNNNNNNNNNNNNNNNNNNNNNNNNNNNNNNNNNNNNNNNNNNNNNNNNNNNNNNNNNNNNNNNNNNNNNNNNNNNNNNNNNNNNNNNNNNNNNNNNNNNNNNNNNNNNNNNNNNNNNNNNNNNNNNNNNNNNNNNNNNNNNNNNNNNNNNNNNNNNNNNNNNNNNNNNNNNNNNNNNNNNNNNNNNNNNNNNNNNNNNNNNNNNNNNNNNNNNNNNNNNNNNNNNNNNNNNNNNNNNNNNNNNNNNNNNNNNNNNNNNNNNNNNNNNNNNNNNNNNNNNNNNNNNNNNNNNNNNNNNNNNNNNNNNNNNNNNNNNNNNNNNNNNNNNNNNNNNNNNNNNNNNNNNNNNNNNNNNNNNNNNNNNNNNNNNNNNNNNNNNNNNNNNNNNNNNNNNNNNNNNNNNNNNNNNNNNNNNNNNNNNNNNNNNNNNNNNNNNNNNNNNNNNNNNNNNNNNNNNNNNNNNNNNNNNNNNNNNNNNNNNNNNNNNNNNNNNNNNNNNNNNNNNNNNNNNNNNNNNNNNNNNNNNNNNUAUGAAUUGUUUUAUUUUACCCUUGCAGGCUGGGUAGUAAUAUAUUAGCCCUAUCAUGCUGUCAAAAUUUUAUUGUAUGGUGGGUUUGACCUGCUGCAAUGGGCUGGGUUUUGUAGACUAGCCUAUUAGAGGGGCACGGAAUCCUGUUAUAUUUUUACCUCGAUUGGAGAGGGGAGUAGGGUAACUCCUGAGGUAUAACUUUAAAGUUCACUUCACCCCAAACCACCACGUGAAGGGGAACUCGACCAACGCCAAAGAAUGACUAUGUUUUCAAAAUAAAAACAUGACUUUUUAAUAGCCUUGGCGGACUCAGUUGGGAUAGCCCUCGGCCAAGGUAUCCCAGAUAAUUGAGUAUGAUAAUAAUUUUUGGCAUGAGCCAAGCUUUUUAAGAAAUUCAUAAGCCAUACUGAUUACUUGCUUUAAAUAAAUUGAUUUCAUUUGGUUGAAAUAAGUUGAAAGAUGAUAAAUUACAGUUUGAUGAAAUGUUUUAAUAGUCUCCUUUUACUCGAUUUUAGAUAUUUUGAGUGAUGUUUGUUUACUCACUGGAAUUUUAUAAUCUCACCACCCUCAUUUCCACCCAUUUCAGGCUCAGAAUAGAUUGUAGAUAACUGAUAUCGACGAGGAUUACAAUUGAACUUGCCACAUCCAAAGACUGUAGGUUCAUUUUUUUUUAUACUUUUGAUCAUUCGUGGGCCCACGUGUCACUAUAAAUUAAAUUCUAUACUUUGGCUAUCUAUAUUACGGUAUGUAAGAAUUUAUUUUGCUUUUACGCUAUAAAAAUUAUUUAUGCAAUGUUCUUAAAAUAUCGUUUUAUGUGAAAAUUGAAUAUUUUAUUUAAUAUUUUUAUUUUAUUAUGACACUCAUAAUUCCAUUUUAAACGAAUGUUUUAGACAUCCAAAAUUAUUUUUGAUUAUGAAAUAUGUGUUUUCCACUUACAUACUAUAUUUUUAGAUGAUUUUGAGAUUUUUGGGAUAAAUGACCAAAAUACCCCUAUGAGAUGGAAAUUAUUAUUUUAUUUGUUUAAGUUGGAAACAGUUUAAAAUCUUUUAGAAUAUGGUAUUUGGAAACAGUUACCCACAGGGGAAAUGAGAAGCUGAUAUUAAAGCCUUGCGGGGUUUCGGUUGACAUUCUGGGUAAUGAAUGUCGAUCGAGACGUCGCGGCGGUUGUCACGGGCUCGAUGGGAGUUCCGGGUCGUGACACUUAAGCAUGCUCAAAUUUCAUUAUAAUGCAUGUAUAUGAUGUAUGAAAUGUGCAACAACCAUGUUAAACAACAUUUAAGCAUAAUAAGCUUCAAAUUUAACACUUUUCAAUAUUUUUCAACAUAUAGACAAAAAUGCCCUUGAGGUCAUUCAAGCAUUCAUUUGCAACAAAAGCAUAUCAUAAUAACAUUUUCAACAUUAGGCACACUUGUUUAAGUUUUAUAUCAUUGAAAUCAUAGUGACCUUAAGCAUUGCAAAAGAUUUGUUCAUUUGCUUAAAAUGUCAUCAAUGCAAUUUUUCACACUCAUGAUCAUGCUUAAAAAAACAUUUUCAAUCUAUUUCACAAAUCAUAAGAGAAAUGCUAAGCAAAAAAGAAUUUAUACAAUUCACUUAUCAAAUCAAUUUGUUCAACCAUGAUGUAUUAUCAAAGGCAAAGAGUUUAUAAAUCAAUUUCAAUCAAAGAAAACAAAAAGGUUUUGCAAGAAAAUCAUUUAAUCUCUCUUUUAAAAAAAAAUUUGCACUUCGAACAUACAAGAAUUAAGUUGGACAUGCUUUGUACACAAUCAUGAGCUCAACGUCACUCAAUUUUGUUUAUUUAUAUUUUAAAUUAUUUAUGAAAUGUGUUAUGAGCAUAAUGAAUCAAAUUUGUGCAUGUCAAGGGUCAUUUUUAAAUAUCUCACAAUCAUGUAUCAAAAAUACCCUUAUGACCAUUCAAACUUGCAAGCACACUUGCACAUCCAAUAAUAACAAGUUAAUAAUUAUUUUCAUCAUAAAAAAAUUAUUUAAUUCAUAAAUCAUCAUAAACUCAAGGAUGACAAACAUUACUCAUAUACACUUGUUUUUGUUUUAGAAGUACUAGUUCGAGUAGUCAAAACUUAUCAAGCUCAUUAUUAAUCAUCUUGAGCUAUUUAAGCAUGUUUUAAAUUGUAAAUCAAGAUUGUUCAAAUGGUUAAAUUAUCUUAGACACAAGGAAAUAAAAAAGUCAACUUUGAAAACACAAUUUUUCUUGUUUAUAUUACUAGCAUAGGCAAUUAUGUAAAUCAAUAUUUUAAUCAUAUUAGCCACUUCACAUGUCAUUAAGAUCAAACCUUUUAUGCUAAAAAACCAUUUUUCCUCAAACACAAUAAUAUGAAAUCAUUUUCACAAAGCAUGAGGAAAUUAUAUCUAAUCAAUUUUUCACCAUCAAUAAAACUCAAAUCAAUCGGAAAAAUAAAGCAAGUUUCCAAAAAAUAAGCAUAAUGAUGUAUUCAAGAUUAAACAUAAGCACAUACUCAAUCUUUAGGCUUAUGUUUUCUUCAAGAUUAUGUAAUUUAUAACAUGUAUCAUGUUUAAAUCAAUUUUGUAUAAUUAAGAUUUAUCAAUAAAGCUCAAAAAAGAGUAGACAAAAAAUUAUGCAUUUAGUAUUCAAGCAAGAUAGGCAAUUAAAUUCUAAAUAAAAAAAGCAACUAUCUUGAGAAACCAAGCUAAAUCAAUGCAAUUCAAGAAAAUAAGAGCAAAUGAUUAACCAAAUGAUUGACUUUUGGUAUAGAAAUCACCCAUUUUUCAUUAUGUGUCUAAAAAGCAUUCAAUCUUCAAGAGUUUGUUCCUCUUUACUGUAGCAUACCUGCAAGAGAUAUUUUUCAUUUGAUCUUUGGCAUCCAAAUUGAUUUGGAUCCUUUAUAGUUAGUUGCAUCAAGUGCCUUUUAGAACCCACACUUAUAUAAUUCUAUUGGAUAAGUGUUUUCUAAAUAGAUAAGUGCAUGAAUAAUGACCAUAAAAUGAACAAUGAUUGCAUUUGGUCAAUUUAGAAAACGAGAGAUUCAUGAAAACUUUUGGUUUUUCAUUUGCCAAAUCUUCAAGCUUCAUUUUCACAUUAAGAUUCUCCAUUUUUAAGACAUCAAUUUUCUUUGGCAAUACUCAAAAUUAAUUUUCUAAUUUUUAUUUUCAUUUUCCAAAUCAUCUUUUGCCUUCAACAAAAAUUCAUUUUCAACACUAAGUUUUGAAAUCAUUUUCUUGUAUUUCAAAUUCAUUUUCUCAAACUCAUAAGUUAAUUAUUCAAAAGCAUUUUGCAAUUCACUAAAUGAAUAUGAAAUGGGUUCACAAAGUGAGGUAUCUACCUUAAGCCCUUUAAGAGCCAUGAGACAUGGUUCAAAUUGGAUUAGAGAUUGAAUUUGACUUGAUUCUUUAUCUCUAAUUGCCUUGCCACAUGUUAAACAUUGACUUUCACAAGGCUUUUCUUCCAAUUCUUCUUCCUUCUUUGUUUUGCCGUACAACUCUUCUAAUUUUUCUCAAUUCUUUUUGGCACUUUCACACUUCGAAACUCUCUUGUAAUCAUUAUCAUCAAGUGCACAAAGAAGAUAGCCCUAGCAUUAAGUUGUACCAUAUUUAUGUCACUUGUAUCCCACACUCUUUUUUCCUUAGUUGGCUUUUAUGGACCAUCAACAAUUGUCCAUCAAACUUUAUAAUGGUUAGCUAGAAUAAAGAACUUCAUUUUUUUCUUCCAAUAAACAUAGUUAUCAUCGUUAAACUGAGAAGGCUCCACCAGUGAUUGCCCUUCACCAAAAAUUGUUGCAAUAGAGUUAAUGGCCAUGUCUUGCAGCUAACAAGGAUCACUCAAAGGCUUUUAAACCUACAAAAUUGAGUUCAAGCUCUAAUACCAAUUGUUAGGAAUGUUAGCUCAAUAAUAAUGAAGAAAUAUCCAAGAAAUAGGUGAAUUGGAUUUAUAAAAAUUCUUUUCAACAAAUUAAACUUUUAAUGAAAGCAAGCCUGAAGACAAAUUUCUCAAAUUUGUUUUUCAUUUUAAAGCAUGUCAAAGGAAAUUUAAUAAGCAACUUAGCGAACAGACAAGUUGAAAACAAAUUUUCCAAACUCUUCAAAGUAAAAGGCACAAGUGUAAAAGUGAGGAAAAAUUAAGUUGUAGACAAAUUUCUAAAACUUCUUCAAGAUGAAAUGCAUAAGUUCAAGGAGUAAACAGUAGAGAGAAAAACAUAAAAAAAUUAUAGAGGUUCGACCCUCUUUAUAGGUGCAUAUGUCUUUUCCUUUAGUAAGCUAAGAAAUUUCAAAUCCAUUAUUAAAAAUACUUUUGAAGGCUCAAGCAUAACCUUUACAAUGCCUUCAAGGAUCAAGUAUAUCCUCUCAAUAUAAUGCCUUUUAUGAAUUAAGCACAACCUUUCAACACAAUACUUUUUAUGCAUAAAGCUUAACACUUGUAACACUACCUUUUGGAGGCUAAGGUAUAACCUUUUUCUCUUUUACAAGAUUGAAGCAAAUGUACCUCUUGAAGGUGAAUUUUACUAAGUAAAUACAAAGUUGGAAGAGUAUGAUAAUGAUAAAGAUGAUUACAAAAGAUGAGAAUGAAGGCACAAAGGAAUUAUAGCAUAAUAAAGAGUUAAAAGCUUGGUGGAAGAAUUGAAUUUGCUUGCUCUAGCUUGGUUUCUUUCUUUUGUUCUUCUUUUUCUUCAUAAGGUUUGAUUCGUAUUUAAAUGAUGUAUUUUUUUCACUCUAUUAACCUUGUAAAUGUGUUAAAAAAGUCUUUUUUAUAGUUGGAGAAACUUUAGAGCUGUUGGAGAAAGUUUGAUGAAGAAAUAGUCAUUUUCCUUUUAAAUUUUGUGUCUAACGGUCACUAUCUAUCAAUAGUUCAUGUGUAUCUUUUGAUAGAUACUAGGUAGAACCACAACUAUCAAUAGAUGUGAAACAUCUAUCGAUAGAUGAAGAACAUCUAUAGAUAGAUAAGAAACAAAAAGCUCUUUGAAGAUUCUUUUAAGUAAAUUUUUGCUUUACAUGCAUUAGCCUCUUUACUUGAUGAACCUAUCUUGGAAAUCAAGCACUUUAACAUCUCAAGAAUAAGUAUUAGAGAGAUUAUAAAGCUCAUUUAAACAAAUUUAACACUCAUACACCUAAAUCAAGCUUGUAAACUUUCAAGGAUCACUCAAAUAAUGUUCAAACAAUUUUGAAACUUUUUCACAUGGAAAUACUUACGAUCUUCAAAACUUAUGUAAACAAGUUUAAAAUAUGUCAAACAAGUUCAAAAACUCACUUAAACAAUUUCAAAAAUAAUUCAAAUAAGUUCAAAGAUCAUUCAAGUAAUCUUGAUCAUCUUUCACAUGGAAACACUUAAGCAUUUCAAAAGCACAUUCAAACACAUCUUGAUCAUCUUUCAUAUGGAAGUUUUUAACAUUAAUAAAUUAAGUUCAAAAACACAUUCAAACAACUUCAAAAAUCAUUCAAACAAGUUUAAGGAUCACUUAGAUAUGUUCAAAGACCAUUCAAGUAAUUUUGACCAUUUUUGUCAUUUCAAAACUAUAGUUAUUUUAAAGCUAAUAAAGCAAACUAUUGGGAUGAGCCUUGCAGCCAAUUGGGAUUGGUUAAAGUUUGAUUCCAAUCAUGCAAUAAUAUUAUUUAUGUUGAAUGAUUAGAGGUUUUUCUUCAUCAAUAAGACAUCAAUUAUAAUGAGUUAUAAGUCUAAUUGGAUGAAGUCCAUAAGAUUAAUAUGCCAUGCAAAAGAACUAUAAUGGGUUGUAGUUAUGAAAUCCCUAUGCAUCAAAAAAAUAAUCUCAAAAUGUUCUUAGUCAAUGUAUCAUUGAAACUAAACAUCAAUGUUGCUUAGAGAUUGGUAUAUUUUAUGUUUCUCACUUUGGAAGUAAGCAAUCGAUCUCAUAGAUUAAAAUAUAGAGAUACUUGGCACUAGAAUAGAGGUGUUUGCCUAAAAGAGCAAGUUUACUGAACAUAACCUACCAUGAGAAGUGCAUUUAGUAAUAUACUCUAGUGUCUAUGCAAAACUUCUCAUGUGUCAGUCAUGUAAAUACUUCAUAGACUUGAGACACUAGGUUAUCUUAUUUGUGGAGUGCUAUGCUUUAAUUUCAUCCCUACAAGUGCCUAUCCAAGGACACCUAAACAAGAUGCUUUUGGGUGUCAUAUGAAGCAUGUGAAAGCAAAUGAGUCGUCAAGAUAGGAAGUCACGCUUCCCAAACUUCUAAAUAUGUUGGACACAACAGAGAGGUCCAUAAAGAAAUAAAAGGUAUCAUUGCUUCUUGUUUCUUCUUCAAAGGCUCAUAUGAAGUAAUAGAAAAAAAAGCCCAAAUAAGGAAGAAGGUAAAAUCCCAAAAUGAGAAGGCAUUAACGUCUAACGAAGGUGUCAAAAAGGACAAAGAGAAUGAUAUUUGCCAUCAUUAUGACAAACUUAGGCAUUAGAGGAGGAACUACAAGGAGUACCUAACUAUUGUGAGCAAGAAAAAUAAGCUUAUUAAAGUUCUUAAUUCAGGUACUAUUUGCUAAAUAAUUCCACUUUAUAUAUUAAAGGUGAUACCUCAAAGUUGGUUCUCGUAUGUUUGAAAUAUUACAAGGACCAAAGAUAAAGAUGAGUAGGAUCUGGGCUGAAGAGUGGACCACAUGGAUAAACUACCCAAAGCAUUAAAUGCUAUAUUAGAUGGUUACACUCUUAUUUAUCUUGACAUGUUGGAUAAUUUAUUGGGAUGUUUUUGAAGCAUUAAUUAUGUUAUUGCCAUGGUAAUGGCUAGUGAAACAUUGGUCUUUAGCAUUUGGAUGAGGAAGCUGAUAUAUUUCAAGUUUGAAUAAUUAUGUCAUAUUUAAUUAUCCAUUCUUCAUGUUUAUCCUUGCAAUAAUAUUUGAUCAAUUAUGAAUUUGUUCAAUUGAUCAAAAGGUUGAAUAUUGAUUCAUAUAAAAUGGGACUUUCUUAAGAACAAAACAUAGAGAUGAAUGUUCAAGAAAGAAACCAACUUCAUAUUGCGAUAUGAUUUGGUCCAUUUCUCUCCAACAUAUAAUGCCCAUUAUAAUAUUCUAAACCAAUAUGAUUCCAAGCAUACAUUGAGAUGUAUAUAUAUGUGUAACAUCAUGGAAUAUUCAAAAGAGUUUGAAUAUUACUCUCACAAAAGAUCUUGGAUUUAGUGAGAGCACAUGAUGACAAUAAAAAUAAUAAUUUAAAAGAAGCCAAAUGGCAUAAUACAGAGCGACAUAUGCAUAUGACGCAUGCAGUUAGUCUAGUUGGAAUAGUUCCAAGGAGCAAAAGGGACUAUACGUGUAUACAAAUAAAGUCAUAUACAUCCUAUUAACAAGGGCUCUAAUAGGAAGAUAUUCAGAUCGUUAGUCCAUGGAACUAAUAAAGGGUUCGAAACAUUGUUAAUGUAACAAUGGAGCCACACUACUAGAACCUGAGUCUCAUUGGAUCUAGAUAUAGUAAUAUAACAUGAUGUGAUGCAUAGACAUCACGAAGAUAAAUAAAAGUAAUUAACCACAUUGAAAGGCACAAGUGAAUCUACAUGGAUACACAAUUGCUAAAUGGAUUAAAUCCACAUACAAUGAGGUAGCAAUUGGCUUUGUACUAGUGGGAGAUGUUGGGAUGAGCGUUGCAACCAAUUAGGAUUGGUUAAGGCUUGGUUCCAAUCAUGCAACAAUAUCAUUCACGUUGAAUGAUUAGAGGUUUUCCUUCAUCAAUAAGACAUCAAUUAUAAUGAGUUAUAAGUCUAAUUGGAUGAAUUCUAUGAGAUUAAUAUGCCUUGCAAGGGAAUUGUAAUGGGUUGCAGUUAUGAGAUCCUUAUGUAACAAAGCAUAUACUCAAAAUGUUCCUAGUUAAUGUAUCAAUGAGACUAGACAUCAAUGAUGCUUAUAGAUUGGUAUGUUCUAUGUUCUUUACUUUGGAAGUAAACAAUCAAUCUUAUAGAUUGAAGUAUAAAGAUACCUGGAACUAAAAUAUAAGUGUCUACCUAAGAGAGCAAGUAUAUUGAACAUGACUUGCUAUGAGAAGUGCACUUGGCAAUACAUGCUAGUGUCUAUGCAACACUUCUCAUGUGUUAGUCGUGUAAAUACUCUCUAAACUUGAGACACCAAGUUAUCUUAUAUAUGGAGUGCUAUACUUUAAUAUCAUCCUUACGGGUGCCUAACGAAGGAUGCCUAAACAGGAUACUUUGGGUAAACAAGUUACUUGGCAAGGUAACUUUCUGAAUAAUAAUUAAUUUUGUGUUUUUAUGUGUUAAAUAUCACUAGGGUGAUCUAUAGGCGGAGGUAUGUUUUGGUUGUUUAGUUUUAAAGUUUUAAUUUUCUUUCCGUUGCGUAUUUUUUAGCAUGCCGUCCAUAACCAAACCCAUCACUAACAACCCUACAUCAACUUUUUUCAAAAUGUAGUUCUUUCAACAAAUUUCCAAGACACAAGACAAUUGAAGAGAAGAACUCAAUGUUUUUUCCUUAGAAGGAAUGAAUGAAUUGUUUUGAGUAUCAUUUGCGAGACGUCCAAUGAAAUAAGUUCAUGCCAAAAAUAGUGAAGAACAUGAAAAGAGGAAGAAGCUAUAUCAGAAAUGGUUGGAUCUUGGAUACUAUUGGCCUACCAUGGAAGCGGAUGUGAUUAAUUACGCAAGGAAAUGCCAUGAAUGUCAAUUCCAUGGAAACACCAUACAUGCUCUAGUUGUAGUACUCUACCAUUUCUUAACUUGUAUUCCUCACAUCUUGUUACAAAUCACUUAGCAUUUCAAGGACUACUCUAAUCUUUUUCUUUGCCACCUCUAGUGCAUCUUAGUUUACUUGUUACAACAAGUCCUCUCUUAUUACUAGAAGAACCCUUUUACAAUUGGUGACAAAGACAACAACAAAACUGACAAAAAAAGUUAAAAAAUCUUUAUAAAAAAAAAAGAGAGCCUUGUUAACUAAUUAUCAAUCAUAUUCCCUAAGUAACCACCGUCACCUUCUGCCAUUCUCCAUCCUUCACUGUCACUCAUUUACCACCACUUAAAAUCAUCCUUAAAAAUCCUUAAAACUAAUUACUAUGACACUCUCAAUUUAUAAGUAAGGGUAAAAUGGUAAAAACUUGCUUAUUGAGCUUAGGAAACCUACAUAAUUAGAAUGAGUAGUGAGAUAUCUCAUUGAAAAAAUAUGUUUUGAAAGAUUAUGAGUUAAAUGGGACACGAGAGGAGGAAUGAAGUUGAAAAUGAUAAGUUUUGGGAAGAAAAAUUAUGUUCUGUUGCAAAAGUAUCGAUACCUCAAGAACAAGUAUUGAUAUUUAGAAGACAAAAUGCCUCAGAAAGCAUUCUGUGUCAAAAGUAUCAAUACUUGAAGAUGAAGUAUCAAUACUUAGAAGACAUAAUGCCUUGGGAAGUAUUAUGUGUGAAAAGUAUCGAGAUUUGAAGAGUAAGUAUCGAUACUUAGUGGUUAGGAUACUAUGGAGGAAGCAUGCCAUGUGGACAAAUAUUAAUACUUAUAAAAAAGUAUCAAUACUUGAGAUGCUGAGAGCCGAAAAAAAAAAAAGAAAAAUAUAAAGGCCUUGGGUUGAACGCCCAUUUUAUUUUCUCUUCAACCUAAGGAACACUCAACUCCUUUCUCCCCAAUUUCAAUCAAGCUUGAUUUAAGGGACUUAAGCUAACAUUCUAAACCAAUUGAGGUGAGUUUCUUAAGCCAUUGCACUUCUACCGAUUAGUUUUGAAACUUAAUUCUCACACUAAGGGUUUGUUUGGUAAUCGUAAAAUAACUUGUUGAAGGAAAAUUUUUUAUAGGUAAAAUAUCUUGCUAAAAAAAAAUAUUUUCUAUUGUUUAAAUAAACUGUCAAAAAUAUUUUUGUUAUUUGGAUCAUCUUAUAAAAAAUAUUUUUUACUCUUCAUUUUAAAAAAAAUAUAUCUUCAAAAAACAUUAAAAACAUUAUAAUCUAAAAAAAUAAUACCUUAUCAAUUUAAUUAAACUCAACAAAUAGAUUAAAUUAUGCAGUUAGUCCUUAUAAUUUGACAAAGUAGUAGAUUUAGUCCUUAUACAAUAAUUUAUAAAAAUUGAAUCCUUGUUUUUUCUAAAAUUAACAAUGUCAGUCUCAUUGUUAAUAGUAUUAAAAUUUUUUGUUAUUUAAGUUGACAUGGUAUUUUCUUACUGAUGUGACGUUGACUACGAUAAUUUGUAAAUGAUGAUGUGGUAUUUUUUUUAUCUAUUUCACAACUUUAAAUUAUCGAACUCAAAAAUUCAAUACUUCUUUGUCUCACAAUACCUUUUCCUAAAUCCUAAAAAUCUAUUCGUAUUUUUUAUUUGUUUAUUUUCAAAUUUUAUUUAAAACCAUUAGCUUAUAUUAGAUAAUUCCAGCUCUGCACUUAUAAGAUCUAUAUAUGGUAAUGUUUAGCUAUGCCAUGUUGGCACUACUAUUACAUCAUUUGUGUAAAUGAUGAUCGUUGUCAUGUAAUCAAAUUUAACGUCAUAUCAACAAAAAAAAUAUCACAUUAAUACAACCAAUCUCUAUAUCAAUAUAGAUAAUAGAAAUUUUAAACAUAUUAUACUGACAUUAUCAAUUUUAAAAAGUAUAAGGACUCAAUUUGUAUACAUUAUUAUAUAGAGACUAAAUCCACCAUUUUGAUAGUGUAUGGAGAAUAAUUGUAUAAUUUGAUCCAACAAAUAUUAUCCAAAUACAAUAGAAAAAUGAGGAAAGAUUACUCAAAUUGCAUACAUAUUAAGCCUACAAUCUGCAUAAUAUGUAUUCAAGAAAGCAACAAACCAUUGCAAAUAAGAUAGAACAUAAAAACAUACUACGUGACAGUUGACAUAGCAUUGAAUUGACGAUUAUUACUUUAUCGUUAAUAAGAAGACUUAAAAUAAAAGUACAUGAAUUUAAUUGAAUGUGAUAAAAGUAUAAAAGCUUAAUUGACUUUUUUUUAUAUAAUUUAGAAAAUUAUUUGAGUAUUAUCAUUAUUUUUUUAUUGUGUUAAAUUAAAUUUUUAUAUUUUAUUUUAAGCUAAAUAAACUUUUAUAAUUAAUGAUGAACUACUUAUUAUUAGUUAAAAUGUCAUUUUGAAAUUGUAUGUCACAUGACAUGCUGACACUUUAUAAUUAAUGAUGUCAACACCACGAUAGCGUCAUAUGAAUAGCAUGUGAGUGUAAAAAUGAUAAUUAAUAUUUUAAUUAUUGAUAAGUAAUCAAUAAUUAAUUAUAAAAAUUUAUUUAAAUAAAAAUAUAAAUAUAAAGAUUUAAUUAAACUCAAUAACAAAAUAAAAAUUUAUUUAAAAUUUUUUAAAUAGUUUUAAGACUUAAAUAUAAUAGGGAUGGAUGGUUUGAUACAAUCAUUUUCGUGAAGGAUGAUUAUUGCAAUUUCGAACUUGAGGCGCCAAAAAAAUUACACCCCGUCCCGUUGCCCUUUUGCUAAUAUUUAUCUAUCUUAAAAUAUAUAAAUAAAUAAAAUAAAAUCCUUACUGUGACACGUGGCCGAAGUUCGUUAUCAUCUAAUCCAUUUUAGACAAUUUUCCGUCCCCCUACUUCUUCUCUUUCAGCAAAACCAGCUGAGUUCCAACGGCCAUGACUUUCAUGGCCUUGUCUUUCUCUUCACCUCUCUCUAUCUAUCCGCCUCGCCCCGCUUUCAUUCCUCUUCAUCUCCCUUCUCAUCAUUUUCCCGCUCUCUCUCCAAAACAUAGGAUAAGUAUCCAAUGCGCAACCAGAGACAACACAGAAGCAAACCCACCCGCAGCAUCCACCCAGAGCUAUGAUCCGAAGAAAGGAGUGCCGCUUUAUAAGCCUAAGUCAUACGAUGUUCUUGUAACCGACGCUGCUAACUCUCUCGCUUUUGCUCUUCAAGAUGGCAAAACCCGCCUCGAGAUUGAUUUCCCGUAUGUUAUUCUAUACUUCUCUUUUUUAUUUUUUUUAAUUCUUUUGGGGGUAUUUUGAGGCCUACAUAAGCUUUUUCUUGAUGCCCAUCUCCCCUUUAGUUAUGAAAAGCUAUUCCAUUUUCUCUGAUUUUAUGACAAGCUUUGCCAAUUUAUGUUCACGAAAUUUGCUGGCCAAAGUUAUUUAGGCUGUUGUUUUGCUAUGUACUUCAUUCUAUGCCCCCAUUGUUUCCUAAAAUUUAAUGCAAAAAAAAAAGUUAUAAUUGAUUGAAAAUGAGUAACUUAAUUAAUUGUUAUAUAUAAAAAUAAAAUCUACAUUUUUAAUUUCUAAAAGUUUCAAAAAUAUUGUUUGCUUCUGUAUCCAAACGUGUUUUUUGCUUCGGAAAUUAGUAGAAGUAUCAAGUAAAUCAUAGCAUUUCGAUUUGUGAUUGACUUUAGGAGUUCUGUUCCUGUAAUGUCAAUGUCGUGGUUCGCAAUUGUUAGGGAAAUAGGCAAACCUUGAGCUCAUGCUCAUGGGAGCACAUUAAAAGUCCCAUAGAUACAUGUUGCACACCAUUUGAAUCUAAAAGUAAAAACUAAUAGGUUCUGGGGUACUUCAUGUGUAUAUGCCACUUUUACAUUCUACUCUUGGGAGGACACCAGAGGGGCUCAAAGAAUGCGGUAUCACCAUAGUUGUCACACUCAAAUGGAAACUUUGGCUUUGAUAUCACUUUUUUAGAAUGCCGACUCAAGCAAGUCAAUAUGAUAACAAAUAAAUUCGCUAGAAUGAUAACCAAACAUGCUUAAUAAAUAAUACAUGAUAAAAAACAGCCAACAAGAACACUAGAUUUUAUGUGUUUUGGCACUAGGUCUAAAUCCACAGGCAGAGACAAUGAGAUAUACGGGUGUUUCAAAACCCAAACCAUACCCAAAGACCCUACACACCAUAAAACCUGUAAGCCAAACUCUCAAACCCCUUAAUUCCCUUUACUUACCAAAGGAACCAAGAAAGCUCACUUCAUUUUUGCUCAAAUUGCAAUCCCAAAAUUACCAUUUUUUUUUAUCUUUACAACCUUUCUUUUCCAAUCCCAUAAUGUCCUUUGUUUUUUUCUCAAAGUGCCCUUAAGGCAAAGAAACAUAAAUCAAGGGAGUAUGGGCGUGAGAGAAUUUUCAGGGAGACAACAAGGACAACCAAUUAAAAGUGGCAGGCAUUAUUGAAGGCAAUGGGGACAAAGCUUUAAGUCCAACAGGCUAAAUUUUUUCAACCCAUUCAGGAAAAAUCUGUACUUAGCUUGAGAAAGUUUCCUCCAAGCCAACUGUCACAGCAAAAUUUCUCAAACAUUGCUAUAAAGGGUUCUUCCAAAAAAGAAAGCGUUAAGGUUUUCCUAGAAGUAGUUUUUGGGUUCUUCUGGAAGAGGCAGGGUUAGGAGUUCUUCUGGAAGAGGUAGUGUUCAGAAAAGGUGGUGUCGAGAGUUCUUUGGAAGAGGUACCGUUAAGGUUCUUAUGGAAUAGGCAGAGUUGCAAAGAAGUGAAACAGGAUGGAGCAGACCCUGAAGUAAUGAGUGUUAUGGUAGGCGUUGGAACAAGAUAUAGGAAAUAUGAAAUAGGAAGUAGGAAGGAAUGAAGGAAGAGAGGAGGUAGGGAGAAUUCUUGAGAAAGGAUAUGUGAACUUGCCAAAAGGUUGCAAAUGAGUUGCCAAAGCCCCCCAUGUGUAUAGGCUGGAGGGUGUAAUCAAUGCAACCAAGGAAAGGAUGCCAACUCAUGAGCCAUUAGAGUAUUUUUUGAUAAAUGUUAAGGUUACUGGGGUUAUUGUGAGUCUUAUGACAGCUCAUCUAAAAGCGAGCUAGAAAAAAAGAAGAAACGGGUAGCACUUGUGUGAUUUAGGGAAAGGUUAAGGUGAAGAGCUCCUUAGUCACUUGUAUGUUUGAGCCACCAAGCAAAGCUCUCUAGAACAUCUCAAGAGCAGAAAUAACCAAGAACCAUGCCACUUGUUCCAGGGUUAUUUUCACCAUUCCGACCUUGUGUUCAAUAUGGUAGUGUGAUACUUGUAAGACAACCUUACAUAAUAUUGAGAAGAUGAUAUAUUAGUAGCCAAAAUAAAAUAUCUACAUUUGCAUUGCCUCAUCCUCUUGAACCAACAUUGCACUCAUCUUGGUGCUCCAAAGACUGGAGCUAUUCUUUUCGGUGAAUUUUCUUGACCUCACAUUUGGCUUAGCAGAUUUUGGUUACAGUGUGGCAGGUGCCAUUGAGUAUUGUCGGCACUACUGUACUUUGUUGCUGUAGUAGUGUUAUGUGUUUUGUGGUCUUUCUAGAGGUGCCAUUAGUUGGAAGGCUAUGUUGUGGUAUAUCAUGGCCUUUGUCUAUGACUGAGGUGGAAAAUAUGGUGGUAGUGAAGGUAGUGUAGGAAGCUUUGUGUGCUAAAGGUCAGAUUAGCAGUUUGAGUUGCAACAGGGUUCUACUGUUGUAUUUUGUAAUAGCCAAAGUGCUGUUCAUGGGAAGACCAAACACAUAGUUGUUAAAUAUCACUUCAUAAGUGAACAUGUAUUGCUUUGUGAUGGUGUGAUCAGUACUUUUUUUUUUGCUGUGAAGAGAAUCCUGCUAGCAUGUUGACAAAAGGUUAUCCUUGCUUGCAAGUUCAUCUAGCAUGCACUUGGUCAUCAUUUGCAGUUUGUGACAGCUGGGCAUGUGUGGACGUGAUGUAGUUUUGAGAAAUUUGCUAUAAUGGUUAGCUAGAAGGAAUUUUUCAAGCCAAAGUGGAGAUUUGUUGUAAAUUAACUGGAAAAGUUCAGUCUCUUGGAGUUAAAGCUCCCAUCCCAUCACCUUCUGCUCUGCCACUUCGAGUUAGUUGUCCUUGUCUCUCUUGAAAUUCCCCUCAUGCCCAUAAUAUUUUGGUGCAUUUUUUUUUUUUGCAUUUUAAGGGCAAUUUGGGAAAGAAAGGGAAUUAUGGGAAUCAGAAUAAAGAAAGCUGUGCAGAUAGAAGGGGUAGUGAUUUUUUGGAUUGCAAUUUGAGCUAGAAGGGAGAAGUGAGUGCCAAACCACAUAAAUCUUGGUGUUUUUGUUGGUUGUUAUUUUUCAUAAUAUUAUUCUUGUGCAUGUUUUGUUUUUCUUCUGGUGAAUUUAUUUCUUUCAUGUUGACUUGCUCAGAUCAUUGCUCGAACAAAAAUAUUUGUUCAUCAUCAACUAAAUUGUGUAUUUCCAUACAAUUCUUUUGGUAAUUUCUCUUUUUUCUGCAGUGAGACUUCUGGGGAAUAUGUUAAUAGACAUUAGGCACUAGGCAGUUAGCUGGCUAUAGUUUCAUGCAAGUAAAGAUGUUUCUCUUAACUUAUAGAACUUACUGGUAUGAAACUGCAUGAAGGGGUUUUGUGGUGAUUCCUGUAAUUCUCAUGUAUGCUUAUUUGAGUGGAUUAUCUAUUUGCCUUUUUAUUUCCCUAAAAAUUUGGUCCAUUUUGUGCUUUUCUGCCUUUUGCAGGCCCUUGCCAAGCAACAUUUCUUCUUAUAAGGUAUCUCUUUCAUUUUUACAUUUCUAUAUGGCUAGUUAAUGGCCCUUCAUGAUUUUUCUUGCUCAUUUUUAAAAUUUUACUGCAAUUAUUUCUUUGAUGCUGUCUUUAGCAUUGCAUAGGAUGUUGCUUUGUUAAACUUCAUUUCUUGCAUCUGUUCAUAAUCUGUCCAUUUGUUGAAACCAAAAUAUGGUAUUAUUAGCUUUGUUCUUGAUGCAGUACAUUCAUGGAUCAUAAUAUAUUGUAUGAUGAUGAUGAUUAUAUCAAGCUGAAAUGUUAUUUUCUCUGAAACUAAGAGAAAGAAAAAUAAAAUCCUUACUACAUAAUUUUCUCUAAUGUCUGAAUAUGUGAAGGGAUCUUCAGAUGAGUUCAUUGAUGCCAACAUUCAACUUGCCUUGGCUGUUGUCAGGAAACUCCAACAAAAAAGGGAAACUCGAGCUUGCAUAGUAAGAAGACGCUUUCAUUUGCAGAAAUGUUCCUUUUUUCCAUUCCGAAGAUGAGCUUAAUUUCUUACUGCCUUUUCAGGUGUUUCCUGACAAGCCAGAAAAACGCAGGGCCUCUCAGCUUUUCAAAACAGCUCUUGACUCGGUAAUAAAAUGACUUAGGCAAGAUUACCUUCUAUAUUUGUUGCUAUUCUAGGUGGGCUCUUUUCAUAGUGAGGGUUUUGUUGUUUAUCGUUCACUGAAGUGUAUGGGACAUCUCAUUGGCCCAUUGGCAUCAUAAGCAUUUCAGUCCAUAGAUAGUUUUGAGGGAUUUAUUCGAUUUGCUUUUAUAUCAAUAAAUACUGACGCUAAUAUUUAAAGAUGUGACCUGUAGAAAACUAAAACCUGUUUAUUGAUCCAGUUACAGCUUUCACAUACAGUCACUAUAUUCUUUACCCUCUUGCCCUAAAAUCAAAAUCCUUUACUGAUACGCAGAGUUGCCUUUUGGACUUUAAAGUGAUUUUAAUUCUUGAUUCUUCACUUUCAGAUUGAUGGUAUAUCUAUAGGUUCCCUUGACGAUGUCCCUAGUGGUGCUGUCACUACAUUCUUCAAAUCUAUCAAGAACACUCUGGAUUUUGAUUUUCAAGAUGAAAAUGAAGGUUUGUUGCUGAAAAUCCAGGUCUAUGUGAGAAUUUUCCUCGCCAUCCUACUAAUCAAUGAACUGGGUUGCUUCAUAAGCUUCAAAUAUCCAUCCUACCAAGCAAUGAACUGGCUUACUUCAUAAGCUUCAAAUAUUAAUAUCCUCUUGCCAUUUUCCUACCUUCACACACAGAGAGAUUGACUUUAACAUUCUGCCAUCUCUGGUGAAUGCAGGUCGUUGGGAACCUAAGGAGCCACCAACUCUUUAUAUAUUUAUUAACUGUAGCACACGUGAACUUUCUGUUAUAGAGAAGUAUGUGGUAUGUUCUUAUACCGUAUUCAGCCUUUAACCCUUUUCAUGUGCCUAUUUAUUAUCUAAUUAUACGUUGGUUCAUGCUUGACCUUGAAACUGUUGGCUAUUUCAAGUUAAGCUCUUCUGCUUUCUUGGGUCUGCAAAUCUGAUCAGUUUAUAUACUUGCAUAAACAUGUCAGGACACUGAGUAUUUCAAACAAGAAAAAACUUGAUGCCUUUCACCAUGGGAUAUAUUGAUCAGUAAACUUAGUUCUAGGGGCAUAACAUAUCAACACAAGAUUGUGGGCGGUCUUGAUCUGAAAUUCUAUUUGCAAAUUAUGAGAGCAUUCCUGAAUUUUAUUGUGCUUAAUAUAAGAAGUUGAAAGAAGCUUGUAAUAAUUCUGACCAACUUUAUGCUAAAAGUUAAAUUAAAUGAUGGUUUUGUUUAUCGUGAUCUAAAAUUCUUUUUGUAAAUUAUGAGAGCAUUCCAGAAAUUUACUGUGCUUAGUAUCACAAAAAAAUUGCCAAAAGUUUUUUUUAACUUUUCUGACCAACCUUUUGGCAGCUUUGUUUUCAGACUUCAAUAUCUAGUUGCAAGUGAAUGCUCCUUUUUUCUUUAACCCCCCCACCUGCCUUCCUUUUUUCCUCUUCUCCUUUGUGUGACUGUGGUCUGAAUGUGCAGGAGAUAUAUGCCCUGUCAACCCCAACACUUCUAUUCAAUCUUGAACUUGACACUUUGCGGUAUAAAUUUUUCUACUUGUUCAUCUUUUAAUGAUGAUUCAAUGAUGAGUGAAUUUACUUUUGACUGUCCAAGGCUGCUUAUCUUUGCAGUGCUGACUUGGGUCUUCUGGGAUUUCCUCCCAAAGAUUUGCACUAUCGAUUUCUUUCUCAAUUCAUCCCAGCAUUCUAUAUACGAAUCAGGGAGUACUCCAAGGUAGUUAAUAGAUAAUUAGCCUACAGCUUUUUGCUCCAUUGAGUUUUAUUUCUGAUACAGUUUUAUAAUGAACAUUUUCUUUUCAAAUAUUGUAAGACAGUAGCAGUAGCACCUUUUGUUGUGAAUUACAGUGGAGCGCUAUUUCGCCAAUAUCCUGGUGCGCAAAUAAACCUUCUUAGCAUUUAUGCCAUUUUAACUGUUCUAUUUUUGUUCCAUCAUCGAGUGAGUAUAAAAGAAUGAUUGGAAAAAGUUAUACAAAUCAACUAUAGGCAACUUAAUUCUUUUUGUUUCUUUUGUAAAAGAAAACAUAUGCCACAACAUCCUUUUCCCCUCUUCAGUAAUAGUUCCUCAAGUUUCAUGUUUAUCAAUUUGUACAUUUCUGAAUCCUCAUUUCUCAGAAUUUUGUUUAUUGAUAAAUAGAAGGUACUAGGUUUAUUAUCUUUAAAUAUAUUUUUGGGUUUGUAAAUGAUAGGAAAUAAUUCUUUUUCACAAACUUAUAUUGCAUAGCAAUUCGGACUGCCGUAUUGUUUUGGUGGAACUUAACAGUCCAUGUCCUGCUUGGAUGCCUGCACCUCUCAAAAUCAAUAAGUUCUUUUCUUUAUGGACUGCUCCACUACUUUGGUGGCACUAGUUAUGUACUGCAUUUUGCACUUGCUAACAAAAUUCUCUGCUCCCCACCAAGUUAAUUUGGUGUCAAUAAUCUUGAGAGUGGGAAAGCCUGAAUGCAGAUAGGAUUGUAAUGAGAGCAAGAGGUGUAUUCCAAAUGAGAAAGAUUAUGAGACAUUUGAAAGAAUAGAUGUCAACUGUUUAGCAUCAGCUGCUUGUUAAACCUUUUUCCAUCCAUUAAGGAACUGGAGGAUCCAUUUUAGAGCAAGUAUUUUCUGCUGCUACCCAAAUGAGUAAAAUAUAAAAAGUAAAAGAAUAGAAGAGAAGUGUAAACUCUUAUGUUAAAUUCUGGGAAUUAUCUAACAUUUAGAAUGACCUAUUCGACAUGUAAUUGAAAAAUGACAAAUUCAAUGAGAUCACUUUCCAUUUAACUACCAAGUGGUCUUUGAACUAAGUUACACCAAUCCUACAGGGUUAUGCCAUCUAUGCAAACAAUUUUAAUAGUGGGCAUUAUCUUUUUCCAUACUGUUUUGCGUCUCUCCUUUAAAUCCCCUGUUUUUGUCAUUGUCAAUGUGCAAUAUUUGACCUGAAAAAGGAUGCAUAUUCCUUGGAAUCAGAUCUGGAUGGGACUACAUGUAGUUUGCAUAUCUCCUCAUCUAGCUCAGAAUUUGUGCAGGACCUUGGCAGGUGAUGCUUAAGCAAUCAGAUGGUUCUUAUGCCUGUGUAGCUGAGAGUGCAACACGCUUCACUCUUGGAGAGGUAUGUACCUUCUAUAACGUUUCAGCUCCAGGUUGUUUUCUCAGUUAAACAUUCUAUGCUUUUGGGCUUUUUAUUUGGUUUUUUCUAGACCAAGGAAGAACUGUUGAGGGUCCUUGGAUUGCAAGAGGAACAAGGAAGCCAACUAGAAUUUCUUCGCAGAGGCUACAAGGUUCUCAUCUAUUUUAAUUUCUCUUAUAUAUAUAUAUAUAUAAAUUACUGAGUAUUAUUUUGAGAUUUUUAAAUUAAAUGCUCAAAGCAAUAUCCUCUAUACCUCUCCGAACAAAGUUUCAGCCUUGUUUUUCCUUUCAAUAUGGCCUCUUCAGGUUGUAAUGUUCCACUGAACUUGAGCUUCUAAUUCUCAGAAAUUAGGUUCACAUCUUGCGUGGGAUUACUCAAAAAUACACAUAUAUUUUGGCAACAUAGCGUGAAUAGAAAGAACCUAGGGAAAACAGGUUGGAAAUUAGGUUUCCUUUCCUGUAACCAAGUCAUCUAUUGUUGCAGACUUCCACUUGGUGGGAAGAGGAUGUUGACUUGGAAGCAUCUUCAGCAUGGCGUAGUUGAGUAGCCGAAGGACAGUUAACCACAAUGAGAUGUCACCGUAUAUAGAUGGUGAAGAUGCUUGAUAUCUUCUUUCAAACUUUUUCUCUUAUAUUUCCCUGUAAUUUAUGCCCUUCUUUUACUCAUGAGAAUAAGUAAAAAGAAAAUUCUUUUGCUUUCUUAUAGUCUUCUUGAUUCCCUCUAGUGGAGAAGACAUUAAUGGGGGGAAGAGAACUGCAAUUCAAGUUUGUUCAUAUGACUUAUUGAUAAAACAUCAGUCUUAUGUAAGGUUAAACUUAAAUUCCUGUUAGUUUUUGCAGUGAACUGUUUCAUGCCAUGUUGAACUAGUCUUUCCUGUUCUAGCUUUUGAAAUGUGGGCGACUAGAAUUUGAAGGUUUAAAUACUAACCAUUCAAUGUUUAAUGUAAAAGUGGACAAAUUUUAUAUAUAUUAUUAUUCAUUUGAAAGGACAAAAUUUUCCCUAUAAUUUUGUUUCAGUUUUAUUGUCUCAGUUGACUUGUUAAUCUAUUCAUUUGAUCGUAAUGUUUAUAUGUAUGGAUGAAUUGAGUUAUCUAUGAAUGGAUUACAUUAUUAAAUUUAUUUAAGGUAUAAUGCUUGAAAAAACCUUUUGAAUAAUUAAAAUAAAAUUCAAAUAAUUUCUUAUUCUUUUGUUGCGUUCAAUUAAGUUUAUAUAUAUUUAUUAUGGAUCAAAUAAACUUUUAUAAUUAACGAUUGAUUGAUUAUUAUUAAUCAAAAUGUCCGUUAUUAUUUACUCAUAUGAUGUUGACAUGCCACUUGUCAUUUCAUGUUUAUGUGACUACCAUGGAUGAUAAAAAUAGCAUAUAAUCAUGUUAUUAUACUAUAUUAAUAUAUAUUAUGUCAUUAUUUACUAUGACAUGUCAACAUGUCACAUUAGUCUCAUGUGAUAUAAAAUGACAAAUGAAGUUUUAAUUAAUGGCGAUUAGUCAACUGUCAAUCGAUUAUUUAGUCCUAAAUAAACAUAUAAGAGUUUGAGAUUUGAAUGAAAUAAAAGAAAAGUUCAUAUACAUUAUGAAUUAUGAAUAGUAACUGUUUUCUGGUCAAAAUUAAUGUGAACUAAGGCAGUAUUACUAUACAAGGUUAAGUAACAGAAAACAAAAGAGGUUUAACAUCUAGUAUACACUUUUGUAAAUUUUACAGCAACAUUGAGCAAGAUUAGCUCAGUCGAUUUUAUGGCCAAGUUCAUCUGUGUCAGGAUCAUUGAAGUUUGGUUCUGGUGGCUUUGGCAGCUUCAUCAAACUCUUAGGACUAGUUGUGCCUCGGUUCUUAUUGCCGCGAACGUUUGCUGCAAAACGUGAUGCAAAUAUAGUUGCACCAAGGCUGUAGGAUUCUGCAGUGUUAUUUCUUUGCUCAACCAGGGCCAUUUCAUCAUCAUGUUCUUCAUCAUAGUCCAGUUCCUUCUCUUCCUUACGACGAAGUUCUACAAUUUUCCUUCUGGAAUACUUACGCCAUGCUGUUUGGAUAAAGCAGGCAGCCCAAGUCCUCCAUUGCUGUGAGUAGAAUCGGAAGGUGUGCUGAACCUGCCUACUAUGAAGUCGCCUAAAUUGACUGGAAACAAAUGUCAACUCCUCAGCUUCCAAGGCAAAAGCCUCCACCUCACUUAAAGCCUUCACUGUUCGAGUAGAUGAUGGUAAGUUGGAACCAGCUUUGGGGUCAAGCGCCCAAGUCAAUAGCUCCUCGCCACAAAAGUCCCCUUCCUUCAGUAAACCUCUGUUGAAAAAGCCACUCCUCCCACCAUCCGUGGUCACACUCUCAAGGCGGCCUCGUAUAAUGAAAAGCAUCUCAUUUACUGGAUCACCUUCUCGAACUAUGUAAGUAUGUUCUGUGUAUAAACUUGGUUUGAGUCGCUCACAAAUUGCAUCAAGUAACCUCUCGUCCAUAUUGGCAAACAGAGGAACCUGCAUACCAUAUCAUGCAAUAUAAGACAGACAAAGAACAAAUAUUAAUACACUCACAAAGGAUAUGGUAUACUUGCACCAAAAGAAUUUUGUCUGUGACAGCACUGCUGCAGUUUUCAUGACAAUGAAAUUGACAAAAUCACUAGCAUGCUUAAACCGGCCAUCAGUAGCCAGAACAGCAAGCAAUAUCUCAGAUUUGAAGAAUAUUUACUUGGCAGCGUUUAGUUAUGUUCAAUAACAUGAAAUGGUUAAACUAAGAUUCGGUUACAAAUACACAUUCCCUUACAAAUAAUCAUGCCGAUAACUUUGGCCAUACUCUUUGAAGCAUACAGUUCUUCUAUCUAGUGGCAUAGCUUAAAUCUCAUAGUUUACAAGUCCAUGAAAAUACUAUGUAAAGUCAUAUAUGACCAUAAAAUAACAUGAAAAGAUUAUUGAUUGAAAUCAAGAAAAAAAUCUACAAAGAUCCUUACCCUUCGCACCAAAUUCAAACAGAGAUGACGCUUAAUAUCCCUCCUCAGAUCUUUUGGUAAACUCUGGACUAAGUUUUCUUCAUCAACUCCUCUCGUCUCUAACCAUUUGUAUUGGUCAUAACGCCUAACUCGCUCCCUGAGAUCCUGUGGAAGUGCACGAUGAUGCAUCCACUGCUCAGAAUCACGCCUUUUGAUCCUCAUUUCCUCAAGACGAACAGUGAGAGACUGAAGGUAGGUCUGUUGCAAUCACAAGAGACCUCAAACUUCAGCAUUGUUGUAUAGCUAACAUUUUAUUUUGUUUGUUUGCUCUUCUUUCAAAGAUAACCAUAUAAUAUUCACUUGGAAGUUUACUGUCAGCCAUUUCUGGCAGCUAUGAGGAAAUCAUGCUCCUAAAGUAGCAAAGAAGAGAAUUUAGAAUCAAACAAAGCCAGAUUUUGCUAAUUCACAAAAGAAGAGGUAUAUGCAAUCAUACCCAACAUAAGUUCUAUAGAGAAAUUUAAUGUUUGGUCUAUCCUUUUCUGUCUUUGCAAUGGACAUUGAUUAGGUAUGUAAGGCUUCAUAAGCAACCCUACCGAUUACUAAUCUGAAGUCAACCAUACUUGGUUAAUAUACACUGGAAAUUAAGGGGAUAGAAAGCAUUUAUCUAAAUUAUCCAAAAAUACCAUUCUGAAGCAACUUGUAGCAACAUGGUAUCUCAAUAACAUUAAUCAAACAUUUUAUCUCAACUUAUAGCUAACAUUUUAUUUUGUUUGUUUGCUCUUCUUUCAAAGAUAACCAUAUAAUAUUCACUUGGAAGUUUACUGUCAGCCAUUUCUGGCAGCUAUGAGGAAAUCAUGCUCCUAAAGUAGCAAAGAAGAGAAUUUAGAAUCAAACAAAGCCAGAUUUUGCUAAUGCACAAAAGAAGAGGUAUAUGCAAUCAUACCCAACAUAAGUUCUGUAAAGAAAUUUAAUGUUUGGUCUAUCCUUUUCUGUCUUUGCAAUGGACAUUGAUUAGGUAUGUAAGGCUUCAUAAGCAACCCUACCGAUUACUAAUCUGAAGUCAACCAUACUUGGUUAAUAUACACUGGAAAUUAAGGGGAUAGAAAGCAUUUAUCUAAAUUAUCCAAAAAUACCAUUCUGAAGCAACUUGUAGCAACAUGGUAUCUCAAUAACAUUAAUCAAACAAUUAACUGACAUGAGCAUAUCUAGCAUCUGGUAAGUUGAAUGCUAUGGGUUUAUGGUCUGAGUGGCAUAUAUCCCCCAGACAAAGUGCUGGGUUCAUGGUCUCAAUGCUAGGUUCAAGCACUCCCAGGCUCAUGACCCCCAAAACAUUGCUUAUCAGAAAAAAGAAAAAAACAAAAAACAAAGGAUUUAAUACUCAUCUUGCAAGGGUUUUCAAAUUUACCUGCAUGUUUCCAAUCAAAAGUGCAAAAAGGAUAAGACCAAAAAUAGCUAUAGCUAUGGAAAAGAGAACCUCUCCAGGAUAUGUGCUGGUUAUAAGCCCCUGACCAAGUGUACUGCAGAAAAUAAAAUGGAUAUCAAUGAGCAAAUACAACUUCCAGGAGUCCAAGAAAAAUGCAACGAGAAAGAAAAGAAAAGGGAAAAGAGGGCGUUAAACAGAAACUGCACAAAAUCCGCAGGUGAUAAUAAUUUUACCAUGCAAGAAGCAACAUCAUGCAUACGAUUGGAAAUAUAUAGAGAAAGUUGCCAAGAAAAAUAAAAUUCAUUUUCCAGUAAACAAGGCCUUAAUUUUCUUUGUUUCAUCCUGUGCAGAAUUGUCAUUGAGAGUCUUGGCCUUAUAGCUGUUUAACAGAAGUGAGAUUCAGAUUUACUCAUUGAACACAAACAUACAAUCGACAAUAAGAUAUGGAACAUCUACACUUAUGUCUGUAAGUGUUUGAAGACAAAGUGCAAACCUUAGAUUCUGUAGGCCCCACCAUAGGCAGUAACAGAAUUUAGUGAAAAAGAUGUUGGAUGAAACAGUGCCAGAUUGUAUAGCUUGUGUGUAGAUUCCGUAAUUGAAGGGUGAUGGUUGAUCAUGAUCAUCUAUACCAGAACAUUUACUACCAAGUAUAUUUUCACUGACCAUUCGCCAGUCUGCGUAGCCCUGCAUAUGCUUGUUGCCACAGUACAAGAAAUCUAUGUUGCACUUUCCACUGCCGAUACAAGCAUUUCGCCAGCAUGUGUCAUUUCGCUCUACAGCCAGUAAGUACCAAAAAGCCCCCACUAUCUGCACAUUCCAUCUCAAAGUAGUCAGAUAUUUGCUUCAAAACUGUCAUACAAAAUUGAGCUGGCACUAGCAAAUUCAGAAAAUAAGGAGGAAUACAGGGUUCAAAAUCAAUCAAACAUUUUAAUCUUCCCAGGAAAUUGAGUCAGACCAUUGUGCUGACACAAAGACAUGAGUGCUUGUGCUAUCAAUAGUUAGACAUCCAUAAUGAGAGAUCCAGGUCAUUGUUGAUCAGUUUCAUAACAAAUUGGGAACACCAAGACUAUUGUUACAUCUAAACUUGCCAGUGCACAUAAGGAGCAGAAGGUGAGAGUCAUAUAUUGCAAGAAUAAUGCACUCACUUGGACUUCUACUUACAAACCCUGGGAUGUUCAAGCAUCCAGAGUUCUCAUGAUCCAUGGCUGCUUUCUCAUUUACUCAUGGAUCCAUUUUCUUUGAAAUGGUUUCAGUAUAACAUUUAAAAAAAAAAAGGGCUACGAGUAAGAUAAAAUUUGACUUAAAAAAUAUACCAAAAAUUACAGGUCAUAUAAUUCUUGCAACACAUCUAGAUGAGUUCUUAAGUAAAAAGCAGCUGAUAUAUUCUCAUCUCUUUUCUCCCUUUUUCUUUUCCCUCUCUCUCUACAGAUAAGGUGGAGGCAUCCAGAACAGAAGGAAAGGAGAAACAGAAAUUAUUUAACAGCUUGUGCAUACCAAUUGCAAACAAAAACUUACAUGACUAGCAAGCAUGUACCAUAGCAGAUAGUAUGCAGCACCAGACCAUGCGCCUUCAGCAAAAGUACCAGCUGUCUUUUUCAGUUCUGAAGUUAAUGGUAUAAAGCGGACGAACCUAGGGACAUACUGAAUAAACACAAUGAGUAGCAAUGCCUGUUUCGUAGCCCAUACCUCUGAACCUUUUGAUCUGUGAAGAAAUCUCCACACCACAAUCUGCAGACAAGAAAGCAGUUAAGGGAGAUGAAGCACCAUUUCUCUUACUAAGCGAUUCGGAACAGAUACAGCUGUAUUAUGUUAUACGUAUUAAUGCUACAUUUAUAAUUUUACAAGGGAAAAAUAGAAAAGAGAAGAAACUAUAACCUGUAGGAAAUGUAAGGAUUAUUUAGCAGGAUGCUUAUCAUAUAAACAACUAUAAUGCUACUUUUACAAUGGAAAUGUAGACUUGAAUCUUUUGGUAUAAAAACAACAUCUUUUAAAGUCAUUGCGACUUUUGCAUGUGCAGAUUAACUUAACAACUUACAAUUCAUUUUUCUGAAGCAUUUAACAAUUCAGAGACGACAAAGAAAUGACAAUAUUAAGGCCGAACUUUUCGACAUAUUCAGUAAGUUUCAAGAAAAAUGCUCACUUUUACCAUGCAUUAAUUCUGUCUCUGCUAAGAAAGGCCAAUGGCUUUUUAUCCAGUGACAUACUAAACACUAUGCAACAAUUUAAGUUAAGCUUGUCCAAGGUACUAUCAUAAUAUCUCUUCAAGACAUUAGAAUGGAGUUUUCACGUACAAAUUGUUUUUCUCAAUAGGAUAUAUGAAUGAUCAGGAUUCAUGACUCAUGGUAAAAUGCAACAAUGGAAACGUUCCCUGCUAAUUUCACAUUUUGAUCUUUGGAAUAAAUGUAACAAAGCCUAAAGUGUAGGCAAGAAUGCUCAGAUCAUCAGCAUCACUUCUCAACCAGAAUCUCUAGGUAAAGAUAUUCUCCAAACAACUAGGAAUAUCAAUCAGCAAAUAUUGCGUAGUACCAGUGCAACUGGAUGAUUAUACUUCCAAAAGAAUUUUAUAAGGUAGCUGAUUGUAAUUGAAUUUUCUAAUUGACUAGCAGAACUCUAGAUAUGUUAUAAACAUCUAAAGAUUGGUGAAGCAAGUAGUUUCUCAAACCUGUGGCAGGGGGAGCACAGAAAGAAAAUCAACAAUGAAGUAACGACUUAAAUAUCGUGUGGCUAUCUGUGCAGGAUCUAUCACAAGUUCACCUCGUCCAAAAACCCGUGAUGAUGGGGCAAUAUAUGCUGUGCGGAACUGGAGACCCAUGCGAAUAAGGUAGAAAGUAUCAAUAAUUGUCCGAAUGGUUGUAGUUGUGACUCCCAACUUUACAUCAAUACCAAGGCAAUUUGAUACAUGAUUGAAGAUGGGAAGAUAGAAAAAAAGUGGAUCCACAGCUACUGAAAGAAUGCAGGAUACAACAAAAAACUUAUUCCAUAACAAAAGAGAUCUAUCUUGGGGGUCAAUUAUCAUUUUGUCUGACACUUUGAGAUCUUCUGGGAACACAGCUCGUGUGACUCCAGAUCUAAGAGAGCGACCAAAUGUUAGAAGUCCUUCCGAUCCUCUCUUCAUCCCCAUUCUAAAAGAUUUUGAUGCAUUCUUCUUUCCACGGCCACCAAAUGUCAAGCCCUCUAUAUUAAAUCUACAUUUCUUCAUUACUCCAGUCCCAGAUUGCAUUGACAUUGUGGAGUCUAAAUCAUCCAACCUAGAGUUAAAACAUAUGCAACAAUCAGGUGCUAAUAUAAAAAAAUUAAUAAUAGCCAAUAACUUCAACCUCACUAUAUCAUUUACUGAACCAUAAAUUCAGAUAGCAAAGAACUACAAAUAGAUUGUCACAGUAAAAGAUAGCCCGCUUUCCCAAAAAUUCUUUCAUGAGGAAAUAUCAUAACUGUUAGCAAUCGUUAUCAGGACAAUCAUAUUAUAUUUAGUUUCAUAGACUUCACUCUUCUGUUUCACAAUGCAACUCACUGUCAACUAACGACCAGUUUUAGUUGAUAACACUCUUUUGCAUUAGAGAUAACCAUGAGCACCAUUCCUUUCCCUCCAGAAUCAUAGUGGAAACCUGCAGACUCUGUCAAAAUGCUGACUAUUCAUAACAGUUGGACUGAAGAAGGAUUAAUUGUAGUAAUUCUCCAUCUUGAGUAUAAAUGGGGAAGUGUUAAAUUUUCAUAUGAAGGGUAGCCUUUAUUCAACAGUACUUGAUAAUCUAAUUAUAAAGUUUAUGAGGUUGUUAGGCCUUUCAAUUAGAUCAAAGCUGCAUUCUAAGGUAUAUGAAAGAAAUAACCUUAAGCACAGCCUUCGUGAGAAGAAAGUAAUAAAAAUUCAACUUCUAAAAUUACAUUUGGUAAAAAAAAAAUGAUGACACUUUCAUUUACAUCCACUUAUCAACCUUAGCAGGUGUUACAAAUACAUCAGCUAAAAUGUGAAUGAAAAACUAAUAAAUCAUCUGAAGCAAACAGAAAGCUGUAUACUAUAUGUUAAUACCUUACAAAUUUCUCCUUCUGACCUCCAAUAAGCUGAGACUUGUAAGCACAAUCAAACAUUUUGCACAACUUAUUACAUAUAUGCCAACAUUGAAUCCCGGUUUUGUGGAUGUAUCUAUUAUUACAUCAACUCCUGUGCAACAAAUUUAAAGAACAAUGAAUACAAAAAGCACUGAGGGUAAGUUCCAGCCAAUGGAAUUGUGAUCCUUAAAUAAGAUGUUAAUACUGCAAUGCUUUGGGCACCAUUGCCAGGCUAGCUGAUAAAAAUUGCAGUAAACUGUGGUAAACUUAAGCAUAAUUUUGUGAGUUUAUAGUACAGCGGUGCAAUAACCUCAAGAAGAUAUAUUAUAAAGUAAAACAGAAUAUUAAGGGGCAUUAAUGAGACAAUUGAAUUUUCAAAGUUGUAUUAUAUUUUCUAGAGUAUCAGCAACAGCAUUCUCACCUAUUGCUUCUCUGUAACUUUCAAUGGCACAUGCAUCAUGACUUUCUUGAUAAGAGAUGUUAUUCAUGCAAUCAUGUAAAGUAUUGCAGUGAAACUUCUGAUCUUUAAUUACAGAACCUCGAAGUCAAGUGUCCUAGACAAGAAAAUAUUCCCAGCGAUCUUUUAGAAGAAUAACCCUUUUAUUGCAAGAGACUCUGACAAACAAAUCAUUGACUCCAAGAGAUGAGGUUUUCACUAAAUGUUUGGCAAUUGGUAAGCAAGCAGAAAUUCAAUAAAAGUAUAAAUAAAAUGUAGCAAGGGACCAAAAACUGAUCCUCAAAUGUCUCAACCUUGUCUGUUUAAAGACAUACUCAAAUGAUAAUUGACAAAUAUUACCCCUUAAAAUUUUCACUAAACGAUUUCUUGCAUAAAGCUCUUUCUGCCAGUCCUCAGCAGUACUUAAACCGAAGAAAGUAGUUCUCCCCUUUGAUUCAAGAGCAGAACAAACGAUGGAGGUUAUCAUCAAGAACCAAGGCAGGGGCUUUUCAAGACACUUAAAAUUGAAUUUAGGUCUAAACUACCUAAACAUAGCUCUAACUUACCAUAACAACAUCCUGAAUAGCAGAAAGAAGGUUAAUCCUCCACAUUAAUAUAGUAUGAAGAAGAAUUUUGGCAUUUUCAAUUUCUUCUCAAAUUAGGUGCAAAAUUGGCCUAACAUUUAUUCAAGUUUUUUCCCUGGAAAUUGAAUCCCAACAUCAUUAUAAAUCUAUGCCAUCUUAAUGCAUUAACGGGUUAUCACUCCUGAAAUUCUUAACAUUGGGUUUCUAAAUUUUUAAAUAGGAAAAUGAUUUCAGGUUUCAUUUGGUGUAUUAGGGAAAACCAUUGUGAAAUGCAGCAAAUCUUUUCUUCUUAAUUUUACUAGUUUGUGGCACUCUUUAUCUUUUUCCAUUUUACAACUAUAAUUACAAACAACUCUUCAUCUUGUAGCACAGUAUAGGCACUUGGGAUUCAUUAGAAGGAUGCUGAUCUUUAAAAGAACAGAAAAGACAAAUAAAAUAAAAUAAAAUAAAUUCCAAUUUCAUCCAUAUUGAUCGUAGAUUUGGUAAUAUGUGGAGUAUUCUUAUUCAUUCUACCCUUUCACAUGAUCCAAAAUUUUGGGAAUGUUAACAAAGAUUAUAUAACCAGAUAGAACAAAAAAUGUAAAAGAAAAAAUCUGGUAAUCCAAGAUAAAUCAUAUAUAAUUCCGAAAGAUUAUCCGGCUUUUAUGCAAGCUAAAAGAAAUUGCAUCUAACAUGGUAAAUUGUUAAAAGGAGAAGACAUAUAUGUUACAUUGCAUAAUAUUGUAUAUGAAAUCUUCUAAAAGCAAAAGUAAAUUAUGUAUGAAAUAACUUACAGCAAUAAUUUCCUGGUUGGUGCUAUGUUGAUACACAAUGUAGGAGGAUGAUAGAUGAAAAAAUUAGGGCUUGAAGAAGGCAAAGAAUGUGCCAAAAGAGAGACAAAAGUUUGUUUUAUGGGAGGCUUGAGAGUUUGACAGUUAUUAUGGUUAUUGUCCUUCCCAAAAGUUCCAUGCAAACACAGGCAUGGUUUCCAUUCAUAUCAACAUGUGUUGUGCCAAGAAAAAAGGAAAGGGGCAUUCCAUAAACCACCCAAUAAUACUAUUUUAAAUGCUAAAAUUAAUUGAUAAUGUAACAAUAAUCAAUAAUAACUUAUAAAUAAGUAACAAAAUUUUUUGUUACAUUUGAAUAAGAUCUCAAAAAGAGUAAAAAUUCAAUUUUGAAUCUUGACCCUUUAUCAAAAGGACAACAUUAAUUAUAGAUUGUUAUGAUAAUAUUAAUAUCUACAUUACCAUAAAUAUUAAAAGAUUUAGGAUUACUAAAAUUAGAUACUUUUGAACUUACAUUCCACUUUUAAAACAGUUUAAUUUAUAGUAUUAAAAAAUCUUCUCUGUUACCCAAAUAAUUAAUUAAAACAACCUUUUGGUAUAAUGCUCCUGUGACAUUGCAAGGUAUGCUUAAUGCGAAAAUGGACAUUUUUGAAGGUGCUUGAAGAUGAUUGUGCGAGCAAAAGGUAAAAUGAGGGACUUCAUUAUGAAUUUCCAAGGAAAUAUCAAAUUAAUUUAAAUACAAUUAUAAGCAAUAAAUCAAUUUACUUGAGCUAGCUCAAAUAUGUAAAUACAUCAACAUAACAUGUGUAUAUAUAUAUGUACCCUUCAACUACUGUUCAUCCCCUCCCUUCUACAUAGCUUUGAAAUGAGGGCAACUCCAAAAACAUAUUCUCACAAUUAGACUAGACAAAAAGGCUGAAAUGUUCAGUAUACAAGUAAGCCAGGCUAGCUCUUUUCCCAGAAAUUAUUAUACCCAAAAGUUUUAUCUUGUUAUGCAAAUUAUGUCAUCCAAUGCUGCCUGCCAUGCAACCAGACAAUUAUGAGUUGCUUGUACUACUCCACACAAGCUCUUCCCUUGGAGUGCUCCAUAAUGAGCCAUGAAUUAUUGAGUAUGUUGGUUUUAUUUCUCAUUCCUAUCUUAUCAGUUCCCGAGAUUCUAAGGAUGUAUCUGUAUACCACCAAUUAUAUAGCAUGAAGAAAAGAGGGAAAAGCAUUUUGCCAUGAGAAAUAUCCAGCAUGGAGUUGUCACUAUAAAUCUGGCACAUAGUCAUGCUCAUGCAACAAAGCAGUCAAUGAGUGCAAUCCAUCAUAAAUAGAGCUUGAUCCUGGAUGCGUACAAUCACCAUUAAUAAAGGCAUGAACUCCAUUCUUGAGUUCAAUCCAGCUACACCCUGGUAGCUUCCUCACAUUUUGUUGCCUCAUCAUAUUUCUAACAUCCAAUACUUCUUCAUAUUUGCCAGCAGCUACAUAAACAUUGGACAUCAAUACAUAACUACCACAAUGCUCAGGCUCAAGCUGAAAGACAUGCUUUGCAGCAACCUCAGCCAUAUCUGAAUUUCCAUGAAGCCGGCAUGCUGCCAAUAAGGCCCUCCAUACAACUGCAUUGGCCUCAGUAGGUGAUGUUAGUGCCAAUUGAUAAGCCUCCUCAAGCUGCCCAGCCCGACCAAGCAUGUCAACUACACAAGUAUAAUGCUCUAUGGUUGGAACAACACCAUAUCUUGACUUCAUUUGCCCCAGGAUCUGACGCCCUAGGCUUACAAAGCCACCAUGGCUGCAGGCUGACAGGACUCCCACAAAUGUGACAUCAUCAGGCUUAAAAUCACUCUCGCACAUGAGUGAAAACAUAUCCAUUGCCUCACUUCCAAAACCAUGCAUGCCAUAACCCAUGAUCAAAAUGUUCCAGGAUGCAACAUCCUUAUGGCUCAUCUUAUCAAAUACCAAGUAAGCCUCUCUCAUACUCCCACAUUUUGCAUACAUAUCCAUAAUACCAUUGUUAAUAAGAACAUCACCAAUAUCUUCAGAAUUUCCAUCUUUUGACAACCCAUUAAUAAUCAUAUAGCCAUGAAUCACCCUACCAUGCAUCAAUGCUGCCAUCUGAGUGCAAGAAGGAAACACAGUGGUCAAAGUGAUCAAGUCAGGCCGAAUGCCAUCCCUUAACAUUCUACCAAAAAGUCUCAACGUUUCAUCAUGAUCACCACAUUGUACAUGAACAGACAUAAUCGAAUUCCAUGAAAAAAUAUCCCUCUCAGCCAUCAUUUUGAAAAUCUCCAAUGCUUCACCAACAAACUUACACUUCCCAUACAUAUCAAUCAAAGCAUUUGACACUGUAAUACUUGAAUCAUACCCCAUUUUCAUGACAACCCCAUGAACUGCCCUCCCAUUCUCAAAAUCCCCUAUCAUUGCAAAAACCGAUAAAACACCCGUAACCGUGAAACUACUCAUCUCAACCCCCUCUAAACACAUCUUUCUGAACAUUCCCAAUGCCUCAUCAAACCGCCCAACCUGAGCAUACCCAUUAACCAUAGCAUUCCAGAGCACAACAUCUCUCACAAGCAAUUCAUCAAAGACUUUCUCGGCAUCCUCCGUGAAUAAAAACUUCAAAUAACACUUAACCAAACCACUACCCACAUACAAAUCUAAGUCCAAACUUAGUUUAAACACCAACCCAUGUAUCUUCCUAACCUCUAAAACCUCCAUAAUAUCACAACAACCUUUAAGCAAACAGGGAAACGUGUAUUUAUCAGGGAGAACACCAAGAACCCUCAUUUCCCUGUAAAAGUUUAACCCUUUUAAGGGAUCUUCAUUUGUGACAAACCCAGAAAUUAUCGCAUUAAAAGAAAAGAUAUUCGGGUUUUGAAUGGUGGUUUGGAAUAAGGAAAGGGCAUGGGUCAUUUGGUUGCACUUGGAAUACAUGUUGAUGAGGCUCGUGAGGGAUGCGGGGGAGGCGUGAAGGAAGCCAUUUCUGAGCAUGUAAGCGUGGAGUUGCUUGCCUCCCGUGAGGUUUUUUUGGUGGGAACAUGAUUGGAUAGAGGCAAUGCAUGUGGAGAGAGUGUAACACUGUGGUGUGGGUGAUGAUGAGGAAGAAAAUUUGGAAGAGGAACAGCAGAAUGGACAAAGCGAUUUGGGUUUGUUGUUCCUUUUGUUGAUUGAGGGUUUGGGGAAGAUAGCUCGUUUGUUCAUUUAAGAGGAAAGGAUCUAAAGAUGAAUGCUAUCAUACGUUUCUUUGCAGUUUGUUUAGAGCCAAAUUUUCAAAUGGCAGUUAGGCGGGACGAUUCAUGGAUUCAUGCGGAGAGGGCUGCGAAUAAAUAUUCUCAUUUUUUUUAUUUACAAUUUUUCAUUUUCUAAGGUUUAAUUAGGAAUUUCCUUUUUAAAAAAUUUUUUUAUAGAUAUUAAAAAAUUAAUUUAGUACCUUUUAAAAUUUUAAUUUUUUUAUAAAAGUAAUAUUCUAUGAUUUUUAAUACCAAAAAAUGAGAAAAUAAAUUCAUUCAAAAUCAAUUUAAAAUAUAAAAAAAUGUAUGAGUAUUAGAUGUUUAUAGAAGGGAAGAAGACAUACUUUUAAAACCUUCAAGAAAAUGAAUAAAUAAAAUAGAAUGGACUAUGAAGGCAAUAUUACUUUACAAUAGGUUAAUUAUUUAAUUUGACACUUGAAUUAUGAAAAAUAUUUAGUAUGGUGCUUUAAUUAUUUCGUUUAUUACUUUUAUAUAUUUUUAAUAAAUAUUCAUAUGUUAUAUAUAUAUAUAUAUAUAUAUAUAUAUAUAUAUAAUAUUAGACUAUAUCAAGAAUACCACAUCACUAAGAAAUGAAAUGUGUUUUAGGUUUAUAAGUAUAGGCUUUCAUCCACUGAAUAGGUAUGUUUUUUAGAUUGAAAAUGUGAACUCGUGACUAAUGGUAUUAAAACUUAUCAAACUUUAUUGAUGUGAGACCUCUCAUAAGAGAUUAGGAUCGAAGUAGCCUCAGAUCAUGUGUAUCCCUAAGUCAUCUUAAUUGUUUUUAAACACUUUGUUAUAAUCAUGUGUAUCCCUAAAAGUCCUCACUUGGAAAAAUUACAAUUUUUUAUCAAAAGCUCUAUAUAUUUUUCAGGGAUAGUUGGGAGCAACAUAUUAGCCCCUAACAAAGUUCUUUUGUUUUUUGCCCAAACAAUCUCUUUAUUACUCCUAAUAGACAUUAAUGAAACAACAUGCUUAAACUAAUGAGAAUUCUCAAACAACAUGCUUAGUUUAAUGUAAGGGCUACGUGAUGAAAGGUUAUACACUGAAAACCUACCUCUCCUCCUACUAGCAUCAUCAACCAUGUCCUCUUCAUCAUUAGCAAUGUCUUCAAACUCAUUAGAGUCAUAGUACUCACUAUGAAUUCCCUCAUUCCCUUUUUUUGAUGGAUUAAAUCCAUCCCCAACCUGCAAUUACAAAUACAAGGAGUCCUUCGUCUACUCCUUAAAUCUCUUCUGUAAUCAUUCUAAACUUUUCCCUGACAGAAACCAACUCUUCAUCCUCACUACCAAUCAAAUUCUCUUCAACAUUUACAAAAUAAGCCUUUCCAGCCUCUACUUUCUCCUCUUCAUUAAUAAAUACAAUUUCAUCUAUAGCAUGCUUGAUGUAAAAUCUCUAUUAGAUCAUGAUUUACCAUAUAUCCUACCAUAUCCAAAAAGCUAUCAUCAUCGACAACUGCUCUAAGACCAUUAGCAAGUGUACACCUAAGCUUUAAAUAAUAAAUCUUUUUUAUGUUUUGAUAACCAGCAUCCUUACACGUGCUUAAUAACUCAAAAUAACUAACCUUGUCUAGGUCAAAUGUGAAGUCCUCCACUAAACCAUUAACAUACUUGAGGUCUUCCCUCCACCAACAAAACCACCGCCAUAAUGAAACCUUAUGAUGCGUAAUUGAUCAUCCAUUAUGUUCAAAGUAUAAAAACUGUCACGAUUAGGUAAUUUUUUUGAACAUAGCGUGUAACAGCAUCAUUUUUUCAACAAGGCGUGUAACAAUAUCAUUUUUAAACAUAGCGUGUAACAAUAACUUGCUACAUGCCAUUACUAGUUAUCACAGAGAAGCUACACACCACUUACAAAAUUUAUUACAUGCCAUGUAGAAAAAAUAUUCAAUGGUAACCUUACUAAUGACAACUAUUAAAGAUAGAAAAUGAACAUGAAAAUGCAAGGCAUACCUAACUAUUUCUGGUUUAGCAAACGACAAAAAGCUGACGACGACGGUAACCAAAAACAGGCAACGCUUGAUAAUCUAACGGUAACAGAUACCAAGUUGAACGAUGAGAUCAUAAAGAUGAAAACAAUCGGAGAUAAGAGAUGGAUCAGAAAAGAAAGAACGCAGAACGUGGAUAAUUUGGGUCGAUGGUGGGAAAACUAAAAUGGUGGAAAAUUUUAACAGAUAAGAGUAAUCAAAUAAGGGAAAACAGAGUUGUUUUUACCUGGACAAAACGACGUCAUUUGCCAAAAAUCCAAUUCACCUGCCAUGUCAUAGGCUAAAAUCCAAGUCAACAUCCAUGCAUGUACAUGGAUGCCACACCAUCCACCUAUCAACUUAGCCCUUAAUUGUAAGGAAUCGAAAAUAUUUAGACCUUGAUUGUUACAAUUGAAACGUUUGGCAACUAAUUGUAAAAGUGCCUAAAUGUUUAGAACCGAUUUGAGCAUUAAGCUUAACUUUUUUUAUCUUUAACCUACUUUACCUUUUUCAUUAUUGUGCCUUUAUCACUUAAGAUUUUUUUAUUAUCUCACUUUCUCAGUUUCUCUUAACCUUCCAACCAUUACUAUUACCACUUUUCUUGACCUUCCUACUAUUACUUUUCUUACUUCCCAAUAUUUUCUUAAGCUCUCCUCUUAUACUCCUCCCUUAGUCUUGCUCCAUUAACUACACAAUAUUGAAACACACUGAAAAUUAUCCAAUCCCUAACAAAAUUUAAUAAAAAUUCUUUUGUUGUACAUAUAGAAAAAAUUGAAAAUAAAAAGAAAAUAAUUAGAAUAAUAAAUCUUAAUUUUCUUUAAAAGGUUAACAUUAAUAUCUAAAAAAGUUCAUGAAUUAUUUAGGAAAAUUUAAGUAAACCUUUAUUCUUUUAUUAUAUUUAAUCAAACUCUUAUAUUUUUAUUUUGAAUCAAAUAAACUCAAAUAUUUGAUGGUUGAUUAACUGUUAUUAGUUAAAUGUCACUUAUUAUUUUAUAUCACCCAAUGUUGACGUAAUAUACUAAUAUGUUAUAGUAAAUGAUGACGUGAUAUAUUGAUGUGGAAUGAUGACUGUAGACACCUAAAAAUAAUAAUAAUAAUAAUAAAUAAAUAAAUAAUUUUAAAUUAUAAUAAAAUAAACUAAAAUAUAAAAUAAUAUAAAAAUAAAUAAAAAAUAUAAGGAAAAAAAAAAGGGAUGGCUGGGCGUACGCCCAGCCAUCCCUUCCCCAACCACCCCGCAUGAUGGGGUUCUGGCCACCAACUCUCUAGUGCUAGAACCCCAUCGCCGGCUCUUUAAAGGCUACCUACAAAGAACAGGAGCAGGAACAGACAACAAAAAAAAUCCUAGAUCUACCAGCAGCAAAUACCUAGCCACAAGAAAAAAAUCAAAAAAGCAAUCAGAAAAGAACAAAAAAAAGCAACCAAAAAUUCGAUCGGGGUUUCAACGGGGAUUGGGUUUGGUUUGAGGGAGAGAGAUCGGUGUCAAGGGAGGCUACCGGCUGAAAGUUGAAGAAGAGAAGAAGUGAAACGAAAAGAGAGUUUUUGCGGUGGUCGACGGGUAGAGAGUAAGUGUUCGGAGAGAGGCAGACGAUUAGGGAGAAGAGAGAGAGGCCGACGAGUAGGUGUUCGGAGAGAGAGAGGUCGGCAAGUAAAGAGAAGAAAGGACGCCGGCGAAGAGAGGAAAGAAAGUUCUAGAGAGAAGGUAGAGAGUGGCGGCUAGAGAGAGAAAAAGAAAUUGGAAAAUGAAUAAAAAAAGUUAAAAAGGGUUUUUAUACCCAGGGGAAGGAGAGCAAAACGGUGUCGUUUUGGUGGAGUGGCAGAAGUUGGAAGGUCCAGGCCCAAACGACGUGGUUUUGAGCAGCCCCACAGGCACCAAACGGUGCGUUUUGAACUCUGUUUUGUGGAUCUCAAGAGGCAGGUCGGGCGUAAUAGAUUUGGGCUUCCGCGGGUCGUCGGGUUGGGCUAAUUCGAGCCCAGUAAGGUAUAACCCAUUUUCUUUGGUCUGGGCCUAUUUCAAUUAAUUUGAAGAUUAGCCCGUUUUGUUUUAAAAAAUUUACUUUUUUUAUUAUGAAUUAAACCACAUUAGGAAAGUUAGCCAUAUAUAUAUAAAUGUCUCUUUUAAUGCUAAAAAUGAUAAUGAUAGUAGUAAAUAAAAAUAAUAGUAAAAGAAAAAUAAAUAUAUAUACAUAAAAUAAAUAAAUAAAUAGAAAGAAAAUUCAUAAUACCUAUAGAUUUUUUUUUAAGAAAAAUAUAUAUAUAAAUAAUAACAAUAAUAAAAAAUAUUAUAAAUAUAUUUAGAGGCUUGCAAAUAAUAAAAAAAAUAAAUGGAACAAUUACUUGAGUAUUACCACCUAAAAGGGGGGCAAAGAGUUGUCUCUUUCAGGUGGGUCACUUAAGGGCGGAGUUCGAAACGGACUUUCACCGAAGCGUCGGGAUAAGUCCGAAUUCUAUACUCCUAUACCCAUUAGUCUAAAUAAUUAUUGUUUAAAAUAAUAUAUAAUGAUAAUGAUAAAUAAUAAUGAUAAAUAUAUGAAUAAGUCAAUAAAUUACCUGAAAUUAUUAAGCAUGUUAAUAUUACCAACCAACUAAUUAAUAAACACGGUCAUGUAGAUUUCAUCAUUUUAUAUUGUCAUUGCAUGCUAUAUUUAUUUUGCAAAUGGUGCGGGAAUCCCGAUGAUGGGAUUUCCCCGAGGAGCUUGUAUAGACGAGUUUUUCCGGGGAUAUCUCUAGGUGAGGAGAAUUUCGAGACUUCACCAAAGCGUUGGGAUGGUCUUCGAAUAAUUUUCCAAUAAAAGAUUACCGACUCCAUCAUUUAAAAUAAACAAGUCAUGACAUCAUUUUACACUUGCAUCAUGUGCAUACGUAAAAUCAAACCAAAUAAAAACUCUCAGUCAGUCAAUUCAAUAAAAAUUUAAUUAAUAAAGUAGGGAUUAACUUAAGAGAAGGCUAUAUAUUAAGAUAACUUAAGAUUAAAUAGUACCGUUCGUGGAACGGGCGUCACGGAGGUGCUAACCCUUCUCCGUGCGUAACCGCACUCUCGAACCCAUCUCUAAAAAACGUGGACCAGUUCUCAUUCUUUCGACGGGCCUAAAAUUAAUUUAGGACUUCGUCGAUUAGAAUCAGAUUAAUAGGUGACCAAUCACACCUAGAUAAAAAGAUUGGUGGCGACUCCCACACGGAUUUUAACUUUCGCCCUCGUCUGGCGGACGGGUUCCUGGACCUACACGUCACGACAAUGACAUGGUUAUAUGACAUUUCACUCUCCAUGUCAACCAAAGGACGAACCCACAUUGAAGUGCAUGGGCAGACCCCAAAUUUGUAAGAGUGGUGUCAUCUAACACCACUCAAUUGUUAAAAAUCAAUACAAGUAUAUUACUUAUCUAGAGUUUUAUAUAGUUAAUGACAUUAAUAAACCCACUAAUUUUUUUACAAUUUUGUAAGGAGUGGGUUAAAGAUUCCAAGUAAAUUUAUCAAAAAGUAAUUUAUAUACUAAUAUUUAAAUACUAAAAGAUAAAAAAAAUUUCCUUCUAUAAUUUAAGUUUUUAUUAAAAAAGUUAAAACCUAAACUACUCUCCUCCUUCCUCUCCAAAAAUUCAAGUCCUACUUUUGAAACCUAUAAUAACCUUUCCUCUUCUCAAUCCUUGGUUACGUUUUUCACUCUCUCAAAACAACUCAUCUAAGUUUUAAUUAUAAGUAAUUUUCAACCUAAAUUAAGUUUUCAAAUACUUUAUGUCUAAAUAUUUUUUGAUUUAUUUGAUAGUUUGAAACCCAAACAGAUUCUAUCUAAGAGAAUAUAGUAUUGCAUGUCAAAUAAUAUUUUGAAAUUAUGAGACUUUCUUUUUUGAGUUAUUUAGUAGAUAUAUUGUUUGAUUAUUUGAUAUUUGUAUUUAACUUUAUGUUGUUUGUAGAUGCUUAUACUUAGUUCUGAUCAAUGAAUAGAAAUUAGUCAAAUUGUUAGUAGUUGACCUUGAUAAUUUGCUAGGCAAGAUUAUAUUUUAUUCAAUUCUAAUAUUAUAGUUUAUGCUAAUGAGAUAUGAGUAGUAAUUUUAACAGGUUUUUGGAUAAAUAAGUCAUGAAAAAAUAUUUUAAAAUACAAUAAAUUGUCUCACAAGACUCAAGACAUAACAUAAUUCUACUAAUGAUGGUACUUAACAAUUUUCUAAGUAAAGUGGUAUCAAAUUUGAUCUAAGUACUCUUCCAAAAGAUCCUAAAUUGAGGAUUUUUUUUAAUUAUUAUUAUUUUAGUUAUAACACCACUCAAAAAAAUUUCUUGGUCCAUACCUGUUGAAGUGAGUGGUGUGACACCACUCAUUUCCUAAAAUGUUUUAGUUGUUAUACUAUUUUUUUUUAUUGAAAGUAGUUGUUAUACUAUUUACUUAGGGUUUUGUGUAGUUAAUAUAUUAAUGAACCCACUAUUUUUUUUACAAUUUUAUAAAGAGUGGGGUCAAAGGUUCCAAGUAAAAGUAAUUUAUAUAUUAAUAUUUAAACUCUACAUAGAGAGACAAAAAAAAUUUCUUCUAUAAUUUAAGAUUUUAUUAAAAAAAGUCAAAACCUAAACUACUCUUCCUAUCAAAAAAUUCAAAUCCUUCCUCUUCUUGCUCCUUGGCUAUGUUUUUCACCUUCCCAAAAUAACUCUUCUAGACUUCAAUUAUAAGUAAUUUACAACCCAAAUUAAGUUUUUAAAUACUUCGUGUCUAAAUAAUUUUUGAUUAAUUUGAGAGUUUGAGACCCAAAUAGAAUCUAUCUAAUAGAAAAUAGUAUUGCAUGUCAAAUAAUAUCUAAGUAUUUCUUUUUUUGAUUUAUUUUGUAGAUAUAUUGUUUGAAUAUUUUAUUUUUGUAUUUAACUUUAUAUGGUUUGUGGAUACUUAUACUUGAUUUUGAUCAAUAAAUAGAAACUUGUCAAAUUGUUAAUUGUUGAACCAUUUGCUAUGCAAGAUCAUAUUUUAUUUAAUUUUAAUAUUGUAGUUUAUGCUAAUAAGAAAUAAAUAGUAAUUGUUAACAGGUUUUUGAAUAAAUAAGUCAUGAAAAGAUAUUUUAAAACACAAGAAAUUGUCUCAAGUCCUUUGCAACAAUUACAUAAUUGUACUAAUGAUGGUACUUAAUAAUCUUUCAAGUAAAGUCGUGGUAAAUUUGAUCUAAAGAUUCUCUAGACAGAUUGGAUUGAGAAAAGAAAUUUUAAUUAUUAGUAAUGACACCACUUAGAAAAAUUUUUAAGUUAGCCCCUGAUGUCAACAUCAUGUUGAUUUUAUAUCAGUGUCAUGUUAGUGUCAUAUCAUCACCAUGUGACAUAAAAAUGACUAAUUAUAAUCAUAAAUAUUUAUUUGAUUUAAAAUAAAAAUAUAAAGAUUUAACUAAACGUAAUAAAAAAAUAAAAAUUUAUUUAAAUUUUUGUAAAUAAUUUAAAAUUUUCUUAAAAAGCAUUAUUCCCUAGUCUAAUCUUAUUUGUUUUAAUGGAAAUGGUAACAACACCUAAGCUAAAUUUGACUUGACUGGUUGAAAAUUGAAAUAGUAUCUCUCUUGAGCCCUUUAUACAUAUAGUACAUUGUGUCCCAUGGCAGAUGGGUCCGCUUUAAUUAUGUUAUAUAGAUUUGCCCAUACAUGAGUUGAUAGAUAAGUGAUUUGUGGUAGUUGGGUCUGUAGCGUAGAUAAGGCAAUAGUUGUCCUCCCCACGAGGGGCGGAAAAAGAAACAAUGAGAUUCUCCAUGCCUAUGAAUAUUUUUUGACUCGAUUUGCAUGAGCCACCGCUCAAAUAAUAUUCAUUCUCACAUGGCAAAGCAUGCUGCGACCAACACCUUUAGUCAAAAGUUAUGCCCCAUUCCCCUUUUUCCUAUUUUUGCUUCAAAAAGAGUCCUACUAGCUUUUGCAAGCGUUUCUCGUGUCACUUAAAUGGAAUCAUACUAUUGAUUCUACCAUCUGGUGCAUGUGUUUACUCUUCUUACUUUUGUAACCACGAAAUUAAUCCGAUAUAUAUAUAUAUGAAAUUUUAAAUCAUAUUUGAUUAGAGUUUUUAUCUACGUGCAACAACGUUGAGUUUUGAACUUUUUGUUCUAUAUUAAGUCAUAAUUUCAUCUUACUUUGAAUUUUUAUAUUAUAAAAUGGAUCACGUGGGUAGUGUUUUCGGAAUCUUAAAAGAGAAGACAUCUUGUAACCUUAUAUUUUGUUUUAAGUACAGUUAAGGUGGUGUGAAUGAGUGUUCUUAUGAAGUUAUUGAGAGAUGGUGUACAAAGGUCUUUGACUUGAUUUGGAAAACCAUUGAAAGAGAUUUUUGUUGUUCUUUAAUCUGUGGAGGUAGACAAGACGUUGAACCACGUAAGUUUUUAUAUUUUUCUAUUUGUUUGGGUGUUUUAUUGUUGUUGUUUUUUGGGUUAACUUCAUGACACACGAUCGUAAGGUUCAACACCUAAAAAUAGGCAAAAGAGAUAGGAUAAUGAUACUAAAAAAUAAAAACACAACAAAAAAGUCCUAAUCUUUUGCAAUGAUUUUAGUCAAUAAUGGUUCAAUAUUGUGAAUUGUUGUUAUCAAUUCAGGAGAAAACUUAUCCUAAAUAGGGGCUGUCUCCUUAUGUCAAGUUUCUUAAAAUUUUCUCCCACAGAUAUAUGGUAUUGUUUUGUCCAGACAUGGGGAAGCUAGUGUUGCAUCAAUAAAUAGGACUUGUAGCAUUUACUAGUAAUUAUUUCACAAGAAAACAUCCAACUGUAGCUGCGGAAAACAGAAUCCCUCAAUAUGGGCUCCAUCUAAAUCCUCUUUUUAUCAUUCCAUGGAAGUUUCGUGUAUGGAUCUUAUCCUUCAAACUAGACAUUUGUCAUGGAUGGUUUUCUGAUGAUUCAUCCAAACUUUUUUCCCUCGUACAGUUUGUUUAUACAUGCUUCAAACCUUAUGCCCAUGUCUUUUUAUAAUUUACCCUACCCCUCUUAUACAACCUUUCUUUCCGUAUCCUUUGAAAGUUUAAUAUCAAUAUAUCUUGAAAUGUAGUCUCAACUAUUGUCAUUUUAUGUUCACGUUUGCAUAUAUAUUUCAAAAACAUUUAGAACUAAGAACCGAUGAUGAAGUUUCAUGAGACAAGCGAGCAAUGACAUUGAGGAUAAAAAAAAAAAACAAACAGAGACACCAAAUCAAAUCGAUCUAUUUUCAAACAUCCAUGUCUAAUUUCAAAAACUUAAACCAAACACUAGCUAAAACAAUCACACACGAAAAUGCUUUGGUUGAGAAACAGUCACUCAAUCAAAAAGUGUUGGUGGUUUUCAUUAGGAGAAGUGUUAAUACAUGGGAACACCCAAGGAUGUAACUUUUCAAUUAGUUAUAUGAACAGAAGUAUCUCUCCUCAUCGUAUAUUAACCUCAUGCAUCUUAAUUUAAAUUUUAUAGAGCACAAUGCCCUCGAAUAGCAUGUAUCCUUAAAAAACCAUCUAUUAGUGGUGCCUCCCGAAGACAGAUGGUGGCAAAGAAAAAAGCCCACAACUAGUAAAGUAAAGAAGGUAAAUUUCAAAGACAUCAAUUGGUUAGGACUUGAGAGAGGAUAAGGGAAAGAGUAUCCAAAGCAUCCAUUCUCGAAUGCUCAAAUGUCACCUCCCCUUUUUUCCCUGUUUAAAUAUCCCAAAGGGCUGAUUACUCUAACAUCCCCACCCACCGCCCCUUUUGGUAAAACGAAAGACCCCACAAAGCAUAAGCACCAUCCAUGUUCAGUGUUUCACAACCUGCCUAAGCACACACACACAAAAGCAGCAAAAGUUGAAUGUGCACUAGACACCAUUAUCACAAUAGCAACAUGCCACCCAUAACCAUUUUUUGCAAGCCAAAAUUUCCCUUUCCCUUUCUUCUCUCUUUUGACAAUUACAGCCAUUUCCUCGUUAGGCGUGUAAAGUGUAAAGGAAAAGAUGUAUACACCUCUAAAUAAGUAGAAAGAAACGACAGAAACGACAUCGCAAAUCUGGUUCACAACUAGUGGUCGAUCUGGCCACUGACUCUCUGUGAGGGUAUUUUAAUGGCCCCAGCAUAGACCCAAGCUCCAUCUAUCUAAGUUGAAAUUAGAUAACUCUUAACAAUUCAAAAUGCAUGAAAUUUUUGUUUAGUAUGGUAGGUGACUUCCCCUUUCAAGUGAGUACUUAAACUCUCAAUCUUUUCACAUUCAAGUAUUCGACUCAAUGAUAAGUAUACGUAAAAGAAAAAAUUAAUCGAUGUGAGAGAAUUGGGUAGUGAAUGGGAUCAACCAUAAAAGAAGGCUUUUCAUAUUAUCACCUUUUGAAAAACAAACAUUCUAAAGUCAAUCAUUCCACACAAUAAAAAAGGUUUUAUAAACAAAAUACAACAGUAUAGUUGGGGUGAAACAUUGUUUGUCUAAUCAUCAUGACCUUCGGUGAUAUCCCAUUUGGAUUCAAAUAUAGUUGGAAUGGUUACAUCUUGAUGGAAAGAAAACAACUGUAUAUCUUUAAUUAUUUACCAAGUAUAAUAGGAGAAUGACAUUUCAACAUAACAUCUUGCUGCUUUCCAUAACUAACAAGUUAGUUUUUGCUACUUCUAUAAGUUACACAUGUAAACAAUUCUUUGUGAUGCAUGCUUAUUGUGUUGAAAAUUGGUUUAAAACUAGGGUAGUGACAGCAACAUCGUCACAAUGUUAGUUCAUUGCCAAUGGAAUUAAACUCUAUUCAUCAAAUCAUAAUGUUAAGAGAAGGUGGGGAAGAGUUAGACUCAAUCUUAGACCAAAAGUUGAUGUUGUGGAGAUGAGAGAGAUAGGCGGUCUAACUUCAAUAUAUACUUACCCAAGACUAUAGUAUGUCCGCUCCCUAUCUCACUUCAUCACUUUAGCUAGAAUUGAAAGAUUCAUAUUAUUUUAAUUAAUAUCUUUUAUGUACAUUAAACGCUGUAAUAUUAUUUUUCUAGCAAUCAAAUUCUUAUGAUCAUAUUAUAUUGUAAGGCACAAAAUGCCUCCUAAUUAUUAUAUAGGGAUGAUGCUAUGAUUAUUUUUUUUUUCUUUUGAAAUUUAAAAUAAAUUUAUAAGUGAAAGAAACAUUAUUGUAUUUAUACUUAAAAUAGCAUAUAGAUGAGCUAUUAAGAGUAUUAAUUAAAUCCCAAUCCAUUUACAUCUUUUCAACAUUUCAAUGAUUAUCUAAAUAAUAGAAACCUUUCAACUUAUACCAACAACUUGAUAAGAACCCAAUUGUCUAAUUAUAUUAACAACAAUAAUGUCUGAAAACUUUGAUCCUCCAAUGAUAAAUCAUUCAAAGUUGAAUGCUUAUUUGCUUAGGCUAGUAACUAACUGAUAAAUUAUCAUUGUUUAUGCUAGUAAGUUGGAAAAUUACUAGCAUUUUUAUAUUUCAUUGCUUCAAAAGACUAUCAUUGCUUACACCCAGUGCCAACUGAAUGCUUAAGUCUGCUGCAAAGUGCAUAGGAACCUUUGAGAUCAGACAGUUAAACUCAACUGCUGGGAACCGGACAUGACACUAGCCAAAUCCUCCUGUCUCGCAAAAAGGCUUUCAAAAAUCUAUUUUUGAAUUUUCUAAUGUUUGAAAGUCAAUGGAAAAUGGGUCAAAAAUAUAGAAAUUGUUUUUCAUUUCGUAAGAAUGGAAGACUAGUUUUUCAAAAGCUUUCGUGCCUUUCGAGCUAGACCUGUCACUGGGCGUGACUUAGUCCGACUUGGCCAUGACUUAAAUAUGUUUAAAAUAAUUAUAAAAUUAGUGAGUAAAAAUUAAGUAGACGGACUUGACGGGGCGAACGUAAAUGUUAAACUUAUUUUGUAGAAAUGUCCAUUAGAUUUAACCCGGUGACUUAUGGUCACAUUUAAUUAACAUUAUACAUAAAUAAUCCAUUUCAAAAAUAAUGUCCAAAAUUGCAUUUUUAAUAUUAGAUUUACUUAAUAAUGAUACUAAUUUUAAAAACAAAAAAAUAUUUUCUAUAAAGCCAUUCAAAGAACAACAAAAAAUAAUUUGUUUACAUUAUCAUCCAAAUAUAAAAAAUAUUAAAAUUUAAAAAAAAAAACAGUUGUCCGAAAAAGUACCUCAUCCCCACGAAGGUGCAGAGGUUGAGCAUUAGAAUUUGCUUUAGUUAACGUGGAGCACGCGCAAAAUAUGGCGCGUGAAGUAAAACACAUUCCCUCCAUUUUCUUUAUCUGUAUUUUUUAUUUUAUUCCUUAGGUAUGACUUUUAUCCGCAUAAAACUUCCUCUUCAGUCAAAGCUCGAAAGCUCCUCGGGGACCCUCCUUUUCUCCUUUUCAUAAUCCUCAUUGCCUAAUCACCACUACUGUAAACAGGGAAAUCCCAUUAAAAUAUAUUAUCAAAGACUCACAUUAUCAGAUUUUCUUCUCAUUAUCCAACUGUAAAGCAACCUCACAUUGGAUACAGGCAGCAGUGACAUGAACACUGAGAAGAAAAAUACAAAAAGAAUACACAUUAAGAAAAUAGGGCAGCAAAAACAGAACCCCAUUUCCAACUUUUUUUUUUCUUCACUUCACCAUAAUCCAGUAACCAAACCAAGAAAAACUGAGAUACCCAGAAACUGAAACAAGAAGAAAAAAACACCAUGCCUUCAAGGCCUUUACCUCCAGGUCCAAACCUACCAAGACCAAGUUUCAUCAGCAAAACAAGAGUCAUAUUCCUGAUCCUAACCAUCUCAUCUUCAGUGGUUAUUCUCUUUACAAUAAUUUACUUUCUUUACCAUCUUUGGAACUCUCUUUCAAACCGAGCUAGAACCAUCCCUUUUGACUCUAGUGCUCCUCUUAAGCUCCAAAGGUUUUGUUACAAAGAGUUAAAGAAUGCUACCAAUGAUUUUGAUGAUGCCAAUAUUAUAGGAAAAGGUGGUUCAGGUACUGUCUUCCGUGGCAUUGUCAGAGAUGGUAAACUGUUUGCCAUCAAAAGGCUUGAUACUGUUUCUUUGCAAACUGAGAGAGAGUUUCAAAAUGAGUUGCAGAUUCUUGGUGGGUUAAGAUCACCAUUUUUGGUUACCCUUUUGGGGUAUUGUGUUGAAAAAAAUAAGCGUUUGCUUGUUUACGAGUAUAUGCCAAAUAAAAGCUUGCAAGAAUCACUUUUUGGAGAUGGUCAUUUAAGCUUGAAUUGGCAAAGAAGGUUUGAUGUUAUCGUUGAUGUUGCUAAAGCUCUUGAAUUUCUUCACUUUGGUUGUGAUCCGCCAGUGAUUCAUGGAGAUAUUAAGCCUAGUAAUGUGUUGCUUGAUUCUGAUUUUAGAGCAAAGAUUUCAGAUUUUGGAUUGUCCAGAAUUAAAGUGGAGGGUGAGUUCGGAGUGGAUUUCUUUAGUCAAGAUUUGGGAAGGAGUCAAGAGCUAUGGAAGAGCCAAGAGUUAUCUGGGAAUUUGGGAGGAACUACUGGUGAACAGACUCCAGCAAUUGGGACUCCUGUGGACAGUAACAACAAUGAGGUAGACUUUGCACUUGCCUUGCAAGCUUCUUCUUCUUCAAAAAAUAGUAAAAAAUGUUAUAAUGUUAAGGCUCUGAAUUUAAAUUCUUUCAAUUACAAUGCUAACAUAGCUAGUGAGAGUGAUUGUAAAGUUGGGAACAAUGGAAAAGGGAAGGAGGUUACUGGUGUGGAUAUUGCUGGUGAUGAUUGGAACACUAAGUGUGUGCCUUAUGAUGAUGAGUUUGGUAGCAUUGAUCAUAGUAAAGAGUUGAAUUCUAGCGCUAGUUUGGGUGUUGAUGAGGCAGCAAAUACAAAACAAUGGGGGAAGGAUUGGUGGUGGAGGCAGGACGGGAGUGGUGAAUUGUGUAGUAAAGAUUAUGUUAUGGAGUGGAUAGGGAGUCAGAUAUGUCCUUCAAAUCCUGAUUGGGAUGAUGAGAAAAAGGCCACUCCUGAAAAAAUUGAGUUGGACAAUUCAACUCAGUUGGAGAAGUUGGACGAUGUUAAUGAACCCCAGGUACAAGGACUUGGCUUUGAAGCUUUGGAUAAGGGUUUUGAGAAGAAAGAACCAAAAGGAAGGAAAAAUCGGAAAAAGAAACAUAGGAAGAUGCAAGAAUGGUGGAAAGACGAGCAUUUAGGUGAGAUAAGCAAGAAGGAUAGUAAGCUGAAGCAGCUUAAGACAAAGUGGAAGAAAGGAUUUAAAAUGCCAUAUUUUGAUCUGGGAAGGCGGUUUUAUUUUCACCGGAGAAAGAAGUUUGGGGAACCAAAUCAAGAUGACUGUGAUGCAAAUGGAGAGUUCAGUUUUAGAAGGGGAUGGAGGAGAAAGAACAACAAUUCUGUUGGAAGUGACAUGUGGAGCGGGGAUCUUUUUAGUCGUGAGCUAAGCAGCACAACAAGCAUGAGGGGGACUUUGUGUUAUGUUGCGCCAGAGUAUAAUGGCUGUGGCUACUUGAUGGAGAAGGCUGACAUUUACAGUUUAGGAGUUUUGAUCCUUGUGAUUGUGUCUGGUAGAAGGCCAUUGCACGUUCUUGCUUCACCUAUGAGGCUUGAAAAAGCAAACUUAAUAAGCUGGUGUAGGCAAUUAGCUCAAUCUGGAAAUGUGUUAGAACUGGUAGAUGAGAGAUUGAAAGAUGAUUACAAUAAGGAGCAGGCAAGCUUGUGCAUAAAUUUGGCACUUAGUUGCCUGCAGAAAAUGCCUGAGUUGCGGCCAGAUAUUGGGGAGAUUGUAAGGAUCCUGAAAGGGGAGAUGGAUCUCCCACCAAUCCCAUUUGAGUUUUCUCCAUCUCCACCUUCUAAAUUAUACAGCAGAUCAAGGAGAAAGCAGAAGGCAAAUGCAGAGUAGUUUUUGGUAAUCCUUUCAAUUUUGCUUCUGUUUCUGCUGUCAAAUUGGGGGGUUUGGUGACUGUUGAGUGUAAUAUAGCAGAGAAGAGUGGAAGCUGUUCUUCAAAAUGUAUAUGGGGGACUGAAGGUGUGUAUCAUGAUGAUUAUGUUGUUUGUAUAUUAUAUGAAUGAUUUGUACUUUCUUUUCUACUAACUUGAUGCUGAUGACUUAAUUGAAGUUCGAUAUCUAUCCUAUAUAUCUCUGAAGCUUUGAUGGUCUGUGUUUCCCAUAUGCAUCUCACAAAUUCUGUAUAUCUACUCAAUAUCCUGUAAGUCCCAUAUGCAGCUUUAGCCAGUUAUGAAAAUCUGAUGAUGUAAUUGUAGCUUGAUUUGGUAGGAGAAUGGUAUGCCCCUUCAGUCACAUACAUGAAAGAGAGACAUGAAACGGAGCCCGUUAAUUCAGUUAAUAUCAGUUGAAGUUUUUGCACCUGAAUCUGGAAUCCAUUUUCUCAAUCUUGUAUAAUUUGAUAGUUUUUCUAGGUAGUAGUUUUGAAUUUGUCUUAGAAUCUUGAGCAAACGUUCAUUUCUUUUGUUUGUUGUGAAUACAUAACCUGUUUCACAGCCUGUGGCAUAGUUUGAAAACUGGAAGCAUGGGUUCUUGUUUUUCUGCAAGCUACUCAUGUACUGUCCCUCUCCUCUCUGCUAGAUUCUGCAGCUUUCGCUAUUGUUGGUGCAUAUUUUCAAAAAGCAUUUCGGUGCAAAACUUUUUACCUGUAAUGGUUCAAUUCCAUUAACAACACUCUCUUCACUAGAUAACAAAAAUGUAACAGAUUACAUCCAGCUGGUUACACAAUCAAAGAACGAGAAUGAAAGAUUCAAACUCCACAUUUAAUGCUUUCCCAGGGAACAAGCUCUCACUAUAAUAAGGACAAAGACAUUGCCCUUGAGUUUUGGGGUUGAAUAUUUUGCUGCAUUAAUGGAAAAGCUUCUACUUGUGCAAUACCAUAUUUAAGUGUGUUGGUCCACCUGCUUUAAACACAUUUUACUUCAGGUAGUUUCAAUUCACCACUCAUUUUAAGUUCCUUUGAGACACAGAUGAUUGCUGCUUUAAUUUUUGGUUUCUGUUUGCUGCCUUGCUACCGCACAAGUCAUUUUCCUAUAAUCAUGACCACGGCCUAAAGCUAAUCACCAUAAAUCAUUGAACCUUGGGGACUACCAUGGCUACCGGUCAGAGUAAACACACAUGGUAACAGUGUUAACAGUAAAAACGAGUACUUUAUCUUUGUCCUUUUAUUUUUUUUUUUUUUUUGUGUAGGAUACGAGAUAAACUCGAUGCAUUUCAUGUCUAUCACCUUAGCCUUAUAAAGGACUUGGAGAGGUUGGGACUUGGGAGUGAGGAAUUCAAAACUUCCUUUUUCUUUAGAGGUAAAAUGUGAUGUGACUACCAUGGCUUUUUGGCUAUUUGCUAGACCAAAACAAAUAGCAAUUCAAUCAUGUAUUGUAUUUGAAAAUGAUGCUGUUACUGUUUUGGUUCCUUUGGGUGGAUGAAAUGUAGUUAUCAGGAGUAUGUUGUUUUUUCUUUGUUUUUGCGAAAGAAGACGGGGUCGGGUCUCAAGGCAAGGAAAACACAUGCUUGACGCAAGGGCAACAUUGCCUGCUCCAAUCUAUCUUCUUUCCCCUUCUUUUCUGACAAAACCUCAUCAAUACCAGAAGAACAGCAACCCGGUGGUUCAUCCAACACAGUACUAUAUUUAUAGAUAGUGUACCUGUAACCUGUUGUAGUUUAAAGCAGAAACGACAAACCUUAUGAUGAUCAUGACAUUUUCUUGUAAGUUAUCAUCUCGUAAAUCUUAAAUUUGCUUUGGAGCACUAGCCUCGGAGCAAUAGGUUCAAACAUGCCAUCACACGAAACAGCCCAAUGGGUUAAUAUAGAUCUGUCUUAGAGCAGUUGGCCAAGAAUUAAAUAUUUUUUCCUCUACGUUGAGGAUGGGGUUUGACACCACCUCUUCUCUGCUCUAUACUUAUGGUUCAUGCCUUGAUGACUAUUGGAUGGGAGUGGGAUGCUAACCUGGAUUUUGAAAAUAUGGGGCCCUUCCAUUGGUUCAGACAUAUAUAUUUUGAUACCAGAGUCAUUUCCUACUGAGCUCAAGAAGUGUAAAUUGUCUUCUAUUUGAAACAAUUCACCAUACCUCGCAAAGCUGAUAUGCAACCCCAUUUCCAACUUCAGCUGCAAUCCUUAAACCUAUCCUCUCCUCCCUUCAUAAUAGCAGGCCAUUGUCAUAGGUUCCCAUUUUCAGCUACCUGCUAAUUCAUUCCACAAAAAUAGGACAUAAUUCUCCAGGCAAAUAAAAACCCACUGAACCUAAAAGCUUUCAUGGUUUGGUCAGGUUCGACCCUACUGCAACUUUCCAUUAAGGAUCAACUUCGCAUAGCCUUGUUUUGAUGAGUGAGGCAAAUGUGCAGUGGCCCCAAUGUCGAGUACGAAUAUGUCAAGCUGUUUCUCAGCGGCUCCCAAAUCCGAUACCAAUGCCCCUAAAAAGAAGUCAGUAUUAUUAUCGAAAGGAACGUUUGCUGGAGAUAUGUGACACCCACGUGCACGCAGGAGUGUAGUUAAUUAAUUUUUAUUAGGAAUCAAAAAUAAAAAAAAAUAAAAGUUUAAAAGUUUUAAAAUUAAUACAUUGCAUUUAAACAACAAUAAAAAAAUUUAUAAUAAAAUAUAAUUUUAUAUAACAUAAAAAAAUAAAAACUUACAAAAAAGUUAUGCUCGAUAAUAUUUUCUAAAUUCAUUAAAUAUAAUAUAUAAAAUAUAAAUAAUUAAAUACUAUUUAUAAAAUUUUACACAAUAACUAAAUAAUAUAAAUAAAAAAAAAGAUAAAAAAUACUUUAUCUUAUUUAAAUUCAUAAGAUCAUAAAUCUCUCUUUUAAAAAAUAAAAUGUAUUUCAAUAAUUAAUAAUAUAAGGAAGAAUAAAGUAAAAUAAAAGAAACAAAAAAAAAGAAAAAGAGAAAAAGAAAGAAAGGAAGAAAGAAGUGUGAAUAAAAUUAAAUUAAGAUAACAUUUAUUAGAACUUAUAAAAUCAAUUUAUUAUUUAUUAUUUAUAUUAAUUAUUAAAUAAAAAAUUUAUUUUAAAAAGCAUUAAAAAUAUAUAAUAAAUAAAAUAUUUCCAAAUUUUUAAAGGACCACAACUUCCAUAAAUAUAUUACUUUUCAAAAUUAUUAAAAUUAUAUAUAAUAAUUAAAAAUUUUCAAAAAUUUCCCAUAACCAUGCCACCCACCGCCCGCCCCUGCCUGCACGCCUAAACAGAUUGAUUUAGGCAAUUUAUGCAAUUGGUCAGUAACUAAACUUUUGCGUGUCAAUCCUUUUUCCUUUUGACCAAUCUAGACGUCAAUCUUAUUGGAGAAAAAUCUGGCCAAAGAGGGUGCAGGGGUGAUUGAAAAAUCAAGAGUACCCAGUCCUCUCCCUCACCGUACCAUAGCAUUCUAUGUAUGGAGGAAAUUUACCAACUGGUAUGGCCAAAAAGCACUUCAAAUGAGUCAGAGCACGCUCACAUUGAUAAAAGAAACUGGCCUUCCAGGCUUGGAGUGAAGAGCCAAGAGAAGAGGCAAAUUAGUGAGAGUUCAAGUCGAUCACUUCAUCAAUGAAAGACUACCAAUUUGGCUAAAUAAAUUAAGAAAAUGAUAGAGAAACAAGCAGAAGAAAUGUUACAUUUUAGAAGUUAAAAAAAAUGCGGUUCACUAAGCUUGGAUAACCAACUGAAACUCCUGCUAGAUCCACCCAGAUCCAAACCAUAUAGAAGCUAAUGCCACAACCAAAGCCCUCAAACCGACCACGCCCCCAGGCAAAACUAUCGGCGCAGCGGCAGAGCUGUUCGAUGUAUGGUUGGCAACGGGUGAGGCAGCUGGUGAAGGCAGUGGAUGAACAAGGACAGAAACUUUCAUGCCAUUGAAGCACUGGCCAUUCCCACAAAUGAAGUAGUACCUCUUGGACUCAUUGAGAGGUAUAAAAUCCUUGCCACUGCUCCAGUUUCCUAGUGCUCCUUCUGUUGUGCAGUUGUCAUACCCAGUUUGGUUCACUUCAAACACGUUGUAUUGGUUCUUUUGGUACCUAAAGGCUGGAAGGAAAGACAGAGUUGAAGAUGGUAUUAGACCAAGGACCCUCUGCCUAUGUCAGCCUCAAAAUACAAAGACUAGAUGAAAUAUAAACAUUCACAAAUAAAGGCAGUCAAAUCAGAAAGCAGAUUCAGGACAGAUGGGUACUUUCGCAUUACCCCGAAAUCAAUGUUUUGCACUUCAUACUACCCAUAAUCAUUUAGUAGUGUUUAACUUAGAAAACCCACCGUUUCCUUCAUUUCUCUGAAAGACAAGAAAACGAAAUGGUACAAAACUACAAAUACAAACACAGAUGGUUAGAGAGAGAGAGAAAGAGAGAGUACAGAUGAGGUCUCCAACAUAGAAGGUGUGGUUGUUGGCCCAAAGGGUGUAGUUGAUGCCAGGGUUCCAGCCUUUGUUAGCACCGACAAUGUGGUCAGUGGCGGUGACAGUGCCAAAGAUUAGAACGAAGCACAACAAGAUAAGCUGAUUUGAGGUCGAAUUCAACAUUCUUUGGCUCACUUGUUGGUGUUUAGCAGUUAGCAGUUUGGUUUGGUUACCCUCUUUUGCUUCUCUCUUCUUUCUGAUUUUUGUUUUUUUUUUGGGGUGGGGGGGGUGGGGGCGAGAAGCAACAAUUAUUGUGAGGGAUUCAAAGAUAAUUUUGAGUAAUGUGGGUGAACCGUGGGUCCCCUUCUUACCCGUUGGGUUUGAAUCCAAAUGUGACCAACUUCAUUUUCUCCAAUUUUUUAAUCCCGGAAAAUCAUUUCCAUCACAACAUGGAAUCUUUGCUCCAUUAUUUCAAUCCAAGGUGGAACCCAAAGCUGAAGCACACUUUUAAUUGCAGGUGCCAGGUGGUCCCUCCCAUUCUGGACCUUCAUUCGUGGGCUUCCCUUUUGGGGCCAUUAAGCCCACCUCCUUCUGAAAGGUAGGCAUUUGACUUUCCAAUCUUCAUAAGGGGUCUAAUGUGAGCGCAAGACUUGUUGUAUGGCCGUAGCCUUUACCCCAAUAUGGAUUUGGUUGGUUUCAAUGUGCAGAGCCUUAUUCUCUAAUUUUUUUAAUUGUUUUUUAUCUCUCUCCAAUUCUUUUUUUUUUUCAUUUAGAUUAGAUUGGACAAAAUUAUGCAAUUUCAAGAACAAUGGUAAUUAAAAGUUUCUACUUUCACUCUAACUUUCUUCCAUGAAUUCUUCACCUUUGUAUUAUUAUCAUCUCUACUUGUUCUUAGAUCUGAAUCUAGGGUGAUUUGUAGAAAUAGUAUAACAUGCAUAACUUAUGUUUAGUACUCAAGUAAGCAUGUGGAAUUUCAAAUGGCCAUAGAACCAAUCAAAACGGAAAUCUUGCAUGUCUCAUGUUUUAAGAAGUCAAGAUUGUUAAAUCAAUCCAUGAGUCUUUCUUGAUAAAACUUUAUGUAUAAAUAAGGUUAUACUAAUUUAAGAUAUACCAUAAUAAGAAUUUAAAAUACAAAGCGUACCUAAUUUCUAAUCCAAUAUUUAACAGCAAAAACAAUAUUGACCAAAUUGAUUACCAAUCUUCAACGCACAGGAUCUUCCUCUUCUUUUCUUUGUAACUCUCUAAUGAGUAAGAUUAUUAUAUUUUGCUCGAUAGGAGAAGGGACCUACCUUUUCCAUUAUAUAAUGAAUCCCUAGUCCCCUUUAUCAUAGGAUAUAAGGUUUCCUACAUAAGCCUACAUAGUAAGUCUACAUUUAUUAUAUUCACGUAUCACUAUUGCAUACAUGAAUAAGCAAAUUCAUGUAUCACUAUUGCAUGCAUGAAUUAAUAGAUUCAUGUAUCACUAUUAAUUACAUACAUGAAUACGUAGAUCUAAUUAAAAGAUAUAAUUAAUUGUAACUUUAUCAAGACCAAGUAAGCUUAGCCUAUUUCAGAAAAGACAAAAUAAAUAUAAAUAAUAUAAAUCCAUAAUUUUGUAUUGAAAAAAUUUAACACUUCUAUUGUAAAACGUAUAAAAAGUAAUACCCUAUUAUGAUUCUACGAAAGUAGCUAACCGAUAACAAGAAUAUAUGUGGAAUUUGGUAUUUUAUAAUUACAAUGUGAUUGCAAGGAAAAUAAUAUUGUAGUGUUUGGUAUAUAAGCAAAAUAAUUAUUACAAUGAAGGAAGAUAAUAUUACAGGGUUUGGUUUAUAAAUAUUUUAUUGAGAAUGUAAUUUUAAUUUUUAGAAUUAUCCUUAUCUAUUAAAAUGAGAAAAUUAUGAUAAAUAAUUCUCUUCAUAAGCCCAAUUCAAAAUAUCUUUCAUUAUAAUUUUAACUAUUUUUAGUCAACUUUUGACAUGACUUGACAAUAAUGCAUUUUAAACAAUUUCAAACAAAUUAAAAUGAUUUUAGUUUUCUCUAUCUCGCCAUUUAGAAAAAAAUUUUAAAAUUAAAUCUCAAUUUCUCUUUCUUGCCAAAUACUGUCUAACUCACCAUCCGAAAGAGCAAAGAUGACAUCAUGAUAUGUGUUUGAGGUUAUUAGAUUUAUUGGUUUAUUCAUAAAACCCAAAAAUUGAAGGUAUGAAAUUGAUUAGACAUAUCUGUAAAUUAAAAUAUUAUAUGACUUUGGCAAUUUAAAUCUGACUACAAACAAACAAAUUAAUUAGUUAUUAGAUAUUGCAUUACUGAUUUUUAGGCAUUGUGUUAUUAGUUUUUAGAUAUUACAAUACUAGUUUUUAGACAUUACGUGACUGAUUUUAGACAUUGUGUGAUUGAUUUUUAGGUAUUGCCUAAGUUACACAAUGUCAUAUUAACUAGUUCAGCAAUACCUAAAAAUCAGCCAUGCAAUGCUUAAAAAUUAAUAACGUAAUGCCUAAAAACUAGUCACACAAUACCUAUAAACCAUCAAAACUACUGAAUUCUAUUUAAUAAAAUUAAUAACUUCAAACAAUACACCAUAUUUUAUUUAACAAUAUAAUUAACGGAUAUACUUACUUGGCAAAAAAUGCUCGAAAUGCUUAAAGGUUUUUCCUUAUACAUCAAAAAUCACUUCAAAAUACUUAAAAUCUCAAAACGCUCAAAGGUUUUUCUUUGUAUAUUAAAAACCACUUCAAAAUACUCAAAAUACUUAAAGAUUUUCUUUUCUGGCAAUGAAUACUCUAGAGAUAAAUAGUCUAGCAAAGAAAGCUCCAAAGAUAUGAGUUGAUUUGUGGUACGGACCUAAACAUAUGAGUCAGUUUCAUUAAGGGUAAUUUCAUUCAAAAUUAAUUUCUCUUAGCUAAAAAUAGUAAAAAUUAUAAAGAUGGUUAUUUUCAAAAACACUUUAUGUAUGAGAGGUAUUUUUGAAAAGAACUCUAUUAAAAUGUAAGUUUAAUAUACUUAUAUAUUUUUAUUAUUAAUUUUUAUAUAAUAUCAUCUCGCAAAUAUAUUUUUAAUGUCAUAUAUUUUAUUUUCAUUUUUUAUUAUAAUCUUGUACAUUUUUUUUAUUUCUUAAUAUAAUUUCCUAUGUUAUAUAGUUUUUUUAAUUUCUUUUUUUUUUGAAAGAUCAUAUAAAUUUUAUUGACAAUCACUAUCGACCAUCCAACAGAGAAUGACUACUAAGAGUAAUAAAGAGACAUCUCUCAAAAACUAUAUAUAUAUAUAUAUAUAUAUAUAUACAUAUAUAUAUAAUAAAUUAUAACAUUACAAAAUGUCUUUAACAAAGUUGAAAAGUAAAACUAUCUUUAAAAAUAUUGUAAAUUGCAAUAUAAUUUGAUUACAUUGAUUUUGGACUGUAAUCGCAUUACAUCCAUUGAUUAUAAUGUAAUUGUAUUGUAAUAUUGUAUUGUAGUGAUUUGUUGUAAUACAAAUACUGUAAUAUAAUUUAAUUGGACACAUUGCAGAGAAUGUGCUUUCAUUUCCUUCAUACCAAACUUUCCCUUAGAUUAAAGACUCUUAUCUCUGAUCUCAUACUCUAAAUUGAAUAUUUCACUCUAAAUUGAAUACCAAACUUUAUCUCGAUUUCAAAUCUCAAUCAACCACAUGCAAAGUAAAGUAAACUUGAAUUUGAAUAAAUUUUCGAUUGUUUAAAGAGAAUAACAGAAGGGUUAGGCAAAGGGUGAACUAGAGUUUAAAAUAACCUAACUCAUGGGAAGCACUUCUUGACACGUGAAUAUAAUUUAAUAGUUAUUUUGACACAUGUUUAUAAAAUUUUGUGUGACUUUUUUUUUUCAUAUAUUUUAUGUCAUGACAAUUCUUCCCAUGGUUCAAAGAGUUAAUGGUGUUAAAAUUUCCAUUUAAACAAGAACUCAAUUAAUUGUAAAUAAUUGAUUAAAGACUUAAUUGAUUGUAAUAAAAAGAUAUGGAUUCAUUUGGAAGCACAAGGAUUUAUUUUGUAUUUUAACUUAAUUAUUUCAAUAAUUAGUGAUUUAUAUCUAUUUUCGUAAAGAGUGCGAGAUCCAUUAGGUUUUGUUGACAGAAAAUAUUGAAGAAAACAUAUGUAUUUGAUCCUAUUACUUGAUCAUUACAAAGUUAUUAUAAAGGUGAAAAGCAGAAAAAAUGGGGCCCAAGAAAAAUAUGUAAUGUUGCUUGAAGAAGGUGGCAGCAAUGCAUUGAAUUGAACCUUUGAUGACCAGAUUCAUAAUGCAUCAAAUUGACAUUUUUAUGUUUAGUCUGUGUGCAUGAAUUCAAGGGUCAGUCUUGAUCAGGCUGCUGGCUGCUUAUGGCGGAUAGAUCUCAUGCAUGACGACGACGUUUCAAAUUACUUUAGCAAUUAAGAACACUAUAUUCAUUUAAUUUGAAUUUCCAAAUCCGAUGGAGUUAUAAUUCAAGAUUAUACAUAUGUAUAAAAAAUUGUUUAUCUUAUUUUAUAACAUACGACGAGAAAUUUUUUAUUUCAUAUCAUAACUUUCACUUGUUCAUUCAUAAUUUCAAUUUGAGAAUUUUAAUAUGAAAUCUUAAAUUUUAUAGUUGAAUGUGUUUUUGCUUGUUGACUUAACUUAAUUGUAAUCAAUUUUCACUGUUUUAGCACGACGGCGACAAGGUUUUAUCAAUUUUUUUAAAUGGCUUAAACCCUACUACUUAUAAAUAGCAAAGGAGAAGAAAAAAAAAAGGAAAGAGCAAAGAGCAAAGGAAUAAGUGACGGUCAUUGCCAAAUGCCUUUUUUAUUUGACAAAUGAGGUACAAAGCUCAUAAAAGAUGAACGAGUUUGGAUUAAAAUCCAGAAGACUUCAUGAAUCACUUAAAGAAACCCAUAGCCUCUACUAAUUACUUGAUAAUUGGCACUGGGAUUUUGCUUGUAAUAUUGCAUGUAUCGUGCUACACAUGAUUUUAUCAAUAAGAAAAAUGAAAACAAAAAGAAACAUACAUUCCUGGAAUUCAACUGGACUAAUGAUUGUUAUUUCCUGCUGUGAACUUAAGCAUCGCCAUUGGCUUCAAGAAACGGGUAAUCAGUGUAACCAAUGACUGGAUCUGAGGUGUAGAAAGUAUUUCUGUCAUACUUAUUAAGAGGGGCAUUAAGCUCAAAUCGCCUCGGCAAAUCAGGAUUUGCCAAAAACAAUCGACCAUAAGCAACCAGAUCCACACGGUUUUCAGCCACAGCUUUGUUUCCAUCUUCUUUGGUGUAGCCCCCGGCAGCAAUGAAAGUGCCAUUGAAAGCUUUUCUCAUAGGCAGAAGAGUAUGAGGACAUUCACUUACAUCUCCCAUCAUUUUUAACCUUGGCUCGAUCAUGUGGCAGUAGAGAAUUCCAUAUUUGUUCAAGGCCUCAACCAUGUAGAGAGCUAAUGCUUUUGGAUCAGAGUCUACUGCUUCAAUAAAGUCUGUAAAGGGAGAUAACCUUAUUCCAACUCUAUCUGCACCUAUUUCAUUGGCAACAGCUUCAACUAUCUCUAAUGCAAAUCUGCAACGGUUCUCGAGUGAUCCACCGUAUUCAUCUGUUCGAUCAUUCACUUGAUCUUUCAAAAACUGGUCUAUAAGGUACCCAUGAGCUCCAUGAAUCUCAACCCCAUCAAAACCUAUAAAUCAGAAGGUAAAAUUAGCAUUCUAAGAAAGUAGGACAUCAAAAGGGAAGCAUUUAUUGUUCCAUUAUGUCUGGAAGAAUUUGAGAAUCCUCAAAAUAUUUGUUCACAAUCUAGGAGAAAAAAACUUACCAGCUUCCAUAGCAUUCCUUGCUGCAGUUCUGAAAUCAUUGACAAUUUGAGGGAUUUCAUCUGUCCUUAAUCGCCUAGGAGGUGAGAACUGAGCAACAUCCACUCCAUUGGCUCGAAUUUGUGGUGUCAAUGACUUGUCUGUAGAAGAGAUUGGAGCUUGUCCAUUUGGCUGAAAACCUGUACGUAUAUAGACAUUGACAAGGGAUAAGAAAUUAGUUGGGCCAAUGUCAUCACAUGAAUAUGGGAAUAAAUAUUAAGCAUAUAAUUCCAUCAUAGAAUCAGAAGAGAAGACAUAAUGGAUGUCUAAGGCAAGAACUGACCGUAGUUUGAAACCCUUCCAACAUGCCAAAUCUGACAAAAGAUAAUUCCACCUUUGGCAUGAACAGCAUCAACAAUGGGUUUCCAGGCCUCAACUUGCUCUUUUGUCCAUAUACCAGGUGUAUGGGCGUACCUUCAUAAAUUAGAAAGAAACAAUUAAAGAAAGUCUCAUUAAAUUAGUUUUUGAGGUAUAAAAAAAUGUAAAAUUUUAACUGUUUAAGUAGUUGCGGUACAUAUGUUAUCUUUUUUAUUUAAAAAAGAAACAGGUUUAAAAAUUACCCUUGAGCCGUGUCAGAAACUCCAGUAGCUUCAGAGAUCAUAAAACCUCCUCUGGAAGUUCUCUGGGAGUAGUAUAGAAUGGCAUGUGGUUGAGGAACAUUAUUGUAAGAUCUUUGUCUUGUCAAAGGUGCCAAUACAACUCUGAGAAAAAAGGAAGAAAAAGAAAGAGGUAAAUGAUAGAGUAAGUUAUUUAUGCAUCAAAAUUUCCCAGGCGAAGAACAAAGUGAUGCACAUAGUCAGCCAAUUACCAUUGGUUUUCCUAAUGAACAACAUUCAAGUUAUGCAAACUUGGAUUUUUCAACUAAUCAACUAGCUAUGGCUUGACAAAGAAAAACAAUAUGCUGACGGGGAUUAUCCAAAAGUUAUACAAAUAUCUACUUGGACGAAAGUAAAAGUUGUGCUAUGAAAAAUGCAGGAAAAUUUAUGCCUUUAUUACCUAUGAGAAAGAUUGAAUUUGCCAAAUUUGUAGGGAGUGAGAAGAGGUUGAGUGGUGAUAUUUUCUUGCUGUUGUUGUUGGGUUUGCUUUUUGCCUUCCAUAUCUGAAACUAACUGAUUUGCUUGCCUUUGGCUUUGGAUAUGUAGUUGAGCAGCAGUGCAGUGCAAAUGGGUAGAAGUUGUUUCUGCUACCAGAAGAAAAGAACUUUGCUUCGCUUUGGUUUUGGUUUGGGAUAUUUGCUGAGUUGAGUUGUGUAGCGAGAAUGGAGUAUAUAUAGCCUUAGGAUGGGCAUCUGAUGACGUGCGAGUGUACGUGAUGAGAAGUGUCAUGUCAUGGUUAUGGCACACCCCUCUUGACCAAAGAAACAGACGCACAGUUUCUUUCCAUGUGCUAAUUCCUGCCCCUUUCUUUUUCUUUGGUAAAUCAUAACAAUUAUUUUGUAAUUUAUAAAAAUUAUAAAAGUUAAAUUCCAACGAAAUAAAUGCUAUAACUUAUAAAAGGGUAUUGGAUGAUUGUAAAAAAUAGAAACUUAAAAAGCAAGAGUAAAAAAAGUUAUGUAUAGAAAAAAUUUAAAUAUGAAGAAAAUUACACAUUUUAUGCAGAGAAAAUCUUUUAUAAUUUCAAAAAUUAAUAAUGGAUAUACCUAGUGCCUAGUCUAGUCUAGAUGAUUAAUUUAGCUACUCGAUGAAUUACAAAAUUAUUUUUUUAUAAUUACAAAAGUUUUUCUGUAAGUGCCAAAGUGAUUCCAAACAUCGUCGUGCAUGAGACAUCAUAUAUUCCUCACUGGAUGGCCGCCGCAGGGCUCCACAAGCCGUCAGCAGCCAAAGAAUGACCCUUGAAUUUAUGCACACUCAGUAACAUAAAAAAGUCAAUUUAUCCCAUAAUUAAUUUGGUCAUCUCAAUAUAUAUAAUAUAAUAUAAUAUAUAUAUAUAUGUAUAUAUAAAGGUUCAAUUUAAUGCAUUCCGACCAUAAAGCGUACUAGAAAAUCUUGGGCCCAUUUUAUCUGCUUUUGAACUUUUGUGUGUGUUUUUUUUAAUUAAUAAAAACGAAAAUGUUUAUAUAUUUCUUUAGUAAAUCUAACAAAAGUGCAAAUAAGAUGAUGGGGACAUAAUCUUCUGGAAAAUGAGUAAAAAAUAAGACUGUUUGUGCAUCCAUUAUUUAUUUAAUUAAAUAAUAAAUAGAUAAAAGUCAUGUUUAGUUUGUUCUAGGGUUCUAUAACUUAUACUUUACUUUUGGAUUCUAAAGUAUUAAUUUCUUGUUUUUUUUUAUUUGUAGAAAAUCAAAAUUUUAUUUUUUUUGUUGGCAUUAAUUAAUAGAAAUUAUUGCAAUAGUAAGCGUGGAUAACCAACUGAAACUCCUGCUAGACCCACCCAGAUCCAAACCAUAUAGAAGCUAAUGCCACAACCAAAGCCCUCAAACCGACCACGCCCCCAGGCAAAACUACCGGCGCAGCGGCAGAGCUGUUCGAUGUAUGGUUGGCAACGGGUGAGGCAGCUGGUGAAGGCAGUGGAUGGACAAGGACAGAAACCUUCAUGCCAUUGAAGCACUGGCCAUUCCCACAAAUGAAGCGGUACCUCUUGGACUCAUUGAGAGGUAUAAAAUCCUUGCCACUGCUCCAGUUUCCUAGUGCUCCUUCUGUUGUGCAGUUGUCAUACCCAGUUUGGUUCACUUCAAACACGUUGUAUUGGUUCUUUUGGUACCUAAAGGCUGGAAGGAAAGACAGAGUUGAUGAUGGUAUUAGACCAAGGACCCUCUGCUUAUGUCAGCCUCAAAAUACAAAGACUAGAUGCAAUAUAAACAUUCACAAAUAAAGGCAGUCAAAUCAGAAAGCAGAUUCAGGACAGAUGGGUACUUUCGUAUUACCCCGAAAUCAAUGUUUUGCACUUCAUACUACCCAUAAUCAUUUAGUAGUGUUUAACUUAGAAAACCCACCGUUUCCUUCAUUUCUCUGAAAGACAAGAAAAUGAAAUGGUACAAAACUACAAAUACAAACGCAGAUGGUUAGAGAGAGAGAGAGAGAGUACAGAUGAGGUCUCCAACAUAGAAGGUGUGGUUGUUGGCCCAAAGGGUGUAGUUGAUGCCAGGGUUCCAGCCUUUGUUAGCACCGACAAUGUGGUCAGUGGCGGUGACAGUGCCAAAGAUUAGAACGAAGCACAACAAGAUAAGCUGAUUUGAGGUCGAAUUCAACAUUCUUUGGCUCACUUGUUGGUGUUUAGCAGUUAGCAGUUUGGUUUGGUUACCCUCUUUUGCUUCGCUCUUCUUUCUGAUUUCUGUUUUUUGGGGGGGGAGAACGAACAAUUAUUGUGAGGGACUCAAAGAUAAUUUUGAGUAAUGUGGGUGAACCGUGGGUCCCCUUCUUACCCGUUGGGUUUGAAUCCAAAUGUGACCAACUUCAUUUUCUCCAAUUUUUUAAUCCCGGAAAAUCAUUUCCAUCACAACAUGGAAUCUUUGCUCCAUUAUUUCAAUCCAAGGUGGAACCCAAAGCUGAAGCACACUUUUAAUUGCCGGUGCCAGGUGGUCCCUCCCAUUCUGGACCUUCAUUCGUGGGCUUCCCUUUUAGGGCCAUUAAGCCCAUCUCCCUCUGAAAGGUAGGCAUUUGACUAUCCAAUCUUCAUAAUGGGUCUCAUGUGAGCGCAAGACUUGUUGUAGGGCCGUAGCCUUUACCCCAAUAUGGAUUUGGUUGGUUUCAAUGUGUAGAGCCUUAUUCUCUAAUUUUUUUAAUUGUUUUUUAUCUCUCUCCAAUUCUUUUUUUUUUUUUUCAUUUAGAUUAGAUUGGACAAAAUUAUGCAAUUUCAAGAACAAUGGUAAUUAAAAGUUUCUACUUUCACUCUAAAUUUUCUUCCAUGAGUUCUUCACCUUUGUAAAUAUGUAUAAAAAUUGUUUAUCUUAUUUUAAUAUGCAACGAGAAAUAUUUUUAUUUCGUAUCAUAACUUUCACUUGUUCACUUAUAAUUUAAAUUUGAGAAUUUUAAAAUAAAAUCUUAAGUUUUACAGUUGAAUGUGUUUUUCCUUGUUAACUUAACUUAAUUGGAAUCAAUUUUCACUGUUUUAGCACGAGGGCGACAAGGUUUUGUCAAGUUUUUUAAAUGGCUUAAACCCUACUACUUAUAAAUAGCAAAGGAGAAGAAAAAGAAAAGGAAAAAGCAAAGAGCAAAGGAAUAAGUGACGGGCAUUGCCAAAUGCCUUUUUUAUUUGACAAAUGAGGUACAAAGCUCAUAAAAGAUGAACGAGUUUGGAUUAAAAUCCAGAAGACUUCAUGAAUCACUUAAAGAAACCCAUAGCCUCUACUAAUUACUUGAUAAUUGGCACUGGGAUUUUACUAGUAAUACCGCAUGUAUUGUGAUACACAUGAUUUUAUCACUAAGAAAAAUGAAAAACAAAAAGAAACAUACAUUCCUGGAAUUCAACUGGACUAAUGAUUGUUAUCUCCUGCUGUGAACUUAAGCAUCGCCAUUGGCUUCAAGAAACGGGUAAUCAGUGUAACCAAUGACUGGAUCUGAGGUGUAGAAAGUUUUUCUGUCAUACUAAUUAAGAGGGGCAUUAAGCUCAAAUAACCUUGGCAAAUCAGGAUUUGCCAAAAACAAUCGACCAUAAGCAACCAGAUCCGCACGGUUUUCGGCUACAGCUUUGUUUCCGUCUUCUUUGGUGUAGCCCCCGGCAGCAAUGAAAGUGCCAUUGAAAGCUUUUCUCAUAGGCAGAAGAGUAUGAGGACAUUCACUUACAUCUCCCAUCAUUUUUAACCUUGGCUCGAUCAUAUGGCAGUAGAGAAUUCCAUAUUUGUUCAAGGCCUCAACCAUGUAGAGAGCUAAUGCUUUUGGAUCAGAGUCUACUGCUUCAAUAAAGUCUGUAAAGGGAGAUAACCUUAUUCCAACUCUAUCUGCACCUAUUUCAUUGGCAACAGCUUCAACUAUCUCUAAGGCAAAUCUGCAACGGUUCUCUAGUGAUCCACCGUAUUCAUCUGUUCGAUCAUUCACUUGAUCAUUCAAAAACUGGUCUAUAAGGUACCCAUUAAAUCCAUGAAUCUCAACCCCAUCAAAACCUAUAUAUUAAUCAGCAAGCAAAAUUAGCAUUCUAAGAAACUAGGACAUCAAAAAGGGAAGCAUUUAUUGUUCCAUUAUGUCUGGAACAAUAUAAGAAUCCUCAAAUAUUUGUCCACAAUCUAGGAGAAAAAAACUUACCAGCUUCCAUAGCAUUCCUUGCUGCAAUUCUGAAAUCAUUGACAAUUUGAGGGAUUUCAUCUGUCCUUAAUCGCCUAGGAGGUGAGAACUGAGCAACAUCCACUCCAUUAGCUCGAAUUUGUGGUGUCAAUGACUUGUCAGUAGAAGAGAUUGGAGCUUGUCCAUUUGGCUGAAAACCUGUACGUAUAUAGACAUUGACAAGGGAUAAGAAAUUAGUUGGGCCAAUGUCAUCACAUGAAUAUGGAAAUAAAUAUUAAGCAUAUAAUUCCAUC
rnacentral:lncRNA from 1 species